GGCGGCUUGGUGCGGGGGCGUAGUGGUGGGGCGANNNNNNNNNNNNNNNNNNNNNNNNNNNNNNNNNNNNNNNNNNNNNNNNNNNNNNNNNNNNNNNNNNNNNNNNNNNNNNNNNNNNNNNNNNNNNNNNNNNNUUAUGAUCAGAUUAUCUAUGAAUCUUAUUUGAGUUUCUUCUGAUCUCUUAUAUGCAUGAUUUCAUAUCGUUGUAAUUCUCUUCGAGUUGUGGGUUUUGUUUGUCCAACUUGAUCUAUGAUUCUUGCAAUGGGAUAAGUGCUUGGUUUUGGGUUCAUACCGUGCGGUGACCUCACCCAGUGAAAGAAGGGGUAGCGAGGCACUGAUACGUCUCCAAUGUAUCUAUAAUUUUUGAUGAUUCCAUGCUAUUGUCUUGUCAACUUUGGAUGUUUUAUAUGCAUGAAUAUGCUAUUUUAUAUCUUUUUUGGGACUAACCUAUUAACUCAGUGCCAAGUGCCAGUUUCUGUUUUUUCCAUGUUUUUGGCCCAUUUUCAGACGGAGACCAAAUGGAAUGAGACUUUACGCUGAUUUUUUUGGACCAAAAGAGACCCUCAAGCUUUGGGAGAAGGCCAGAUGGGCCACGAGGGAGUGACAAGCCCUCACGCCGCCACCACCCCCCGGUGGUGGCGCGCAGGCUUGUGACCUUCUCGUGGGCCCAACUGACGCAAUUCCACCACCAUAAAUUCCUAUAAAUUCAGAAACCCCGAAAAAGAAACCUAGAUCGGGAGUUCCGCCGCCACAAGCCUCUGUAGCCACCAAAAACCAAUCUGGAGCCCGUUCUGGCACCCUGUCGGAGGGGGAAUCCAUCUCCGGUGGCCAUCUUCAUCAUCCCGGCGAUCUCNNNNNNNNNNNNNNNNNNNNNNNNNNNNNNNNNNNNNNNNNNNNNNNNNNNNNNNNNNNNNNNNNNNNNNNNNNNNNNNNNNNNNNNNNNNNNNNNNNNNAUCUUUAGCUUUCAAUGAGCCAUAUUACUUUGUCUUCUCCUUUUGGUUUGCCUACAGAUUCAGCUUAGUCCAUUGCACGAGCACUCUUAUUAUUGUUCACAUAGUUCGAUCAUGCAAAAUGAAAGGCAAUAAUGAUGAUAUAUGAUGAAGUGACUGAGACUGGAAAAGCUGGUAUGAACUCUAUCUAUUUUGUUUUUGUAAAUAUGACUAGCUUGUCAUGCCUCAUUCACCUUUGUUGUGAGAGAACCAUGUUUGCAAUGACAACUUAGAGAUCAUAGAUUCUGAUGCCAUGCUUAACUGGCUGAGAGCUUAUAAUGGUUUGUGUUGAAUGCCAACAUUGAUUUUGAGGUGACUAUGAUGUAGUAUGAUAGGNNNNNNNNNNGCACAUGUUCAUACAUGUAGUUGAAAGAAAAUCAACAUAGCCUCUAUGAUGUUCAUGUUCAUGGUGAUUUAUCUCCUGUUCAUGCUUGCAUUCAAUGUUAGUCAAACUCAUUGCAUCUUGAUGACUGUUGUCGCUCUCUAGUUGGCCGCUUCCCAGUCUUUUGCUAGCCUUCACUUGUACUAAGCGGAAUACUGCUUGUGCAUCGACUUCCAUAAACCCAAAAGUUUUUCCAUGAGAGUCCACCAUACCUACCUAUUUGCGGUAUCUACCUGCCGUUCCAAGUAAAUUUGCAUGUGUCACUCUCUAACCCUUCAAGAAAUAAUCUGUUUUGCAUGCCGGAACCGCUCAUGUGGUUACAGGGGGCUAUUGGUAUCUUCCAUGUUAGGCGUGUUAUCCUCGACAUGUGUUUAUUCACUGUCAUUCACGAGAAAGGGGCCGGUAAUUGGAAUGCCCAGUUCCACGCUUAAAUAGAAAACAUAACUGUAAAACAAGACUCCCCCCGGAUUGAUGUUAGUAUGGACGGUACCCGAGGAUUCGGCUCGCCGUGGAGUGUGAUUGAUUGGUGGCGGGGGAGUUAAAACUUUACUUUUCUGUUUGGGAACCUCCUAUAGCAUGAGUAGCAUGGAAGAUAUUGAGAACUCUUGGUCAUUGCGUUGACAAUGAAAGGUUGCCACCCAAAAUUAUUAUCUCUGUUUUCAAAGCUUGAGCUCUGGCACCUCUGCAAAUGAAUGCUUCCCUCUGCGAAGGGCCUGUCUAUUUAUUUUCCUGUUGAGUCNNNNNNNNNNCUUGCCACCCAAAAUUAUUAUCUCUGUUUUCAAAGCUUGAACUCUGGCACCUCUGCAAAUCAAUGCUUCCCUCUGCGAAGGGCCUGUCUAUUUAUUUUCCUGUUGAGUCAUCCUCUUCUUAUAUAAGCACCAAUUAGAGAGCACCUCUGUCAUUUUUAUGCUUUGCUUUUGAUUGAUAUUGAGUAUGACUAUUACUGGAUCUUCGUUGCUAUGAAUUACAAUGUUUAGUCAGUCCUUGAUCUUUGAAAGUGCUCUGCAUUUAUGUUUUGCGGUCUCAGAUAGAGCUAGCGAGAUACCACGUAUUCUUAUUGCUUCAUGCUUGUCUUGAUUGAAUUGUUGGUAUUUGAAACUCAUUAUUAUUUGCUCGUUAGCUGAUUAUGCCAUUGACAUCAGUUUACCGUGAGACCUUUGUGUCACUUGCUUAUGUGGUUAACUUACGAUCUUGCUGAAAUUCUGGUUAUGAGUUAGACAUAGUUGCAACAACAAGAUCAAAUAGAGUUUGUCAAAGUUUUUCUUUCUCUUUCAGUUUGUCAACUGAGUUGCUUGAGGACAUGCAAGGUUUUAAGCUUGGGGGAGUUGUUACGUCUCCAACGUAUCUACUUUUCCAAACUCUUUUGCCUUUGUUUUGGACUCUAAUUUGCAUGAUUUGAAUGGAACUAACCUGGACUGACGUUGUUUUCAGCAGAAUUGCCUUGGUGUUGUUUUUGUGCAGAAAUGAAAGUUCUCGGAACAUCCUGAAAAUUUACGGAUAAUAUUUCUGGAAAAUAUGAAAAAUACCUGCGCAAAGAUCCACCGGAGGGGAUGGGCCAGUGGGCCACAAGCCGUGUAGCCGCCACCCCCCUGGUGGCGGCUAGCAAGCUUGUGGGGCCCACGUGGCCCUGCUGCCCCCAAACAUAGCUCUAUAAAUUCACCUUCGUCCCAGAAAAAAUAAAAAGAGAAGAUUUCGUCGCGUUUGCGAUACGGUGGCGCCGCCACAUCCCGUUCUUCAUCUGGAGGGCAGAUCUGGAGUCCGUUUUGGGCUCCGGAGAGGGGAAAUUAUCGCCAUCGUCAUCAUCAACCUUCUUCCCUCUCCAAUUCCAUGAAGUUCUUCAUUGUUCGUGAGUAAUCUAUUCGUAGGCUCACUGGGAGGUGAUGAGUAGGAUGAGAUCUAUCAUGUAAUCGAGUUAGUUUUGACGGAGAUUGAUCUCUAGUAUCCACUAUGUUGUGAGAUUGAUGUUGCUACCACUUUGCCAUGCUUAAUGCUUGUCACUAGGGCCUGAGUGCCAUGAUUUCAGAUCUGAAAUUAUUAUGUUGUCACCAAUAUAUGUGUGUUUUAGAUCCGACCUUGCAAGUUGUAGUUACCUACUAUGUGUCAUGACCCGGCAACCCCGGAGUGACAAUAACCGGAACCACUCCCGAUGAUGACCAUAGUUUGAGGAGUUCAUGUGUUCACCAAGUGCUAAUGCGNNNNNNNNNNNNNNNNNNNNNNNNNNNNNNNNNNNNNNNNNNNNNNNNNNNNNNNNNNNNNNNNNNNNNNNNNNNNNNNNNNNNNNNNNNNNNNNNNNNNAGCACGUAUGACGACACACGGAAUGCAUGCCUACAUCACAUUGACGAACGGGAGCUAGCCACAUAUCUCUCCGUGUUAUAACUGUUGCAUGAUGAAUAUCAUCCAAACAAAUCACCGACCCAUUGCCUACGAGUUUGUCCUACUCUUGAUGUUACUUGUUUUGCUCUGCUGCUGUUACUACUGUUGCUGCUGCUGUUACUUGCUCUGUCGUUACUUGCUACUGUUUCUACUUGCUACUGUUGCUACUUGCUACUGCUGUCACUACUGCUGUUCCUUGCCACUGUUGCUACUUGCUACACUGCUGCUACCUGCUACAAUACUUUUCUGGCGCCAUUGAUACAAUCGUUAAGAAUAGUCUGCAGUCAACAGAUCGUUUCUGACACCGUUGUUAUUAUAUUACUUUGUUGUUGAUACUUUGCUUGCAGAUAUUAAUCUUUCAGGUGUGGUUGAAUCUGACACAUUCAGCUGCUAAUACUUUAGAAUAUUUUUUUGCUUCCCUUGUGUGAACCAACAAAUUUGGGUUGAAUACUCUACCCUCGAAAACUGUUGCGAUCCCAUACGCUUGUGGGUUGUCAAUAGACUGUUCGGAAAGUUGAACAUGACAUCACUAUAGACUGUUCGGAAAGUUCAAAGAUUCGAUCAGUAUAGACGAACAUGACAUCUGGAUUAUGAAAGUAUAGCUGGACUCACCCACUCGAUGUGAUUAUGACUUGAGUAGUCGUCCCUGGUGCUCAGGUGGGCAAACUCUUCCUAUUCUCCUUUAAAGAGAUCAGCCAGAAUGACAACCAUUUCUGCCUGGUCGGCGGGAUCCUUCCGUUUGUAGCGGGUCGCGUCACUUAUGACAUUAUAAUGUCAUAAGGGAUGCAUCCUUUGUUAGAGAGGUUGGACGCAUCGAGCAAUAGUAGUGGCCAUCACAUCAAUGAUGGUUAACUUACUGUGAUCUAGCAACCUCACCUUGCUGGUGAGAUUCUUCACUUCGGCGCUCUCCUCUUGGGAAGGAUUUUUUGGACGCCAGAUAAACCGUUUCUUUAAAGGAGCAGUUGAGUAUUCGGGUAGACCCCUCCGAGCUGGAUCGAAUAGGGGGGCGUCCUCGAUAUAAAACAACUCUGGGUCCACUCUUUGGAAUCCUUCUUUAGAGUCCCAAUAGGAUACCCCGUUAUAGCUAUGCACCAUUCUUUGGCUCCGCCAACUUUAAUGACAGUCUCUCAUUGGGUGCGGGGGACAAGGCGGAAUUUUUUUCUACACAAUUCAAAAUGGGCCUCACAGCCCAAGAACAUCUCACAAAGGGGUCCCGAGAUAUGGCGAAUAGAUCCAAGCGUAAUAUGAUGAAGCUGGAUUUCGUAAAACCCCUUAGGAAGGGGUGAAUGGGGAAGCCUAAACCUCGUAAGAGGAAGUGGACGAAGCGUACCCUCUCUUCCUUGCGUGGGAUUGGGAAGUUCUCUGCAAAGGCCUCGCCGUUCUCGGAAGUUAAUUCGGGGAGGGUGGACGCUAGAUCUGAAGUAGGAAGGUAUCCUUGCGCUUCAAGACCGCUUAAUUGCAGACGGGAUACAGAGCAGCUCGCACGGUCCCCUCGGAGGGGGCCAUGAGGGCAUGACGAAGAGCUUGGAACGCUUGACAUGUGUCCAAGUUCCUUGGUUUGUUUCUCUCGAUGGUUGGGGAAUAAGAUCUGUUGUUUGUGGCACGCCCAACCUUUUUAGUAGGUGUUUUUCCCCUAACCCACGAAGGGUAUUUCUAUAAGAGACUGUUGGACCGUUCGCCUCUUAUCGACGCACAGGAAUCGAGGGGUGUCAUUAAUUUUGUGCAGCGAAGUCAAUAUUAUGGAUCCCGCAACGCUUUGACAUUCAGGAACACAACGAUGGCCGAAUUGACCUCAUCCGAACAUAAAAGUGGAGAAGAACUCGCCCAGCAAGCCGAAGACUUUGGGUACGAGAAGCUGCUAGGGAAUCAGGGCUACGACAUUGAAGGCCAAUUCGGGGGCUACUAAAGGAGUCCGAGACUAAGGGGUCCUCGGGCCGCCGGCCUAUCUCUACGGGUCAGACUCAUGGGUCGCUCUAUGACUAUCAUUGAAGGGCUGGACUAUAAGACGAUGUUGUGUUCAAGAUGGGAACUUCCGAAGCCUUGGUGUGUGCUCCAAGUUAAGAUUAUAAUAUCGGCAUGUUUAUUCCCUGAGUUAACCGAUCAUAUAACCCUAGGUACCCAUGGUGUCUAUAUUAACCAGAGGGUUUUAGUUCGUAGAUAACAUCGACGUAACCAUCAUCUAGGGUUUAGUUCAUCUCAUCUCGUGGUAGAUCGACUCUGUAAUUGUCAUAACUCAUCAAUAUAAUCAAGCGGGGCGUAGGGUUUUACCUAUUCGAGAGGGCCUGAACAUGGGUAAAUUAUGUCCAUGUGUCCCCCGUUACCCAUCAAUCCAAGAUCUACAGCUCGGGACCCCCUACCCGAGAUCCGCCAGUUUUGACACCGACACUAACCCUAUCGAUUCCCUCUUAACAGUGCGGGAUCACUUUACUCAAGAACAAAAGAAAGCGAGAGCUGAAAACCUCUUUGUUCCUUCUUCUUUAAGUCAUAUAAAUUCCAUGCGUCCGUGAUCCGCACCUAUUGUCACUUGAGGCCUAAUACAUGAGAUUUACUUGAUAAACAUAGUUAGUCCUCUACAUGUACAUUGUCAUCAAUAUUGAAAUAUCGAAAUAUGAUAUAAGGGCAUGAUUGCACUACGAGUUGGACAGACUAGCAAAUACUCCUCUUUUAGGAUAUACCACUACAUUCGUCACAAGAAAGAUAUAUAACAAUCCUAUGUUCUAACAUGUGUGGAAGGCUUCCAAUAAAUUGAGGCAUAAGAUAUUUUUCUGGCUGAUGCUCGAUGACAGGGUGAAUACCAAGAAUCUACUCAAGAGGAAGAAUAUGUAUCUAGAGUGUUAUGAUUGUGUUUUUUCCAAUGCAAAUGCAGAAGAAACACCCAUACACUCUUUUGGGGACUUUGAUUUCUCUCAAGGCUGUUAAUAUGACAAGUCAUAAUGUGUUUAUGACAAGUCAGAAUGCCGAUCCUUGUUCUCAGUAGUAUCCUUUCUCUCUUCUUGUGUUUUGUCUUGUGUACGUAGCUAUAACUGGUUGGCGAGUGAAUCGGAUGACAACACAGUCCGCAGGUACCACCGUACCAGUAGCAUCACCGCAUCAAAGAUCAGAACUGACGUGGACAUGGGAGCUACCGGACCUGUUCUAGCUAGCUAGCCCUCUUUGUAGGUCGAGUGUAGGCUGCCACUAGAAAUGGCACAUGAUCCUAGUGGGUGUCGGGGUGUGCAUAACUGCAUACUAUUGUCAAGAAACGGAUGAUGGACUGAUGAGUGAUGACCGUGUCAGAGUAGUUCGAUCCGGCUAGUGAUGUGUGACGGUGAAGCCGAUGAUCAACCGCUCACCUAAUAACCGAGGGACGCAACCAUGGUCUCGUCGCCGUUAGCUGACUCGUGCCCCGAAGAACAACCUUGAGAGUUCGUUGUCACCAGAAGCCCUCGUGCUCAGGCUUGAAGGAGGCUCAAGCUCAAGCCGCAAUUUCUUCUUGGAGAGCGACUCGCGUUAGUACGGACCCAUCUCACAUUUCAGAGGCUCAAGGGCAACGCUUGGCAUCCGAAGAUCGAGGAUGAUGUGACUACGUUCGAGAAAAUAAUACCAUUUCCAAUCCAUGUUAAAUCUAUGUUAAUUGUCGUUGAUUUUUAGAAAUUUUAAUACAGACCAUAUAAAAAUGUAUAUAGAUAUAUUUGAAAGUCUAAAUUCAUCCAUUAUGUUUCGUACAAAGUUUAUAUUAAGAAAAUAAAAUGUUUGUCGCAUGAACAUUUUUUAGAACCGGGCUUCUCCCCUUUCCAUUAAAUACAUAACGGAAAUACACAGUUUCGUUCCGAGAUCAGAAAGAGAAAAGGGAAAGAGAGAGAGAGAAGCGAGCUCAGAGCAAUACUAGGAAACCCACCACCUUGCGCCUGUCAUCAGGAACACAAGGCUAUGGGGCGAAAACCUAGCAUCACCCAAAACCUCACCACACCCCUAAGGAGGAUAGAUCAACAUCCAGUACCACGUUUGAGCACGACCAGAAUACGAACCAGAAAUGCAACAUGCCUCACAGGGCCAAAACAGAGUAAAACACCACAUCACCAGGACCAUCAUACUCCGAGCGCAUCACCAUUCGUCCCAGUUAUCACCCUCCUCAUCCUGCUUGCUGUUAUCUGGCAUUGGAGGUCCACAGAGUAGCAGCAUCUGCGAAGCGUCUGCUUUCAACACCUCCGCACCUUUUUUCAUCACCUCAGCCAUCUCUGGCUUCUGCAACCCUGUCCAGUAUAAUAUAAAAGCACAAGUUGUGAACACAAUUUCAAACGGAUUAUUAAUCCAUUUCUUUUUAAAAGUAGCACGGUUACGUGCAAGCCAUAUUGCCCAGCAUAUAGCAGCUAGACCAAUGGUAUAAACCUCUGGGCAGGAAGGUAAGAAAGAGUUGAUCCAAACAUAAUAUUGCCACAUGGAAUUAGGGAUAUAUUCAGUACCCAGCAUCGAGCCCACUGUUCUGCAGACAACUCUAGCAACAGGACAAAGAAACAUAAUAUGUUGGGCAGAUUCCUUCUGAUCACAGAAAGAACAUGUAGGAUCCCCUUGCCAUUUUCUUUUUUUGAGAUUGUCUCUCGUUAGGAUAGCAUCCUGGCACAUCUGCCACAUAAAAAUUUGAAUUUUCAAAGGCAUCUUAGAUUUCCAAAUCCAUUUAUGAUUAGACCCAGCCAAGUUUCUUUCUAACCAACGAUACAUAGACUUGGUAGUAUAUUCAUGAGUACUAUCUAGUUUCCAAAAUAUUUCAUCACUUUUUUCCUUGUCCAUUUUACUUAUCACAUAACUCUUGAGCUCGUCCCACCUCAUUUGCAUAUCACUAUUAAAUCUUCUACGAAUGGAGUUGCAAGGAUUCAUGGAUUCAAUUUUAUUCACAGUGGUAUUUUGCUCAGUGCAAAUCUCAAAAAGAUCAGGGAACUUAUCUUUCAUAUUAGAAUUGUCACCCAGAUCAUCAUACCAAAGACUGGCAAUAUCACCCUUAUUCACCUUGAUCCCUCUCCCAGCAAUAUAAUUAUCUCUAACCUUCAAAAGAGCUUUCCAACAGGGGGAAUCAUUUGCUUUCUGCUUAACCAUCAUAACAGGUGAUUUUUUGAGGUAUUUGGCUCUCACUAUGUCUUGCCAUAGCCCCUCUUUUUUCUCUAAUUUCCACCACCACUUAGUCAACAAACUAAUAUUUUGUUUUCUCAGAUCUUUAACCCCAAGGCCCCCUUUAUUUUUUGAUCUACAAAUUCUCCCCCAUUUUACCAUAUGAUAACCUUUUUUGUUACCAUUAUGAUGCCAGAAAAAUUUCCUUCUGGGCUUAUCCCAUAUCUCCAGGGUAGAUUUAUUAACCAAGAACAUAGACAUAUAAUAAGAAGGGAUAUGGGAGAGAACAACAUUAACUUUGAUAAGCCUACCCGCACUGGAUCCAUGAUUCAUCAUGUCUGACAAAUUUAUCAUCCACAAACAUCCAGUCACAACUUUUGAGACCAGCAUAGCUAACAGGAACUCCCAAGUAUUUAAUAGGAAAACUUCCAAUCUCACAGUUGAACAUCUCAGAAUACUUCCUGACAGUAUCAUCAUCAGCCCCUAGUGAGAAGAUUUCACUUUUUAAGAAAUUAAUUUUCAAGCCUCACAUAAUAGUAGUUUAAUAUUCAGCACUUCCCUAGGGUUAUCUUCAAAGCAAAGAAUAGUAUCAUCUGCGUAUUGCAGAAUAGCAACCCCAUGUUCAACCAGGUCAGAUGCCAGCCCUUUAAAAAGGCUAUUUUCCUGUGCAUUAAGAACCAUCUUGGUCAGGCAAUCAGCUGCAAGAUUAAACAAAAAAGGGGAGAGAGGAUCUCCCUGCCUCACACCUUUAGCACUUUGAAAAUAAUCCCCACUUCAUCAUUCAGUUUCACACUAACAGUUCCUCCUACCAAAAUGUUCUUAAUCCAGCUCAUCCAUUUGGGAUUAAAGUUUCUCUUAACAUGACAUUCAAGCAGGAAGUCCCAGUUGACUUUGUCAUAGGCUUUUUCAAAAUCAAGCUUAAGCACUAUCCCAGGUUUCUUACGACUAUAAGAAUAGUGUAGAAUUUCAUGGAGAGACAUAAUACCAUCCAUAAUAUCUCUACCCUUAAUAAAAGCAUUUUGGUUUCUGCUAAACAACGUAUCAACAAAAGGUUCAAGUCUGAUGGUGAGCACUUUGGUGAUAAGUUUAUAAAUGCAUCUGAGCAAACAAGUUGGUCUAAAUUGCUGAAUCUUAUCAGCCCCAACCACUUUGGGCAGUAAAGUAAUGAUCCCAUAGUUGAGUCUUUUCACAUCUAUAUCAUCUUUAUAGAACCAAUCAAAAAGCAUUUUCACAUCAUCCUUAACUAUACCCCAACAGCUUUGAAAGAAUUCAAUUGGAAUAUUAUCAGGGCCUGGAGCUUUAUUAUGCUUCAUAGAAAAUAAAUCAUUCCUGAUUUCCAACUCUGAAAAAGGUCUAAUUAAUAUGAAGUUGUCUAUAUCCCUUAGUGUUUCCUGUUCUUUCCACAUGUUGUUAUUAAUCCCACACAUGUUCCCAGGGGCAGGGCCAAAAAGCUCCCUAUAAAAGUUUGUGGCAUGGUCCAAAAGAUUCUUGUUUCCCUCAAUAACAACCCCAUCACAACAAAGGGAUACAAUAGUAUUUCUCCUCCUCCUCCCAUUCACCAUUCUAUGAAAGUAACUAGUAUUACUAUCCCGUUUCAAUAACCAGUUAUCAUGAGAUUUUUGUAACCAGGAGAUUUCUUCUUCCAUCAAGAGGUUAUUCAGUUCUACCUCAAGAUCUACUUUUUUCAUAUACAAUUCAGGUGAUAAAGUAUCAGUUUCUUGCAACAUUUCCAAGUAUCCAAGUUCCUCUCUCAUCCAUUUCCUUCUCAAUCUAGCUUUACCAAAAAUAUUUGAGCUCCACCCUUUAAAUUUUUUCUUAAACCUCUUCAGUUUAAUAUUGAUGAUAUCAAUAGGAUUCUUAGAUUGAACAGGUUGCAUCCAAAUUUGUGCCACCAAGGGUAAGAAUUCAGGGUUCUGUAACCAGUUCAAAUCAAAUUUAAAGCCCCUAGACUUAACAGGGAUAGGAAUGUUAUCCUCAGUGUUUAAAAUCAAGGGGCAAUGGUCUGAAAUCUCCCUUACAAUUUUCCUAAUAAAAGUAAAAGGAAAAAGAUGCUCCCAGGAACUAGACAUGAGCACUCUAUCUAAUUUCUCAAGAGUUGGCACAUUCUGCUGGUUGGACCAGGUGUAUUGUCCACCACUCAUAUCAACCUCUCUCAAAGAGAAAGUAUUAAUGACAGUAUUGAAAAGAUCAGAGGAAUGGCCCAGUCUAACUUUAUUAUUUUUAUCACUAGUAAAUCUCAGGAUAUUAAAAUCCCCCCAAUAAUGAAAGGGCAAGCAACUCCCCUGCACAUAUCUGCUAGUUCAGUAAGAAAUUCCAUCUUAUGCUCUUCAUGAGCAGAACCAUACACUACCAUAAUGCAAUAAGUAUCCCUUCUACAUUUGUCCCAAAUUUCAAGCUUCAAAAUAUACUUGCCAAAUGAACAGGUUUGAAUGUCAUAAUAUGCAUUCCUAACACCACAAAGAAUACCACCAGACUUUCCUACAGAAGGGAUCCACUUCCAACAAAAAUUAUCCCCUGGAUCAAAUUUCCUCAAGAACUUAGAGGAAAAAUCCUUCUUCAUUGUCUCUUGAAUCCCCACAAAAUCAGGAUUGAAGUCCCUAAUUAAAUCACUUAAGUAGGUUGCCAUACCUUUUUUCCCAUCCCCCUACAGUUCCAGAAGAGGCACAUCAUUUCUUUUUAUUUUUAGGUGAGUGAGUUUUAUUGCUAGGUUUACCAGGGUCCAUGGUCUUACCUGCAAUUCCACUCACUCUUUGAUUUUGACUCCUGGUUACAGGCUUAGAAAUAACCACAUUAACUUUUCUUUUUUCUCUUUGCCUAGAUCUUACACUUUUAAAUCCUUCCUCAUCUACAUCUUCCUCAUCCCCCCAAGCUGUAUUAAGGUGGGAGGAUUCCCCUGUUGCAUUAGUAAUCAACAACACCUCUUCUGUUUGUUUAAUAUCAGUAUUAAUUUUCUUAGCUAUAUUAGCUCUAGAUUUCUCCAGUUCUCUAAUAACAUCAAUAACAGUAAAGUCAUCAUCAGGGAUAUUCACUCCCAUAUGAGCAGCCAUAUUAACAAUUUCCAUAUUGGAUAGCACAUCAAAAGAAUUUUCAGAUACAAGAUCAUUACCUUGUAAAUUCCACUUUUUUGCCAACUUCUCAGCUCUGGCACCAACAUGAUCCAUAUUGAUCUCAACAUUCCUUUUGCUGAAUCUGGCUUGCACUUCUUCCAGCACAGGAGGAGUAGGCACAACCUCCACAUCUUCAUAGGAUUCCCCAGGAGAUUGCACAAGGUAGGCCUGUUCUUUCUCCUGAUAAUUCUUGUCACCAUUUUUUAUCUCAGUAACUGUUGGUUCUCCCAUACAAGCAUCCAAGUAAGAGGAGAAUUUUUUGUGAAUCACAGGACUGGAAACAGUCUGCAUAGAGUUCACCACAAUUUUCUGAAAGAAGUACCCAUAGUAGAUUGUUUUUCAAUCUCUUUCAUAUGAAUUUUUUCUGCUUCAGCAACCAUAGAAUCUAUGAGCAGCACAUUAUCCACAUCCUCACUUUCCUCAUCAGAUUGUGUUUCCUUACUUUUUUCCUGAUUUUGCAUCAUAUCAGCUUUUUCCUGAAUAGUGUCCAAUCUCACACUCAUCAUAUUUUUUCCUCGAGACAUGCCAGAGGGAGCCGAAUACUCCCCCAUAGUAGAUGAGGAGAUGUUCUGCCCAUCAGGUCUAAUAUUCUCAUUAAGCUUAGUUCUUUUAGGAGAAUUUCCCCCAUCAGCCUCCAUUUGCACAUUAAUUUUUUCUUUAGGAGGAUUUUUCACAAGAAUAUUAUCCACAGAAAAGAAAAAAUCAUAGAAAUGGCCCCCCAAAACUCCUUCAGCAGAUGUAGGAAUAUUUUCAGCAUCUGUACAGCCCAAUUUAAUCCUGACUAAUUCAGGUCUGUUUAUAGUAGCUUUAUCUAUUUCCAGAGUCACCCCAACCAAGGAACCCACAUAUGCAAUGUUUUUUUCAUGCCUUUUAUCCAGGGGAAUAUUACUGACAUUGACCCAUGCUAUGUUAAGUAUGCCUUUAGCUCCCAUAGAUUCUGACCACUUCCUCAAAUUAAUCACAGCCCCACAACUUUUCAAAUGCAUGCUCUCAGCAAAACAAGCUUUAUCAACAUCCCUAGGUGAUGGAAAUCUUAUCACAAAAGUUUUUGGCCCAAUCGACCUAGCGGAACAUCUCCAUUUUGUGUUAAUAUAAGCAUUAAAAAACUCCUCCAACUGUCUACCAGACGCUUGCCCCUCCACCACAGAUAUGACAAUGAACCGAUUCCUAUCAGUGUUCUGGUUCGGAGUACUGUGAUCAUGAAUAUAGAAAAAACCUUUCCCUCUAGCCUGGAAUCCACACAUCGGAGCCACACAUUCCCAAGGAAGCACCGUGUUGCAAACAGAGGCUAGAUGACCAUGAUUCCCACAUCUACCACACACAGAACGCGGACAGAACGCAGGUACAUGACCUGGAUCCUUGCAAGUAAUGCAAACCUCAGCACCACCCACUAGUGGGGCGGUGUUCCUCUUGCCAGGAGUAGGAUGACGACGGUCUUGGGCUUGGGGCUGCUUUCCGCCUGCUGCUCCAGCGACCGCGGUAUUAUCGCCCCACUUCUCAGAUCCGCGCGGACCUCCUUGCUCCAUCACCUCAGCAUCCCACCGUGCCUUGUCGGACGAUCCAUGGCGUGGAUCAAUGUUGGAGGAGCCGCCUUCGUCGUUGUCGCGCAUCCACACCAAGCUGCGGCCCCCGCCGCCACCACCAUGCUCGCGGGAACCGCCGUGCCCAUAUCGGCCGCCACCACGCCCGAAUCUCCCUUCCGCCGCCCCAUCUCCACGAUUGAACCGAUUACCUCCGUCGUGUCCCGCCAUGGACUGCGUCCGCGGAGGCGAAGCAGCCACGUGAGCGAAGGACCGCUGAUCCCCUCCCACUUUUCCUUCCCACCAGGCGAAGGUAGGUGAAACCCUAGGAGACCUCCAGAAAUGGCUGAAGAGGGAAUCGAGAUAGUGGAAGUGGCAACGGGUGGUGCGGGGUUGGUGGUGGGAGACGGGGUGAGUAGAUAAGGCUCUCUCUCUCCCCUGUAGCACCGGGGCCCCCACACGGGUCGACCGCGGCGUGCGACACGGGUUUGGGCCCGAGAACCCCCGGGUCAAGCGACCGGGGCGGUACAUGGCUGCCACGCACGGAGAUGAGCACGUGCUCUGUCAUCUCUACCCGCUCAGACGGUGGCGCCGGCGGUGAGAAUCGCCGCGCAGGCCGUAUCGCCGCGCCGGGAGAGGAGGACGACGACAUUCCGUCGAAAAGAUAUUGGUUUUCUUCAUGUCGCAUGAACAUGGACACCUGGUUUGAUUUGCAAGCUGUACGUACGGUGACUUUUUGGGAGAUACCUGGUCCGAAGACGAUCGAUCCUCCGAGGAACAUGUGAGAUGCAUUGAAGUACUUAAAAGGUUAAUUAAGAUGGGAAGUGAACAUGGCAUGCUUGUUGCCAGCCAGGAUCGGAAGGAAGCCAAGUGCUAUGGUGGUUGAACUGGUUUCCACAUCGGAGGUAUUGGACUUUCUCACGCACCAAGACGUGCACCAGAGAACCACCGUUUCACAGCAUCUAUAACCCGACCCUUCAUGCCCGUUUCAAACGUUCACGUAGACAACCUGUCAAAAAAAUGACUCAAUUGGGCCUCUCAAACGGGCCUUAAACUUCGGGAUUAACCGACACCCCACAUAUCUAGCCUAAAUAUAGGACGGAUAUGGGGGCGUCCGGUUGCGUCCGUGCAUGCCCGCCACGUCGGCCUGACGAUGGGGUCUCAUGCGGACUCGUCCAAAAAUCCAAUGGUCCAAUAGGCGCCUCGAUAGUCAUCGCGGUGUGAACAUCAUGUGGCACUGCUCCAGCUCGCUGCGGGAGGCCCUAGCCGGCUAUUUAAGCUGGCCGGCAUCCUCCAGCCCUAGCACAUCCACCUUCUUCCUCCCUUCACCAUCACCUAAGACCGCCCGCCUCUUCUCCCGCGCUCUCCCGCGCUCUCCGACGUCAGUAUGGUCCGCCAUAGGAUCACCACGUAUGCUAUGCUCACGUGUGAGCGACAGAUGCAGAUCGAGGCAGAGAUCCAGGCUCGGUGCGCCACCCGCAUCGCUGCGGGUCUGCCUCCGGGCUUGCCGGAGCCGGUGGAGGAGGGGGAGGAGCAGCCGGAGGCGAUGGAGGAUGAUGAUGCAAAGGAGGACGAGGCAGUCCAUCCUGCUCCAGGCUUGAACAUGAUGGAGACAGAAGCGGAGUUCGCCCACGCCCAAGCCGAGGAGAUGGCCAGCAGGAGGCCAUCCUGGAUUCCAUCCAGGAUGAGGACGAGGUGUUGGUAAUAUGCCCUAGAGGCAAUAAUAAAAUAGUGAUUAUUCUAUUUCCUGUUUCAAGAUAAUCAUUUAUUAUCCAUGCUAUAACUAUAUUGAAUGGAAACAUAAAUGCAUGUGUGGAUAUAUAGACAAAAAUGUGUCCCUAGUGAGUCUCUAGUUGACUAGCCUGUUGAUCGAGGAUGGUUAAGGUUUCCUAGCCAUAGACAAGUGUUAUUCAUAGAGAAACUUUUAUUCAAGUAAUCCUUUAUGCUCUCCAAAAACUCUACGUUGUUUCCAAUCAGCAAUAUGUCAUCCACAUAUAAUAUUAGAAACGCCACAGAGCUCCCACUCACUUUCUUGUAAAUACAAGAUUCUCCAACCACUUGUAUAAACCCAAAUGCUUUGAUCACCUCAUCAAAGCGUUCGAGAUGCUUGCACCAGUCCAUAAACGGAUCGCUGGAGCUUGCACACCUUGUUAGCAUUCUUAGGAUCGACAAAACCUUCGGGUUGUAUCAUAUGCAACUCUUCCUUAAGGAAACCGUUAAGGAACGCCGUUUUGACAUCCAUUUGCCAGAUUUCAUAAUCGAAAAAUGCAGCUAUUGCUAACAUGAUUCUGACGGACUUAAGCAUUGCCACGGGUGAGAAAGUCUCAUCGUAGUCAACUCCUUGAACUUGUGAAAAACCCUUUGCCACANNNNNNNNNNCGUCAGCGUCCGUCUUCCUCUUAAAGAUCCAUUUGUUCUGAAUGGCCUUGCGGCCCUCAGGUAGUACCUACAAAGUCCACACUUUGUUCUCAUACAUGGAUCCUAUCUCGGAUUUCAUGGCCUCUAGCCAUUUGUUGGAAUCUGGGCCCACCAUUGCUUCUUCAUAAUUUGCAGGCUCAUUGUUGUCUAACAACAUGAUUGAUAAGACGGGAUUACCGUACCACCCUGGAGCAGCACAUGGUCUCGUCGACCUGCGUGGUUCGACAGAAACUUGAACUGGAGUUUCAUGAUCAUCAUCAUUAACUUCCUCCUCAACUGGCGUCGCAAUGACAGAGGUUUCCCCUUGCCCUGCGCCACCAUCCAGAGGGAUGAGAGGUUCGACAACCUCAACAAGUUCUAUCUUCCUCCCACUCAAUUCUUUCGAGAGAAACUCUUUCUCAAGAAAUGCUCCAUUCUUAGCGACAAAUACUUUGCCCUCGGAUCUGAGAUAGAAGGUAUACCCAACUGUCUCUUUUGGGUAACCUAUGAAGACACACUUUUCUGCUUUGGCUGCCAGCUUUUCAAGGUGAAGCUUUUUGACAUAAGCAUCGCAUCCCCAAACUUUAAGAAACGACAACUUCGGCUUCUUCCCAUACCACAGCUUAUAUGGUGACGUCUCAACGGAUUUUGAUGGUGCCCUAUUUAAAGUUAAUGCCACUGUCUCUAAUGCAUAGCCCCAAAAUGAUAAUGGAAAAUCAGUAAGAGACAUCAUAGAUCGCACCAUAUCUAACAAAGUACGAUUACGACGUUCGGACACACCAUUACGCUAUGGUGUUCCCGGCGGUGUCAACUGUGAAACAAUUCCACAUUGUCUUAAGUGAGCACCAAACUUGUAACUCACAAACUCUCCUCCUUGAUCAGAUCGUAGGAACUUGAUCUUCUGUCUACGAUGAUUUUCAAUUUCACUCUAAAAUUGCUUAAACUUUGCGAACAUUUCAGACUUGUGCUUCAUCAAGUAGAUAUAGCCAUACCUACAUAAAUCGUGAGUGAAGGUGAGAAAAUAACGAUAUCCACCGCGCGCCUCUAUGCUCAUUGGUCCGCACACAUCAAUAUGUAUAAUCUCCAAUAAGUCACUUGCACGCUCCAUUGUUCGAGAGAACGGAGUCUUAGUCAUCUUGCCCAAGAGGCAUGGUUCGCAUGUGUCAAGUGAUUCAAAAUCAAGUGACUCCAAAAGUCCAUCAGCAUGGAGUUUCUUCAUGCGGUUAACACCAAUAUGACCUAAGCGGCAAUGCCACAAGAAAGUGGUGCUAUCAUUGUUAACUCUGCAUCUUUUGGUCUCAAUAUUAUGGACGUGAGUAUCAUCACAAUCGAGAUUUAAAAUGAACAAACCCCUCAAAUUGGGUGCAUGACCAUAAAAGAUAUUACUCAUAUAAAUAGAACAAACAUUAUUCUCAGACUUAAAUGAGUAACCGUCUCGCAAUAAACAAGAUCCACAUAUAAUGUUCAUGCUUAACGUAGGCACUAAAUAACAAUUAUUUAAGUUCAUAACUAAUCCCGAUGGUAACUGAAGUGAUACCGUGCCGACGGCUAUCACAUCAACCUUGGAACCAUUUCCCACGCGCAUCGUCACUUCAUCCUUUGCCAGCCUUCGCUUAUUUCGUAGUUCCUGCUUCGAGUUGCAAAUGUGAGCAAGAUAACCGGUAUCAAAUACCCAGGCACUACUAGGAGAGUUGGUUAGGUACACAUCAAUAACAUGUAUAUCAUAUAUACCUUGUUUGUCGUUGGCCGCCUUCUUAUCGGCGAGAUACUUGGGGCAGUCGCGCUUCAAGUGACCAGUCCCCUUGCAAUAAUAGCACUCGGUUUCUGGCUUAGGCCCUACCUUGUGUUUCUGUUGGAAUUAUGCCCUAGAGGCAAUAAUAAAUAUAGUUAUUAUUACAAUUCUUGGAUCAAGAUAAUCGUUUAUUAUCCAUGCUAUAAUUGUAUUGAAUGAAGACUCAUUUACAUGUGUGGAUACAUAGACAAAACACUGUCCCUAGUAAGCCUCUAGUUNNNNNNNNNNNNNNNNNNNNNNNNNNNNNNNNNNNNNNNNNNNNNNNNNNNNNNNNNNNNNNNNNNNNNNNNNNNNNNNNNNNNNNNNNNNNNNNNNNNNUAGUUCUCCCUCGGGGCUGAGGGUAUGUACCAGUAGCUAUGUGUUUGAUCUCUCUCUCUCUCGUGUUCUUGAGAUGUCUUGAUCUCGAUGUACCAUGGGCUUUGCUACUAUAGUUGGAUCUUAUGACGUUCUUCCCCCCUACCUCUUGUAAUGAAUUGAGUUUCCCCUUUGGAGGUAUCUUAUCGGAUUGAGUCUUUGAGAACACUUGAUGUAUGUCUUGCACGUGUCUAUCUGUUGUGAUCAACUUGCAGGUUUGUGACAUUGGGAACCUAUGCAUAUGGGUUGGCACACGUGGAUUCAUGUGAGUACUUGAUGUAUGUUUUGGUGAUCAACUUGCGGGUUCGUGACAUUGGGAACCUAUGCACAGGGGUUGGCACAUGUUUUGACUCUCUUGUAGAAACUUUGGGGCACUCUUUGAAGUUCUAUGUGUUGGUUGAAUAGAUGAUUCUGAGAUUGUGUGAUGCAUAUCGUAUAAUCAUGCCCACGGAUACUUGAGGUGACAAUGGAGUAUCUAGGUGACAUUAGGGUCUUGGUUGAUAUGUAUCUUAAGGUGUUAUUCUAGUACGAACUCUAUGAUGGAUCGAACGGAAAGAAUAGCUUCGUGUUAUUUUACUACGGACUCUGGAAUAGAUCGAUCAGAAAGAAUAACUUUGUGGUGGUUUCAUACCCGACAAUAAUCUCUUCGUUUGUUCCCCGCUAUUAGUGACUUUGGAGUGACUCUUCGUUGCAUGUUGAGGGCUAGUUAUAUGAUCCAAUUAUGUUAUCAAUGUUGAGAGAACUUCACUAGUGAAAGUAUGAACCCUAGGCCUUGUUUCCACGCAUUGCAAUACCGUUCGUGCUAACUUUUGUUACUAGUUACCUUGCUGUUUUUGUAAUUUCAGAUUACAAAAACCUAUAUCUACCAUCCAUAUUGCAGUUGUUUCACCUUCUCAUCGCCGAACUAGUGCACCUAUACAACUUACCAUUGUAUUGGGUGUGUUGGGGACACAAGAGUCUCUUUGUUAUUUGGUUGCAGAGUUGCUUGAGAGAGACCAUCUUCAUCCUACGCCUCCCGCGGAUUGAUAAACCUUAGGUCACCCACUUGAGGGGAAAUUUCUACUGUCCUAUAAACCUCUGCACUUGGAGGCCCAACAACGUCUACAAGGAGAAGGUUGCGUAGUAGACAUCAAGCUUUUUUCUGGCGCCGUUGUCGGGGAGGCUAGGUAAGCGGCACUCACCUCCCGUCAACGAAGCUCUUUUCUGGCGCCGUUGCCGGGGAGGUUAGCGCUUGAAGGUAUAUCUUUACAUCUUGCAAUCGAAUCUUUUUGUUUCUUGUUCUUUCGCUGAAAACUACAAAAAAAUGGAAUUGAGGAUGCCUCAUAUGCUCCAUCUUUUCAAUGUCUUUCGUGAGCAUGAUGGGAAGGAAAAUUGUGCUCAAGUGCUGAAAGAAGAAUUAAAUAGAAUGCUUGGCAUAGAAUAUGUGAAUGAUGAGCAUGAUUGCAAUGUUCUUAGCAUGAAUUCUAUGAAUACCCAUGAUGCUAAUGAUAUGCAAAUCCACAAGCUUGGGGAUGCUAUAUUUGAUGAAGAUGAUCUUUUUAGUUCUUCCACUUUGAAUGAUCAAAAUUAUUUUGAUGAAAGCAUGCCGCCUAUCUAUGAUGAUUAUUGUGAGGGUACUUAUGGUUUAAAGAAGAGGGAUGAUAAAACUUGUCAUACUCUCGAGAACCCUUUUGCUAAACCUUGCUUUUUCAUUGUGGACACAAUUUGUAGUGCUCAAGUCUUUUAGGAUACUCCCACUACUAUUCUUGAGAAUAGAUUUCCUUAUGUGGAGAGUAGUAAAAUUCCUAUGCUUUUAGAUCAUGAAAAGAAUGCUUUAGGUGCUGGUUAUAUUGUUGAAUUCAUUCAUGAUGCUACUGAAAAUUACUAUGAGAGAGGACCAUAUGCUUCUACUGAUUGCAAUAGUAUCAAGCUUCCUCUCCAUAUGUUGAAUUCUUUGAAGCUAUGCUUGUUUUGCCUUCCUAUGCUAGUUGAUUCUUGCUCCAAUAAAUUGUUUGAUCACAAAAACCCUAUGCAUAGGAAGUGGAGCCAUUUGCUCCAUGAUGCUCUCGUUGUGUUUCAAUCCUUACCUUUUAUGUGAGCAUCAUUGAAAUCAAUGCCUAGCUAAGGGCGUUAAACGAUAGCGCUUGUUGGGAGGCAACCCAAUGAAUAAAUUUUUCUUUGAUUUUUGCUUCCUGUUUUGUUUUCUCCACACCAUCAUAAUUCUGUUAUGAUUGUGUCUUUUGUGUUUCUUUUUGUGUUUGUGCCAAGCAAAACCAUUAUGAUUAGUCUUGGUGAUGAUUGUUUGAUCAUGCUGGAAAAAGACAUAAACUUUGGGCUAACGAAAAGAAUUUUCAUGUUUAUUCUGUAGAAGCUUUUGAGUAGAUUCUUUUUGCUUCUGUUUUCUAUGCUAUUUCUUCAGACGGUCGUAAUUUUCCAGAAUUUUGGAAGUACCAGAGGUAUACGAAAUAUACAGAUUGCUACAGACUUGUCUGCUGUUAACAUAUUCUGUUUUUUGUUGUGUUGGUUGCUUAUUUUGAUGAAACUAUGGAUAAUAUCGGAGGGUACUAGCAAUGGAAAAGUGAAAAUACAGUAACCCAACAUCAUCAUAAGUAGAAUUUAAGUUUGCUACAGUACCUAAGGAAGUGGUGGUUUGCUUUCUCAUACUAAUGUUAUCACGAGUUUCUGUUUUAGUUUCGUGUUGUGAAGUUCUCAAGUUCUGGGUGAAGUUCUUAUGGACAAAGAGAUAAAGAGUGGCAAGAGCUCAAGCUUGGGGAUGCCCAAGGCACCCCAAGUUUAUUCAAGGAUGCUGAAAAAGCCUAUGCUUGGGGAUGCCCCGGGAAGGCAUCCCCUCUUUCGUCUUCAAUCCAUNNNNNNNNNNUGUUACUUGGAGCUAUAUUUUUAUUCACCAAAUGAUAUGUGUUUUUGCUUGGAGCGUCUUGUAUCGUAGGAGUCCUUUAUUUUUGUUGUGUCACAAUCAUCCUUGCUGCACACCUAGAGAGAGAGACAUGCACUCACCGUGAUUUUGUCGAGCUUCACUUAUAUCCUUUGGUAGACAAUUCUGCUCACAUGUGCUUCACUUAUAUCUUUUGAGCUAGAUACUUUUGCUCUAUGUGCUUNNNNNNNNNNUGAACUCUAUGAUGGAUCGAACAGAAAGAAUAGCUUCGUGUUAUUUUACUACGGACUCUUGAAUAGAUUGAUGAGAAAGAAUAACUUUGUGGUGGUUUCGUACCCGACAAUAAUCUCUUCGUUUGUUCCCCGCUAAUAGUGACUUUGGAGUGACUCUUUGUUGCAUGUUGAGGGCUAGUUAUAUGAUCCAAUUAUGUUAUCAUUGUUGAGAGCACUUCACUAGUGAAAGUAUGAACCCAAGGCCUUGUUUCCACGCAUUGCAAUACCGUUCGUGCUCACUUUUGUUACUAGUUACCUUGCUGUUUUUGUAAUUUCAUAUUACAAAAACCUAUAUCUACCAUCCAUAUUGCACUUGUUUCACCUUCUCUUCACCGAACUAGUGCACCUAUACAACUUACCAUUGUAUUGGGUGUGUUGGGGACACAAGAGACUCUUUGUUAUUUGGUUGCAGGGUUACUUGAGAGAGACUAUCUUCAUCCUACGCCUUCCGCGGAUUGAUAAACCUUAGGUCACCCACUUGAGGGAAAAUUGCUAUUGUCCUACAAACCUCUGCACUUGGAGGCCCAAAAACGUCUACAAGGAGAAGGUUACGUAGUAGACAUCAGGCACACAUCGUGUUGUUUCCAUCAAGGGUAAAAAGAUGGGGUUUAUAUCUAUUGCAUGAAUUUAUCCCUCUACAUCUUGUCAUCUUGCUUAAGGCAUUACUCUCUUCGUCAUGUACUCAAUACACUAGAUGCAUGCUGCAUCGCAGUCGAUGUGUGGAGUAAUAGUAGUAGAUGCAGAAAGUACCGGUCUACUUGUCUCGGACGUAAUACUAUAUGUAUGAUCAUUGCCUUAGAUAUCGUCAUGACUUUGCGUGGUUCUAUCAAUUGCUUGAUAGUAAUUCGUUCGCACACCAUAAUAUUUGCUAUUUUGAGAGAAGCCUCUAUUGAACACUAUGGCCGCGAGGUCUACUUCACAUCGUAUUUUCAGCUCUACACUUUUACUUUGUUGCACUUUCCACCUUCAGAUCUCACCUUGCAAUUAAUCAUGAAGGGAUUGACAACCCCUUUAUAGCGUUGGGUGCAAGUUUGUUUGUUUUUUCGCAUGUACAUUGGUGACUUGUCUUGAUACUCCUACUGGAUUGAUACCUUGCUUCUCAAACUAAGGGAAAUACUUACUGCUGCUGUGCUGCAUCACCCUUUCCUCUUCAGGGGAAAAACCAACGCAAGCUCAGGAGGUAGCAGACAUCAAUGCGCCAGGUCCUCUCACUCGCUCAAAAGUUUCACAUUUAGUUAAAUUUUGUGGGCAUUCCUCGUUUGAGUCUCUCACAGAACCCUCGAAAGUUCCUGAAGCCUUCAUGGAACCUGAGUGGAUUCAAGCCAUGUAAGAUGAACUUCUUCAACUCAAGCUAAAUGACGUAUGGGAACUCGUCAAAAGACCAGAUCCUCGCAAGCACAAUAUCGUCGACACUAAGUGGAUCUACCAAAACAAGCAACAUGAGGAUGGUCAAGUUGUGAGAAACAAGGUACAACUUGUAGACCAAGGCUACACAUAGGUUGAAGGCAUUGACUUCGAUGAAACUUUUGCACCUGUUGCUAGACUUGAAGCUAUUCGAAUAUUACUUGCAUAUGCUAACCAUCACAAUAUUACUCUAUAUCAAAUAGAUGUGAAAAGUGCAUUCCUCAAUGGUAAGCUUGAUGCAGAAGUAUAUGUUGCUCAGGCCCCAGGUUUUGAAGACCCAAAGCAUCCUGAAAAAGUCUUCAGACUCAAAAAGGCACUCUAUUGCCUCAAGCAAGCCCCUCGGGCGUGGUAUGAUACAUUGAAGGAAAUCCUCAUGACGAAAGGCUUCAAACCCGGUUCACUUGAUCAUACUCUUUUCACAAUAUCCUAUGAUAAUGAAAUAUUUGUGUGCCAAAUAUAUGUCGCCGACAUUAUCUUUGGUUGUACUGACAAACGUUACAGUGAUGAAUUUGCCUACAUGAUGGGUGAAGAAUAUCAAAUGUCUAUGAUGGGGGAGCUGAAAUUCUUCUUAGGUCUGCAAAUUCAUCAACAACGCAAUGGCAUAUUCAUAUCUAAGGAAAAAUACCUCAAGGACGUUCUGAGGAAAUUCGCCAUGCAUGAAUGCAAAGGCGUCAAGAUUCCUAUGCCUACCAAGGGCACCUCUGCACUAACGAAAAUGGUAAUGAUUUCGAUCAGCAGGUAUAUCGGUCUAUGAUUGGCUCUUUAGUGUACAUAUCUGGAUCUAGGCCAGAUAUUAUGCUUAGUGUUUGCAUGUGUGCUUGUUUUCAAGCAAAACUGAAGGAAUCACACCAUAAGGCUGUGAAACAUAUUCUUCGAUAUCUAGCUCACACACCAACACUAGGAUUAUGGUACCCCAAGGGCUGAAAUCUCCGCCUUGUUGGUUAUUCUGAUUCUGAUUAUGCUGGUGACCAUGUGGAUCGCAAGUCAACAUCAGGCACAUGCCAUUUCCUCAGAAGAUCAUUAGUCUGCUGGUCCUCAAAGAAGAAAAACUGUCUAUCACUCUCCACUGCCGAAGUUGAGUGCAUUGUUGCUGGAUCUUGUAGUGCUCAACUACUAUCGAUGAAGCAAACCCUCACAGACUACGACAUCAACAUGAAGAAUGUGCCCCUCUACUGCGACAAUGAGAGUGCAAUCAAGAUCGCCUACAACCCCGUACAACACUCAAAGACCAAGCACAUACAGAUUCGUCAUCAUUUUCUUGGUGACCAUGUCCUCAAGGGCAAUAUCAUCAUCAACCAUGUGAAGACUGAUGAUCAACUAGAAGAUAUCUUCACAAGCCCUUGGAUGAGAGAAGGUUUUGCAAGUUGUGGUGUCAGCUAAAUAUCCUAGAAUCUUCGAAUGUCUUGUAAACAUGCACACAUCCUUGAUGACUUAGAUGUGCUACACACAAAGUAAGGACAUUCUUCAAUCAAUGAAGAAUAUCACUCUAAGUGUGAAGAAAUCAAUUAAGAAUUUGGUUCUCAUGGCGCUAUGACAAUUGUACGCGGCGCCUCAAAUCAUCAUUCUUAUACAGUGGGUCACGCCACCACCCAACUUUGAAAUUCUUCAAGUUGGAAAUUGUUCAAAGUUGAAAUUCUUGAAUCUCAGACUUUGUCACAAAAACCUCAAAUUUUCAAAAUCUUGAAAAUCUUCAAAUUUUUUUGUGAUGAUCCUCAUUUGAAUAUAUGUAUAUUAUAAUGAGCUUUCAAUGUCCUCAACAGCAUUUACUUAUUGCUCAGUCUUCAAUUUGGUAUUUCCUCUAAGUGAAUUUGAUCGGACCCAACUCCCCUCUAUGCUAAGCUCAACCCAGUAUAUUCUCAAUUCUUCAUAUGCGUUCUGUUUGACACUUGUUCAAAAUCCUCACCGAGUCCUUGUGAGAUGAGGACUUUGCAAAGAAAUCCUCAGAAUUCAAAACUUAUUUUUAACGUUACCACAGUAACCGCACCCACUACUCACGUUCGGAUAACCAUGAUCUCCACCGCUUCAAUCGUGGGUAACACUUGUCAUGCAGAGACGAAGGGGCAAGGGCAGUUCGGUGUGAAAGUUUCGGCCGAGACCGUUUUUCACCUGAGCUAUAAUUAGCGCCUUACUUUCCUUAGUUAAAACACUUCUCUUCCUCUCGUCUUCUCCGAUCGAACUCAAACCCUAGCGCCGUCUCUAGCAUCUUCGUCGUCGAUGAGGAAAAGCUUCACUGCCUCACCCUCGCCGUCGACGGACUCACGCCGACUGCAGAACAUCUUCCUCCGCCACCGCAGUAGCUGUCUUCAGUCGCCCAGUUAGGGCACAGAAGAUCUGGACCGAAGAACUUCCUCUUUUUACUGCUUCAGUUCAUCGUGUUCUUCACACAGGGUAAAUAAAUCCUAUUUUACUUCCCCUGUUGAUCACUUUAUUCCCAUUAGACUCGUGAAUUCCUCACACAUUCUCUCAGCUGUGCACACGCAUGUCUAGAACACUUGAUGAAUUUCACUAAGUCACUAAAUUCUUCACGAGAUUCCUCAAUCGUGUAAAUUUUCGAAUCUGCACAACUCUCGAACCCAAGAUCAGAAUGCUUAGUCAAAUUCCUCAACUCAAUCGUCAAAUUUCUCAGCUUAAGUAAUUUUUCAAUUUCCUCAAAUCUGAGAACACAUAUGACAUCUCCAAAUUCUUCGCACCUAUACUCAGUUCACACAUACAAAAUGUCAGCUCAUGAAUCACUAGGUUCUCAUCAACUUAACACUACAAGAGAAGAGAGCUUUGGUAACACAAUCAUGUAACACAUAUUAAAAUAUGUUACAAUCGAAAAUCCAGUAACACAUGAUUUGUGUUGCAAAGAGUGAGUGUAACGCAUACAAUAUAAGCUCGAAAAAUGUGUUACGACGAUAUCGUCUAAGUAACACGUAAUUAUGUGUUGCACGUAGUGUGUUACAUAAAUGUUGCUACAAUAACAUAUUAAUAUAUGUUAGUGGGAGUGUGUUACAUAUUGUAGAGAAAGUAACACAUAAUCAUGUGUUGAUGCAUGGUUUGGUUUUGAUAAAUAUCGAACUAUUUCGAGAUGGUUUUGGUAAAUACCAUAUUAACCAAAUAAGGCCCUAAUUUUAGGAUAACUCAACGACCAUACAUGCACACCUUAAAUUGAUCAUAUAGAAUUAAGCAAUUGACAUCAAUACAUGUACUCAUGAAGAUUAUAGUACUCCAACUAAAAGCAUCAAUGAAGCACUAAGAGCGACUUCAAUGGAGCGACCCAUUUCGUCCGUCAUUGUUCGUUUGGGUCGGCACGGAUAAGAACUUUGCCCAACUAGGCGACCGAAACGGAGAACAAGUCCUUCUGGUGUCCUUUCCCGACCCAAACUGAAGCAUAUAUGGGUGCCAAAUGGGCCCGCGGCGGACAAAAGCGGGCGCUCCCGUCGUCUCCUCCCGUCCGCUCAUGUCCGCCCGGGUCCCACCUAUCAGUGACUAGCACUCGUCCUCCUCACCACCGCUGCCCCGCCGGCCCCGUAGCUGGAGCCGGGUCUGGAGACGAGGGAGGUGGCGACGACCUCGGUCUCGGUCACCGGGUCGGAGACGGUGAUGUAGGAGUACUCGAACAUGGUGGCGCGUGCGGAUCUCGGGGAGGCGGAGGCGAAGCGCGGGGAGGAGGCGGCGACGUCGGCAUAGGACGGAGGGUCGACGAAGGAGGAGGAGGUGCGGGAGAGGGGGAAGGCGGCGGGGGUGGGAGGGGANNNNNNNNNNAGCGGUGCGUGGCUUGGUAGUUGAUCUAUGCUUUGAAAGUAGUCUCAAAAGGGGUAGUUAUCCAAAGGGAUACGAAAACUUCCACCUUCAUGUGCAUUGAAUAGUUAGAGAAGUUUGAUUCAUCUCAAUUAGUUUUGAGUUGUGGUUUUGGUAAUAUUGAAGUCACGCUAGUAAGGUCUUGUGGAUCUAGAAAUACUUGUGUUGAAGUUAGUGAUUCCCGUAGCAUGCACGUAUGGUGAACCGCUAUGUGAUGAAGUCUGAGCAUGAUUAGUCUUUUGAUUGUCAUCCUUUGUGUGGCGGUCGGGAUCGCGCGAUGGUUUAUACCUACCAACCCUUCCCCUAGGAGUAUGCGUUGAAUGCUUUGUUUCGAUUACUAAUAAAACUUUUGCAACAAGUAUAUGUGUUCUUCAUGACUAAUGUUGAGUUCAUGGUUUAGAUGCACUUUCACCUUCCACCAUCACUAUCUUCUUAGUGUCGUGCAACUUUUGCCGGUGCACAAAACCCACCAUUAGCCUCCCUCAAAACAGCCACCAUACCUACCUACUAUGGCUUUUUCAAAGUCAUUCCGAGAUAUAUUGCCAUGCAACUACCACCAUGACAUGUGCCACCACGUCUACAUUGCUAUUGCAUGAUCGUAAGAUAGCUAGCAUGAUGUUUCCAUUAAUGUCUAUGCCAUGCUAGAUCGUAAGAUAGAGUCAUCGUUGCUCUAAGUUUUGAAUUAAAAGUGUGAUGAUCAUCAUUGAUGGAGCAUUGUCCCAUGUGAGGAAAUAAAAGAGGCCAAAGAUGCCCACCAAAAUAAAAUAAAAUAAAAAAGAGGCCGAAGAGCUCACCAAAAAAAAAUAUGAGAGAAAAAGAGAGAAGGGACAAUGCUACCACCUUUCCACACUUGUGCAUAUUAAGCACCAUGAUCUUCAUGAUUGAGAGUCUCUCGUUUUGUCACCACCAUAUAGCUAGUGGGAAAUUUUCAUUAUAUAACUUGGCUUGUAUAUUCCUAUGAUGGGCUUCCUCAAAAUUGCCUUAGGUCUGCGUGAGCAAGCAAGUUGGAUGCACACCCACUAGUUUUCUUUAAGAGCUUUUACAUACUCUUAGCUCUAGUGCAUCAUUUGUAUGGCAAUCCCUACUCAUUCACAUUGAUAUCUAUUUAUGAGCAUAUCCACAACUUAUUGAUAUGCCUUGUUAAUGUGAUCAUCUUCUCCUUUUUGUCUUGCAACCUCCACCACACUCCACACCAUCUAUAGUGCUAUAACCAUGGCCCACGCUCAUGUAUUGCGUGAGAGUUGAAAAGGUUUGAGAAAUUAAAGGUGUGAAACAAUUACUUGGCCAAUAUCAGGGUUGUGCAUGAUUUAAAUUCGUUGUGCAAUGAUGAUAGAGCAUAGCGAGACUAUAUGCUUUUGUAAGGAUAACUUUCUUUUGGCCUUGUUAUUUUGAAAGUUCAUGAUUACCUUGCUAGUUUGCUUCAAUUAUUAUUGUCUCCACAUCAAUAGCAAACAAUUUUUUUGAAUCUAACGGAUCUGAACAUUCAUGUCACGUGAGAUAAGUUACAAAGGACAACUAUGCUAGGUAGCAUGCAACAUCAAAAAUUCAUUCUUUAUCACUUCCCUACAAGAGGACGAGCAUGAGUUAAGCUUGGGGAUGCUUGAUACGUCUCCAACGUAUCUAUAAUUUUUGAUGAUUCCAUGCUAUUAUCUCUUCAACUUUGGAUGUUUUAUAUGCAUGAAUAUGCUAUUAUAUACAUUUUUUGGGACUAACUUAUUAACUCACUGCCAAGUGCCAAUUUAUGUUUUUUCCGUGUUUCUGGACCAUUUUCAGACGGAGUCCAAAUGGAAUGAAACUUUACGAUGAUUUUUUUGGACCAAAAGAGACCCCCGAAGCUUUGGGAGAAGGCCAGAUGGGCCACGAGGGAGUCACAAGCCCUCACGCCGCCACCCCCCCUCCCCCGGUGGUGGCGCACAGGCUUGUGACCUCCUCGUGGGCCCAACUGACGCAAUUCCACCGCCAUAAAUUCCUAUAAAUUCAGAAACCCCCAAAAAGAAACCUAGAUCGGGAGUUCCGCUGCCGCAAGCCUCUGUAACCACCAAAAACCAAUCUGGAGCCCGUUCUGGCACCCUGCCAGAGGGGGAAUCCAUCUCCGGUGGCCAUCUUCAUCAUCCCGGCGAUCUCCAUGACGAGGAGGGAGUAGUUCUCCCUCGGGGCUGAGGGUAUGUACCAGUAGCUAUGUGUUUGAACUCUCUCUCUCGUCUUCUUGAGAUGUCUUGAUCUCGAUGUACCAUGGGCUUUUCUACUAUAGUUGGAUCUUAUGAUGUUCUUCCCCCUCUCCCUCUUGUAACGAAUUGAGUUCCCCCUUUGGAGUUAUCUUAACGGAUUGAGUCUUUGAGAACACUUGAUGUAUGUCUUGCACGUGUCUAUCUGUUGUGAUCAACUUGCAGGUUUGUGACAUUGGGAACCUAUGCAUAUGGGUUGGCACACGUGGAUUCAUGUGAGUACUUGAUGUAUGUUUUGGUGAUCAGCUUACGGGUUCGUGACAUUGGGAACCUAUGCACAGGGGUUGGCACACGUUUUGAGUCUCUGGUAGAAACUUUGGGGCACUCUUUGAAGUUCUAUGUGUUGGUUGAAUAGNNNNNNNNNNNNNNNNNNNNNNNNNNNNNNNNNNNNNNNNNNNNNNNNNNNNNNNNNNNNNNNNNNNNNNNNNNNNNNNNNNNNNNNNNNNNNNNNNNNNUUGAAGAUCCAAGAGAGAGAAGAAGCCAUCUAGCUACUAGCUAUGGACCCUAAGGUCUAUGGUGAACUACUCACGCAUCAUCGGAGAGGCAAUGGUGUUGAUGGAGAAGCCCUCCAUAUUCGAAUCCCCCUCCGGUAGGGCACUAGAACGUGUCCCUGAUGGGAUCUUGCGGACACAGAGGCUUGCGGCGGCGGAAAAGUAUUUUGGUGGAUCUCUCUCGUGGUUUUGGAAUUUUUGGGGAUUUAUAGGCGGAAGAAGUAGGGCAAAGGAGCCACAUGGGGCCCACAAGCCUGCUAGGCGCGGGCCCCCUGGCCGCGCCUAGGGGGCUUGUGGCCUCCCCUGGUGCCCUCUGCUACCGCAAUGGACAACGGCUCUAGAGAUUGACACGUUGACGGAGACCGGGCUUGUGUUGGUUUUUCCCUUGAAGAGGAAAGGGUGAUGCAACACAGGAGGAGUAAGUAUUUCCCUCAGUUUGAGAACGAAGGUAUCAAUGCAGUAGGAGAAUCUCGUCAAGUCCAGAAUACCUGCACAAACACAAAAGAGUUUGCACCCAACGCUAUAAAGGGGUUGUCAAUCCCUUCGAGUUUGAUUCCAAAGUGAGAUCUGAAGGCGAAAAGUGCAACGAAGUAAAAGUGUAAGGCUGAAAAUAUGAUGUGAAGUAGACCCGGGGGCCAUAGUGUUCACUAGAGGAUUCUCUCAAAAUAGCAAAUAUUACGGUGGGUGAACAAAUUACUAUCGAGCAAUUGAUAGAACCGCGCAAAGUCAUGACGAUAUCUAAGGCAAUGAUCAUACAUAUAGGCAUCACGUCCGAGACAAGUAGACCGAUACUUUCUGCAUCUACUACUAUUACUCCACACAUGGACCGCUAUCCAGCAUGCAUCUAGUGUAUUGAGUUCAUGACGAACAGAGUAACGCCUUAAGAAAGAUGACAUGAUGUAGUGGGAUAAACUCAAACCAAUGAUGAAAACCCCAUCUUUUUACCCUUGAUGGCAACAANNNNNNNNNNUCUCGCUACCCCUUGUGUCACUGGGUGAGGUCACCGCACGGUAUGAACUUAAAACCAAGCACUUCUCCCAUUGCAAGAUUCAUAGAUCAAGCUGGCCAAACAAAACCCACAACUCGAAGAGAAUUACAAGGAUAUGAAAUCAUGUAUAAGAGAGAUCAGAAGAAACUCAAAUAAGAUUCAUAGAUAAUCUGAUCAUAAAUCCACAAUUCAUCGGAUCUCGACAAACACACCGCAAAAGAAGAUUACAUCGGAUAGAUCUCCAUGAAGAUCAUGGAGAACUUUGUAUUGAAGAUCCAAGAGAGAGAAGAAGCUAUCUAGCUACUAGCUGUGGACCCGUAGGUAUGUGGUGAACUACUCAUGCAUCAUCGGAGAGGUUAUGGUGUUGAUGAAGAAGCCCUCCGUAUUUGAAUCCCCCUCCGGCAGGGACCAUAACGUGCCCAAGAUGGGAUCUUGCGGAGACAGAAUCUUGCGGCGACGGAAAAGUACUUUCGAUGAUCUCCUGAUUUUUUCUGGGAUUUUAGGGAAUAUAUAGGCGAAAGACCUAGGGCAGAGGUGGCCCAGGGAGCCCACAAGCCUGGGAGGAGCGGGCCCCCUGGCCGCAGCUAGGGGGCUUGUGGGGUCAUUGGUGGCCCCUACCUUGGUUCUCAAGCUUCCCGAUCUUCUUCUGUUUCGAAAAAAAUCUUUUUGGCGGUUUCGUUCUGGUUGGAUUCCGUUUAAAAUCCUCCUCUGAAAGGGGUCAAAAACACGGAAAAAACAAGAACUGGCACUUGGCACUGAGUUAAUAAGUUAGUCCCAAAAAGAUAUAAAAGGCAUACAAAACAUCCAAAGUUUGAUAGGAUAAUAGCAUGAAACCAUCAAAAAUUAUAGAUACGUUGGAGACGUAUCAAGCAUCCUCAAGCUUAACUCCUGCUCGUCCUAGAGUAGGGAAGUGAUAAAGACUGAAUUUUUGAUGUGGAAUGCUACCUAGCAUAGUUGUCCUUUGCAACUUCUUUCGUGUGACAUGAAUGUUCAGAUCCGUAAGAUUCAAACCAAUAGUUUGCUAUUGACAUGAAACCAAUAAUACUUCAAGGAAACUAUCAAGGUAAUCAUGAACUUUCGAAAUAACAAGGCCAAAGAAAGUUAUCCCUACAAAAUCAUAUAGUCUGGCUAUGCUCCAUCAUCCUGAGACAACUAAUUUAAAUCAUGCACAACCGUGAUAUUGGCCAAGUAAUUGUUUGCGCACUCUUACUUUCUCAAACCUUUUAUAACUAUCACGCAGUACAUGAGCAUGAGCCAUGGAUAUAGCACUAUAGGUGGAAUAGAGUGUGGUGGUGGUUGUGAGACAAAAAGGGAGGAGAUGGUCACAUUGACUCGGCGUAUCAAAGGGCUAUGGAGAUGCCCAUUAAUAGAUAUCAAUGUGAGUGAGUAGGGAUUGCCAUACAAAGGAUGCACUAGAGCUAUAAGUAUGUGAAAGCUCAAAAGGAUAACUAGUGGGUGUGCAUCCAACUUGCUUGCUCACGAAGAUCUAGGGCAAUUUUGAGGAAGCCCAUCAUUGGAAUAUACAAGCCAAGUUAUAUAAUGAAGAUUCCCACUAGCAUAUGGUGGUGACGAAAUGAGAGGCUCUUGCUACGUCAACAAAAGUCGUUCACCGGCACUGGUGCAAGAGAUCCUUCUAUCGUCUCUCGAGCUUGCGUUGAUUUUUCCCUUUGAGAGGAAAGGGUGAUGCAGCACAGGAGCAGUAAGUAUUUCCCUCAGUUUGAGAACCAAGGUAUCGAUCCAGUAGGAGGGUCUCGGCAAGUCCAGAGUACCUGCGCAAACACAAACGAGCUUGCACGCAACACUUCAAAGGGGUUGUCAAUCCCUUCAAGAUUGUUUGCAAAGUGAGAUCUGAAGGCGGAAAGUGCAACGAAGUAAAAAGUGUAAGGCUGAAAAUAUGGUGUGGAGUCGACCCGGGGGCCAUAUUGUUCACUAGAGGCUUCGCUCAAAAUAGCAAAUAUCACGGUGGGAAAACAAAUUACUGUCGAGCAAUUGAUAGAACCGUGCAAUGUCAUGACGAUAUCUAAGGCAAUGAUCAUAGAUAUAGGCAUCACGCCCGAGACAAGUAGACUGAUACUUUCUACAUCUACUACUAUUACUCCACACAUCGACCGCUAUCCAGCAUGCAUCUAGUGUACUGAGUUCAUGACGAACGGAGUAACGCCUUAAGCAAGAUGACAUGAUGUAGAGGGAUAAUGUCAAACCAAUGAUGAAAACCCCAUCUUUUUACCCUUGAUGGCAACAACACGAUGCGUGCCUCGCUACCCCUUCUGUCACUGGGUGAGGUCACCGCACGGUAUGAACCCAAAACCAAGCACUUCUCCCAUUGCACGAAUCAUAGAUCUAGUUGGCCAAACAAAACCCACAACUCGAAGUGAAUUACAAGGAUAUGAAAUCAUGCAUAAGAGAGACCAGAAGAAACUCAAAUAAGAUUCAUAGAUAAUCUGAUCAUAAAUCCACNNNNNNNNNNGAGCCCUCGUGAAUCACUUCAUAAAUUUCUUCCUCACAAUUUUCAGAUUCACGCAUCUCAAGCAAAACUCCAUAAAGAUAGUCAAGUGUACUCAACUCACUAGCAAUUGGAUCAACAUAAUUGGAUCUCUUAAAGAUAUUAGCAAGUGGAUGAGGAUCCAUAUCACAAGAUUUUCAGCAAGUGAAGAUGCAAGCAUAUUGAAGGCACAUAGCACACAAGUGAACAGAAAGCAAGCAAAAGAAAAGGGCGAACGAAAAAGGCAAAUUGGUGAAGUGGGGGAGAGGAAAACGAGAGGCAACUGGCAAACAAAGUAAAUGCAAGAGAUGAGUUUGCGACACCUACUUGGAUGAGUUCUUGACUUUAUCUUCCUCCCCGGCAACGGCGCCAGAAAUCCUUCUGCUACGUCAACAAAAGUCGUUCCCCGGCAGUGGUGCCAGAGAUCCUUAUGUCGUCUCUCGAGCUUGCGUUGGGUUUUCCCAUGAAGAGGAAAGGGUGAUGCAACACAGCAGCAGUAAGUAUUUCCCUCAGUUUGAGAACCAAGGUAUCGAUCCAGUAGGAGGGUCUCGUCAAGUCCAGAGUACCUGCGCAAACACAAACGAGCUUGCACCCAACGCUUCAAAGGGGUUGUCAACCCUUCGAGAUUGUUUGUAAAGUGAGAUCUGAAGGCGGAAAGUGGAACAAAGUAAAAAGUGUAAGGCUGAAAAUAUGGUGUGGAGUAGACCCGGGGGCCAUAGUGUUCACCAGAGAAUUCUCUCAAAGUAGCAAAUAUCACGGUGGGAAAACAAAUUACUGUCAAGCAAUUGAUAGAAACUCACAAAGUCAUGACGAUAUCUACGACAAUGAUCAUACAUAUAGGCAUCACGUCCGAGACAAGUAGACCGAUACUUUCUGCAUCUACUACUAUUACUCCACGCAUCGACCGCUAUCCAGCAUGCAUCUAGUGUAUUGAGUUCAUGACGAAUAGAGUACCGCCUUAAGCAAGAUGACAUGAUGUAGAGGGAUAAUCUCAAACCAAUGAUGAAAACCCCAUCUUUUUACCCUUGAUGGCAACAACAUGAUGCGUGCCUCGCUACCCCUUAUGUCACUAGGUGAGGUCACCGCACGGUAUGAACCCAAAACCAACCACUUCUCCCAUUGCAAGAAUCAUAGAUCUAGUUGGCCAAAAAAAACCCACAACUCGAAAAGAAUUACAAGCAUAUGAAAUCAGGCAUAAGAAAGAUCAGAAGAAACUCAAAUAAGAUUCAUAGAUAAUCUAAUCAUAAAUCCACAAUUCAUCGGAUCUCGACAAACACACCGCAAAAGANNNNNNNNNNCUCAUCGGAUCUCGACAAACACACCGCAAAAGAAGAUUGCAUCCGAUAGAUCUCCAUGAAGAUCAUGGAGAACUUUGUAUUGAAGAUCCAAGAGAGAGAAGAAGCCAUCUAGUUACUAGCUAUGGACCAGUAGUUCUAUGGUGAACUACUCACGCAUCAUCGGAGAGGUCAUGGUGUUGAUGAAGAAGCCUUCUGUAUCUGAAUCCCCCAUCCGGUAGGGCACCAGAACGUGCCCCAGAUGGGAUCUUGCGGAGAGAGAAGCUUGCGGCGGCGGAAAAGUACUUUCGAUGAUCUCCUGGCUUUUUGUGGUAUUAUUGGGGAUAUAUAGACGCAACCCCUAGGGCAAAGGAGGUCUAGGGGGCCCACAAGCCUGAGGGCCGCGGCCUGCCCCCCUGGCCGUGGGGUGGGGGCUUGUGGGGACCCUGGGGCCCGCCUGCCUUGGCUCUCAAGUCUCCUGAUCUUGUUCCGUUACAGAAAAAUCUUUUCAGGGAUUUUAUUCCAUUUGCACCCUGUUUCAAAAUCUCCUCUGAAAGGGGUCAAAAACAUGGAAAAAACAGGAACUCGCACUUGGCACUCAGUUAAUAGGUUAGUCCCAAAAAAUAUAUAAAAGGCAUGCAAAACAUCCAAAGUUUGACAAGAUAAUAGCAUGAAACCAUCAAAAAUUAUAGAUACGUUGGAGACGUAUCAAGCAUCCCCAAGCUUAACUCCUGCUCGUCCUCGAGUAGGGAAAUGACAAAGGACGAAUUUUUGAUGUGGAAUGCUACCUAGCAUAGUUGUCCUUUGCAACUUNNNNNNNNNNAUGUGACAUGAAUGUUCAGAUCCGUAAUAUUCGAAAUAAUAGUUUGCUAUUGACAUGAAAACAAUAAUACUUCAAGCAAACUAGCAAGGUAAUCAUGAACUUUCAAAAUAACAUGGCCAAGGAAAGUUAUCCCAACAAAAUCAUAUAGUAUGGCUAUGCUCCAUUAUCCUCACACAACUAAUGUAAAUCAUGCACAACCCCGGUAUUGGCCAAGUAAUUGUUUUCGCACUCUUACUUUCUCAAACUUUUUAUAACUAUCACGCAAUACAUGAGCGUGAGCCAUGGAUAUAGCACUAUAAGUGGAAUAGAGUGUGGUGGUGGUUGUGAGACAAAAAAGGAGGAGAUGGUCACAUUGACUCGGCGUAUCAAAGGGCUAUGGAGAUGCCCUUUAAUAGAUAUCAAUGUGAAUGAGUAGGGAUUGCCAUACAAGAGAUGCACCAGAGCUAUAGUAUGUGAAAGCUCAAAAGGAAAACUAGUGGGUGUGCAUCCAACUUGCUUGCUCACGAAGACCUAGGGCAAUUUUGAGGAAGCCCAUCGUUGGAAUAUACAUGCCAAGUUAUAUAAUGAAGAUUCCCACUAGCAUAUGGUAGUGACGAAGCAGGAAGCUCUCAAUCAUGAAGAACAUGGUGCUAUUAUGAAGCACAAGUGUGGGAAAAGAUAGUAGCAUUGUCCCUUCUCUCUUUUUGUCUCUUUUUCUUUUUUCAUUUGGGCUCUUAGGCCUCUUUUUUUCUUUUCUUUUUUAUGUUUGGGCUCUUUGGCCUCUUUUUUUUCCUCGCAUGGGACAAUGCUCUAAUAAUGAUGAUCAUCACACUUUUAUUUACUCACAGCUUCAAAGCUCAAAAUGAUGAUGACUCUAUAGGAAAUGCCUCCAGCAGUGUAUGGGGAUGUGCAACGAUCUAGCAUAGCGUAUGAUGUUGAAACAUCUCGCUAGCUAUCUUACGAUCAUGCAAUGGAAAUAUGAGAGUGACGACACAAGUCAUGAGAGGGAACGGUGGGAGUUGCAUGGCAAUAUAUCUCGGAAUGGCUAUGAAAAUGCCAUUGUAGGUAGGUAUGGUGGCUGUUUUGAGGAAGGCAUAUGGUGGGUUUGUGCACCGUCGAGAGUGCGCGGCACUACAGAGGCUAGGAAUGCUGGAAGGUUAAAGCCUAUCUAUACCAUGGACUCACAUUAGUCAUGAAGAACUCACAUACUUGUUGCGAAAGUUUUUAUUAGUAAUCGAAACAAAGUGCUAAACGCAUACUCCUAGGGGAAGGGUUGGUAGGUGUUAACCAUCGCGCGAUCCCGACCUCAACUCAAAGGAUGACACUCAAUAGAUCAAUUAUGCUUCGACUUCCUAACAUAGCGGUUCACCAUACGUGCAUGCUACGAGAAUCACUAACUUCAACACAAGUAUUUCUAGAUUCACAAGACCCUACUAACAUAGCUCUUAAUAUUACCAAAUCCACGCCUCAAAACUAAUUGCGAGGAAUCAAGACUUCUGUUUCCACUCAAUGCACAUGAAGAUGGAGGUUUUUGCAUCCUCUUUGGGUACCUAUCACAUUUGGGACUACUUUCAUAGCAUAAGCCAACUACCAAAUCACGCACCGCCGUGCUCUAAAAGAUAUAAGUGAAGCACAUAGAGCAAAAGUAUCUAGCUCAAAAGAUAUAAGUGAAGCACUAUGAGCAUUCUAGCAAAAAUCAUGAUGAGGGCAUGUCUCUCUCUCUCUCUCAAAAAGGUGUGCAGCAAAAAUGAUUGUGACCCAAAGAAAAGAAAAGACUCCUAAGAUACAAGACGCUCCAAGCAAAACACAUAUCAUGUGGUGAAUAAAUAUAUAGCUCCAAGUAAUGUUACCGAUGGAUUGAAGACGAAAGAAGGGAUGCCUUCCCGGGGCAUCCCCAAGCUUAGGCUUUUUGGUGUCCUUGAAUUUGGCUUGGGAUGCCUUGGGCAUCCCCAAGCUUGAGCUCUUUCCACUCCUUAUCUCAUUGUCCAUGAGAACAUCACCCAAAACUUGAAAACUUCACAACACAAAACUCAAUCAGAAACUCGUGAUAACAUUAGCACAAGAAAACAAACUACCACCUCUUUUGGCAUUGUAGCAAACUUGAAAUCUAUCUAUAUUGGUGUUGGGUUACUGUAUUCUCAGUUUUCCAUGGCUAGUACCCCCCGAUACUAACCAUAGUUUCAUCAAAACAAGCAACCAACUCAACAAAAAAGAGAAUAUGUCAAAAACAGACCAGUCUGCAGCAAUCUGUAUACUUCGUAUACUUCUGGUACCUCAAAAAUUCUAAAAACUAACGACUGCCUGGGAAAAAGGCAUAUCAACCAGCAGCAAAAAUAAUAAAUUCAAAUUCUAUUUCUGAAUAAAAAUUAAAAAUCAUCUCGUGAGCGAAAAGUUUCUGUCUUUUUCCAGCAGGAUCAAACAACCAUUAGCAAGACUAGUCAUAAAGGUUUUGCUUGGCUCAAACACAAAAGAAACACAAAAAACACAAUCACAAAAGAAUUAUGAUGGUGUGGACGGAACAAAACAUAAAUAAAAAAGAUAAAUUCAUUGGGUUGCCUCCCAACAAAUGCUAUUGUUUAAUGCCCUUAGCUAGGCAUUGAUAAUUCAAUGAUGCUCACACAAAAGACAAGAAUUGAAGGACAACGAGAGAAUCAAAAAAGCAUGUGAAAAUCACAUCUAAGUCUAACAUACUUCCUAUGCGUAGGCAUUUUAUAGGAAAACAGGUUGUCAAGACAACCAAUAGUUACCAAAUGCAAGGAAGAAGAAAGAGACAAUAGCAAUCUCAACAUAGCGAGAGGUGAUUUAGUGAUAUGAAAGUUUCUACCACCAUAUUUUCCUCUCUCAUAAUAAUUACAUGUGGGAUCAUAUUCGAAUUCAACAACAUAACUAUCACAUAGGAUAUUCUUUUCAUGAUCCACAUGCAUGCAAAGUUGACGCUCUUCAAAAAUAGUGGGAUUAUCAUCAACUAAAGUCAUGACUUCUCCAAACCCACUUUCAAUAAUAUUGCAAAUAUCAUAUUCAUCAUGAGGCUUAAACAAAUUUUCAAGAUCAUAAGAAAAAUCAUCGCCCCACUCAUGAUCAUUGCAACAAGUAGUGGACAUAGNNNNNNNNNNNNNNNNNNNNNNNNNNNNNNNNNNNNNNNNNNNNNNNNNNNNNNNNNNNNNNNNNNNNNNNNNNNNNNNNNNNNNNNNNNNNNNNNNNNNAUAUGAUGAAGUGACUGAGACUGGAAAAGCUGGUAUGAACUCUAUCUAUUUUGUUUUUGUAAAUAUGACUAGAUUGUCAUGCCUGAUUCAGCUUUGUUGUGAGAGAACCAUGUUUGCAAUGACAACUUAGAGAUCAUAGUUUCUGAUGCCAUGCUUAACUAGCUGAGAGCUUAUAAUGGUUUCUCUUGAAUGCCAACAUUGAUUUUGAGGUGACUAUGAUGUAGUAUGAUAGGNNNNNNNNNNACGCAUGUUCAUGCAUGUAGUUGAAACAAAAUCAACAUAGCCUCUAUGAUGUUCGUGUUCAUGGUGAUUUAUGUCCUGUUCAUGCUUGCAUUGAAUGUUAGUCAAACUCAUUGCAUCUUGAUGACUGUUGUCGCUCUCUAGUUGGUCGCUUUCCAGUCUUUUGCUAGCUUUCACUUGUACUAAGCGGAGUACUGCUUGUGCAUCCACUUCCAUAAAACCAAAUUAUUUUCCAUGAGAGUCCACGAUACCUACCUAUUUGCGGUAUCUACGUGCCAUUCCAAGUAAAUUUGCAUGCCACUCUCUAAACCUUCAAGAAAUAAUCUGUUCUGCAUGCCCGAACCGCUCAUGUGGUGACAGGGGGCUAUUGGUAUCUUCCAUGUUAGGCAUGUUAUCCUCGACAUGUGUUUAUUCACUAUCAUUCACGAGAAAGGGGCCGGUAAUUGGAAUGCCCAGUUCCACGCUUNNNNNNNNNNNNNNNNNNNNNNNNNNNNNNNNNNNNNNNNNNNNNNNNNNNNNNNNNNNNNNNNNNNNNNNNNNNNNNNNNNNNNNNNNNNNNNNNNNNNAUUUAUGUUUUGCGGUCUCAGAUAGAGCUAGCGAGAUACCACGUAUUCAUAUUGCUUCAUGCUUGUUUUGAUUGAAUUGUUGGUAUUUGAAACUCAGUAUUAUUUGCUCGUUAGCUGAUUAUGCCAUUGACAUUAGUUUACCGUGAGACCUUUGUGUCACUUGCUUAUGUGGUUAACUUGUGAUCUUGCUGAAAUUCUGGUUAUGAGUUAGACAUAGUUGCAACAACAGGAUCAAACAGAGUUUGUCAAAGUUUUUCUUUCUCUUUCAGUUUGUCAACUGAGUUGCUUGAGGACAAGCAAGGUUUUAAGCUUGGGGGAGUUGAUACGUCUCCAUCGUAUCUACUUUUCCAAACUCUUUUGCCCUUGGUUUGGACUCUAAUUUGCAUGAUUUGAAUGGAACUAAACUGGACUGACGCUGUUUUGAGCAGAAUUGCCUUGGUGUUGUUUUUGUGCAAAAUUGAAAGUUCUCGGAACGUCCUGAAAAUUUACGGAGAAUAUUUCUGGAAAAUAUGAAAAAUACCUGCGCAAAGAUCCACCGGAGNNNNNNNNNNUAGUGGGCCACAAACCCUAUAGCCGCCACCCCCUCGUGGCGGCUAGCAAGCUUGUGGGGCCCACGUCGCCCUUCCGCCCUCAAACUUAGCUCUAUAAAUUCACUUUCGUCCCAGAAAAAAUAAAAAGAGAAGAUUUCGUCGCGUUUGCGAUACGGAGGCGCCGCCACAUCCCGAUCUUCAUGUGGAGGGCAGAUCUGGAGUCUGUUUUGGGCUCCGGAGAGGGGAAAUCUUCGCCAUCGUCAUCAUCAACCUUCUUCCCUCUCCAAUUCCAUGAAGCUCUUCAUCGUUCGUGAGUAAUCUAUUCGUAGGCUCGCUGGGCGGUGAUGAGUAGGAUGAGAUCUAUCAUGUAAUCGAGUUAGUUUUGACGNNNNNNNNNNNNNNNNNNNNNNNNNNNNNNNNNNNNNNNNNNNNNNNNNNNNNNNNNNNNNNNNNNNNNNNNNNNNNNNNNNNNNNNNNNNNNNNNNNNNUGGUGAACUACUCACGCAUCAUCGGAGAGGUCAUGGUGUUGAUGAAGAAGCCUUCCGUAUCCGAAUCCCCCUACGGCAGGGCACCAGAACAUGCCCCAUAUGGGAUCUUGCGGAGACAGAAGCUUGCGGCGGCGGAAAAGUACUUUCGAUGAUCUCCUGGCUUUUUGUGGAAUUUUUGGGGAUAUAUAGGCGCAACCCCUAGGGCUAAGGAGGUCCAGGGGGUCCACAAGCCUAAGGGCCGCGGCCUCCCCCUGGUUGCGGGGUGGGGGCUUGUGGGACCCCUGGGGCCCCCUGUCUUGGCUCUCAAGUCUCCUGAUCAUCUUCCGUUACGGAAAAAAUCUUUUCGGGGAUUUUAUUACGUUUGGACUCCGUUUCAAAAUCUCCUCUCAAAGGGGUCAAAAACAUGGAAAAAACAGGAACUGGCACUUGGCACUGAGUUAAUAGGUUAGUCCCAAAAAAUAUAUAGAAGGCAUGCAAAACAUCCAAAGUUUGACAAGAUAAUAGCAUGAAAGCAUCAAAAAUUAUAGAUACGUUGGAGACGUAUCAGCUCUCAAUCAUGAAGAACAUGGUGCUAUAAUGAAGCACAAGUGUGGAAAAAGAUAGUAGCAUUGUCCCUUCUCUCUUUUUCUCUCUCUAUCUUUUUUGGGGGGCUCUUGGGCCUCUUUUUCUUCCUUUUUUUAUUUGGGAUCUUUGGCCUCUUCUUUUUUUAUUUCCUCACAUGGGACAAUGCCCUAAUAAUGAUGAUCAUCACACUUUAGUUUACUCGCAGCUCAAAGCUCAGAACGAUGACGAAUCUAUAGGAAAUGCCUCCGGCAGUGUACCGGGAUGUGCAACGAUCUAGCUUGGCGUAUGAAGUUGAAACAUCUCGCUAGCUAUCUUACGAUCAUGCAAUGGCAAUAUGAGAGUGACGGCACAAGUCAUGAGACGGAACGGUGGGAGUUGCAUGGCAAUAUAUCUCAGAAUGGCUAUGAAAAUGCCAUAGUAGGUAGGUAUGGUGGCUGUUUUGAGGAAGGCAUAUGAUGGGUUUGUGCACCGGCUAGAAUUGCGUGGCACUAGAGAGGCUAGCAAUGGUGGAAGGUGAAAGUGCAUAUGUACCAUGGACUCACAUUAGUCAUGAAGAACUCAUAUACUUGUUGCGGAAGUUUUUAUUAGUAAUCAGAACAAAGUGCUAAACGCAUACUCCUAGGGGAAGGGUUGGUAGGUGUUAACCAUCGCGCGAUCCCGACCGCAACACAAAGGAUGACAAUCAAUAUAUCAAUUAUGCUCCGACUUCCUAACAUAGCGGUUCACAAUACGUGCAUGCUACGGGAAUCACUAACUUCAACACAAGUAUUUCUAGNNNNNNNNNNUCACAACACCCUACUAACAUAACUCUUAAUAUUACCAAAUCCAUGUUUCAAAACUAAUUGAGAGGAAUCAAAACUUCUCUUUCUACUCAAUGUACAUGAAGGUGGAGGUUUUUGUAUCCUCUUUGGGUACCUAUCACCUUUGGGACUACUUUCAUAGCACAAGCCAACUACCAGGUCACGCACCGCCGUGCUGUAAAAGAUCUAAGUGAAUCACAUAGAGCAAAAUUAUCUAGCUCAAAAGAUAUAAGUGAAGCACGAUGAGCAUUCUAGCAAAAAUCACGAUGAGUGCAUGUCUCUCUCAAAAGGUGUGCAGCAAGGGUGAUUGUGACACAACAAAAAGAAAAUACUCCUAUGAUACAAGACGCUCCAAGCAAAACACAUAUCAUGUGGUGAAUAAAAAUAUAGCUCCAAGUAGUGUUACCGAUGGAUUGAAGACGAAAGAGGGGAUGCCUUCCCGGGGCAUCCCCAAGCUUAGGCUUUUUGGUGCCCUUGAAUUUGGAUUGGGAUGCUUUGGGCAUCCCAAAGCUUGAGCUCUUUCCACUCCUUAUCUCUUUGUCCCUGAGAAAAUCACCCAAAACAUGAAAACUUCACAUGAGAAAACUUAAACAGAAACUCAUGAUAACAUUAGCACAAGAAAACAAACUACCACCUCUUUAGGUACUGUAGCAAUCUUGAUUUCUAUUUAUAUGGUGUUAGAUUACUGUAUUCUCACUUUUGCAUGGCUAGUACCCCCCGAUACUAUCCAUAGUUUCAUCAAAACAAGCAACCAACGCAACAAAAACAGAAUCUGUCAAAAACACACCAGUCUGCAGCAAUCUGUAUACUUUGUAUACUUCUGGUACCUCAACAAUUCUGACAAAAUUACGACUGCGUGGGGAAAAGUCAUAUCAACCAGAAGCAAAAAAGAAUCAACUCAAAAGAUCUUUCUGAAUAAAGAUGAAAAAUAAUCUCAUGAGGAAAAGUUUCUGUCUUUUUCCAGCAGGAUCAAACAACCAUCACCAAGACUAGUCAUAAAGGUUUUGCUUGGCUCAAACACAAAAAGAAACACAAAAAAACACAACCACAACAAAAUUUUGAUGGUGUGAAUGCAACAAAACAGAAAUAAAAAGAUAAAUUCAUUGGGUUGCCUCCCGACAAGCGCUAUUGUUUAACGCCCUUAGCUAGGCAUAGGGUGAUGGAAUCACAUAUCGUCGUCUUUGGUGCUCAAACCCUAAGUAGCUUGACCACUUAUCAUCUUAAGGUUUUCAUCUUUCUUGCUAGAUGAUUCAGCACUAUUUUUAGGAGCAAAGACAGACUUGGUGACCUUAUUGUGGGUAAGGUUUGGAGUAUUCUGCACAGCGGCAAAAGAGGAACCCAAGUUGGUUAUAACGUCCUCUAGUUUGCCAAUCCUAGCGGAAUCAUGACCUAGUUUUUCGUUAACUGUGGGUUCCUUCUCCUUUAAAUUUUUCAAAACCAUUCCCACCUUGGAUCCGUACCGAGUGAUUUCAUUGUGGAUCUUUUUAUCCAAAUUCUCAAUGCGUUCGAUCGUAGCAACUUUAUUUUCAAUGAUGUCCAGCCUACGCAUCACAUGUUCCAGAGUUAAGGUAGUUCCAUUAACCAUGAGUGGGGUGAGCCUACCAAAUUUAUUACAGCUCCGUAAGAAUCAACGGUAUGGCUACCCAAGAAAUUUCCACCUACGAUGGUGUCAAGAAUAUACCUAUUCCAAGGAGAAAUACCCACAUAAAAACUGCGAAGCAGGACGUUAGUGGAUUGCUUAUGAGUAGAUUUACUCUGAGCAUUGCAAAUCCUAUACCAAGCGUCCUUUAAGUUUUCUUCCUCAAUUUGUUUGAAAUUGAGAACUUCGUUCACGGGAGUAUCGUUGGAAGUGGCGGACCUAGCCAUGAGGACAGGUAGACUAUCCCACACAAACGAACAGAAAACAAGCGAGAGAAAAAGGGCAAACGAAGAAGGCAAACGAGAAAGGCAAAUAUUUUUUUGUAAAUUUUUGUUUUUCAGAAGUGGGGGGAGGAAAACGAGAGGAAAAAAAAGGUAAAUGCAAGAGAUGAGUUUGCGGCACUUACUUGGAUGAGUUCUUGACUUGAUCCUCCCCGGCAACGACGCCAGAAAUUCUUCUGCUACGGCAAGAGACAACAACGCCAGAGAUAGACACGUUGACGGAGACUGGGCUUGCGUUGAUUUUUCCCUUGAAGAGGAAAGGGUGAUGCAGCACAUGAGCAGUAAGUAUUUCCCUUAGUUUGAGAACCAAGGUAUCAAUCCAGUAGGAGACUCUCGUCAAGUCUAGAGUACCUGCACAAACACAAAAGAGCUUGCACCCAACGCUACAAAGGGGUUGUCAAUCCCUUCAAGUUUGAUUGCAAAGUGAGAUCUGCAGGCGAAAAGUGGAACGAAGUAAAAGUAUAAGUCUGAAAAUAUGAUGUGAAAUAGACCCGAGGUCCAUAGUGUUCACUAGAGGCUUCUCUCAAAAUAGCAAAUAUUACGUGGGUGAACAAAUUACUGUCGAGCAAUUGAUAGAACCGCGCAAAGUCAUGACGAUAUCUAAGGUAAUGAUCAUACAUAUAGGCAUCACGUCCGAGACAAGUGGACCAAUACUUUCUGCAUCUACUACUAUUACUCCACACAUCGACCGCUAUCCAGCAUGCAUCUCGUGUAUUGAGUUCAUGACGAACAGAGUAACGCCUUAAGUAAGAUGACAUGAUGUAGAGGGAUAAACUAAAACCAAUGAUUAAAACCCCAUCUUUUUACCCUUGAUGGCAACAACAUGAUGCGUGCCUCCCUACCCCUUCUAUCACUGGGUGAGGUCACCGCAUGGUAUGAACGCAAAACCAAGCACUUGUCCCAUUGCAAGAAUCAUAGAUCAAGCUGGCCAAACAAAGCCCACAACUCGAAGAGAAUUUCAAGGAUAUGAAAUCAUGCAUAAGAGAGAUCAGAAGAAACUCAAAUAAGAUUCAUAGAUAAUCUGAUCAUAAAUCCACAAUUCAUCGGAUCUCGACAAACACACCGCAAAAGAAGAUUACAUCGGAUAGAUCUCCAUGAAGAUCAUGGAGAACUUUGUAUUGAAGAUCCAAGAGUGAGAGAAGAAGCCAUCUAGCUACUAGCUAUGGACCCGUAGGUCUGUGGUGAACUACUCACGCAUCAUCGGAGAGGUCAUGGUGUUGAUGAAGAAGCCCUCCGUAUCCAAAUCCCCCCUCCGGCAGGGCACCAGAACAUGCCCCAGAUGGGAUCUUGCGGAGACAGAAGCUUGCGGCGGCGGAAAAGUUCUAUCGAUGAUCUCCUGAUUUUUUCUGGGAUUUUAGGGAAUAUAUAGGCGAAAUACCUAGGGCACAGGUGGCCCAGAGAGCCGACAAGCAUGGGAGGCGCGGGCCCGCCUGGCUGCGGCUAGGGGGCUUGUGGGGUCCCUGGUAGCCCCCUGCCUUGGUUCNNNNNNNNNNNNNNNNNNNNNNNNNNNNNNNNNNNNNNNNNNNNNNNNNNNNNNNNNNNNNNNNNNNNNNNNNNNNNNNNNNNNNNNNNNNNNNNNNNNNGAUCCAGCAAUAGAGACGGAGAGGUAGAAGAGUUCUCCGGCAGCGUGACGGCCCUCCGGAGGUUGGUGAUGAUCUCGUCUCAGCAGGGCUCCGCCCGAGCUCCGCAGAAACGCGAUCUAGAGGAAAAACCAUGGAGGUAUGUGGUCGGGCUGCCGUGGAAAAGUCGUCUCAAAUCAGCCUUAAAACCUCCGUAUAUAUAGGUGGGAGAGGGGGGGGCCUUGCCUUGGGGCUCAAGGAGCCCCAAGGGGAUGGGCCAAGCCAAGGGGGGAAGGUCUCCCCCCCAAACCGAGUUGGACUUGGUUUGGUGGGUGGGAGUCCUUCCUUCCCUUCCCACCUCCUCCUUUUUUUUCUCUUUGAUUUUUCUUCCAAUGCGCAUAGAGACCUUUUCGGCUGUCCCACCAGCCCACUAAGGGCUGGUGCGCCACCCUCAAGGCCUACGGCCUUCCCCGGGGUGGGUUGCCCCCCCGGUGAACUCCCGGAACCCAUUCGUCAUUCCCGGUACAUUCCCGGUAACUCCGAAAACCUUCCGGUAAUCAAAUGAGGUCAUCCUAUAUAUCAAUCUUCGUUUCAUUUCGGAAACCCUCGUGACGUCCGUGAUCUCAUCCGGGACUCCGAACAACAUUCGCUAACCAACCAUAUACUCAAAUACGCAUAAAACAACGUCGAACCUUAAGUGUGCAGACCCUGCGGGUUCGAGAACUAUGUANNNNNNNNNNNNNNNNNNNNNNNNNNNNNNNNNNNNNNNNNNNNNNNNNNNNNNNNNNNNNNNNNNNNNNNNNNNNNNNNNNNNNNNNNNNNNNNNNNNNUUACUAUUUUGCUAGGAUGUAGCUUUAGUAGUAAUAGCAUGAGUAGCACGACAACCCCGACGGAGACACGUUGAUGGAGAUCAUGGUGUGGCGCCGGUGACAAGAAGAUCGUGCCGGUGCUUUGGUGAUGGAGAUCAAGAAGCACGUGAUGAUGGCCAUAUCAUGUCACUUAUGAAUUGCAUGUGAUGUUAAUCCUUUUANNNNNNNNNNUGACAACCCCGAUGGCGACACUUUGAUGGAGAUCAUGAUGAUGGAGAUCAUGGUGUGAUGCCGGUGACAAGAAGAUCGUGCCGGUGCUUUGGUGAUGAUGGAGAUCAAGGAGCACGUGAUGUUGGCCAUAUCAUGUCACUUAUGAAUUGCAUGUGAUGUUAAUCCUUUUAUGCACCUUAUUUUGCUUAGAACGACGGUAGCAUUAUGAGGUGAUCUCUCACUAAAAUUUCAAGACAAAAUUGUGUUCUCCCCGACUGUGCACCGUUGCUACAGUUCGUCGUUUCGAGACACCACGUGAUGAUCGGGUGUUAUAGACUCAACGUUCACAUACAACGGGUGCAAAACAGUUGCACACGCGAAACACUCAGGUUAAGCUUGACGAGCCUAGCAUAUGCAGACAUGGCCUCGGAACACAUGAGACCGAAAGGUCGAGCAUGAAUCAUAUAGUUGAUAUGAUUAGCAUAGAGAUGCUUACCACUGAAACUAUUCUCGACUCACGUGAUGAUCGGACUUGAGAUAGUGGAUUUGGAUCAUGUACCACUCAAAUGACUAGAGAGAUGUACUUUUUGUGUGGGAGUUCUUAAAUAAUAUGAUUAAUUGAACUAAUUGUCAUGAACAUAGUCUAAUGGUCUUUGUGAAUUACAAUGUAGCUUGCGCUAUAGCUCUACUGUUUUUAUAUGUUCCUAGAGAAAAUUUUGUUGAAAGUUGAUAGUAGCAAACUUUGCAGAGGAUUGUCCUCGUUGCUGCGCAGAAGGCUUAUGUCCUUAAUGCACCACUCGGUGUGUUGCACCUCGAGCGUCGUCUGUGGAUGUUGUGAACAUCCGACAUACACGUUUCUGAUGACUACACGAUAGUUCAGUGCAUAAUACUUAAAUGGCUUAGAAGCAAGGCGCCGAAGACGUUUUGAAACGUCACGGAACAUAAGUGAUGUUCUAAAGAGAUGAAAUUGUGAUUUCAUGCUUGUGCCCUUGUUAAGAUGUACGAGACCUCCGACAUGAUUCUUUGUCCACAAAGUAAAGGAGAAAACCUCAAUCGUUGAGCGCGUGCUCAGAUUGUCUAAGUACGACAAUCGCUUGAAUCAAGUUGGAGUUAAUCUUCCAGAUGAGAUAGUGAUGGUUCUCCAAAGUCACUGCCACCAAGCUGUGAGAGCUUCGUGAUGAACUAUAACAUAUCAAGGAUAGAUACAAUGAACCUUGAGCGAUUCGCGAUGUUUGACACUACGAGAGUAGAAAUCAAGGAGUAUCAAUAGUUGAUGGUUAGUAAAACCACUAAGUUUCAAGAAAGGCAAGGGCUAGAAGGGAUACUUCGUGAAACGGCAAAACAGUUGCUGCACUAAUGAAGAGACCCAAGAUUAAACCCAAACCCGAGACUAAGUGCUUCUGUAAUGAGGGGAACAGUCACUGAGGCGGAGCAACUCUAGAUACUUGGUAGAUAAGAAGGCUGGCAAAAGUUGAAAGAAGUAUAUUUGAUAUACAUGAUGUUGAUGUGUACUUUACUAGUACUCCUAGUAGCAUGAGGGUAUUAGAUACCGGUUCGGUUGCUAAGUGAUUAGUAACAUGAAAUGAUAGCUACGGCGUAAACAGAAACUAGCUAAAGGCGAGGUGACGGUACGUGUUGGAAGUGUUUCCAAGAUUGAUAUGAUCAAAACAUCGCACGCUCCCUCUACCAUCGGGAUUGGUGUUAAACCAAAAUAAUUGUUAUUUGGUGCUUGCGUUAAGCAUGAACGUGAUUGGAUCGUGUUUAUUGCAAUACGAUUAUUCAUUUAAAGAGAAUAAUGGUUACUCUAUUUGCUUGAAUAAUCACCUUCAAUGGUUUAUUGAAUCUCGAUCGUAGUGUUACACAUGUUCAUAAUAUUGGUGCCAAAAGAUACGAGGUAAUGAUGAUAGUACCGCUUACUUGUGGCACUGCCGCUUGAGUCAUGUUAGUAUAAAUUGCAUGAAGAGGCUCCAUGCUGAUGGAUCUUUAUACUCACUUGAUUUUGAAUCACUAGUGACAUGCAAAUCAUACCACAUGAGCAAGGCCUUGUUUUCAUUGAGAUGAAACAAGAAAGUAACUUAUUGGAAGUGACACAUUUUGAUGUAUGCAGUCCAAUGGGUGCUAAGGCACGCAGUGGAUAUCAUUAUGUUCUUACUUUAAUGACGAUUUAAGUGGAUACAAGAGUAUUUACUUAAUGAAUCACAAGUCUGAAAUUUUGAAAAGUUCAAUUCUGUUUCGGAGUGAAGUUCGUCGUAACAAGAGGAUAAACUGUCUACGAUAUGAUCAUAGAAAUUAAUAUCUGAGUUACGAGUUUUGGUACGCAGUUAAGACAAUGUGGAAAUUGUUUCGCAGUUCAUGCCACCUGGAACAUCAUAGUGUGAUGAUGUGUCUGAAUGUCAUAGCCACGCACUAUUUCGUAUGGUGCAUGCUAUGAUGUCUCUUAUCGAAUUACCACUAUCGUUUAUGGGUUAUGCAUUAGAGACAACCGCAUUCACUUUAAAUAGGGCACCUCGUAUUUCCGUUGAGAUGACACAGUAUAGACUGAGGUUUAGAGAAAUCUAAACUGUCGUUUCUUGAAUGUUUGGGGCUUCGACACUUAUGUGAAAAAGUUUCAGUCUCAUAAGCUCGAACCCAAAGCGGAUAAAUGCAUCUUCAUAGGAUAUCCAAAACAGUUGGGUACAUCUCCUAUCUCAGAUCCGAAAGCAAAGUGUUUGUUUCUAGAAAUGGAUCCUUUCUCGAGGAAAGGUUUCUCUCGAAAGAAUUGAGUGGGAGGGUGGUAGAACUUGAUGAGGUUAUUGAACCAUCACUUCAACCAGUGUGUAACAGGGCGCAGGAAGUUGUUCUUGUGGCACCUACACCAAUUGAAGUGAAAGCUGAUGAUGGUGAUCAUCGAGCAUCGGAUCAAGUUACUACAAACCUCGUAGGUUGACAAGGUCGCAUACUACUGCAUAGUGGUACAGGGACCCUGUCUUGGAGUUCAUGUUGUUGAGCAACAAUGAACCUGCGAGUUAUGGAGAAAGCAAUGGUGGGCCCGGAUUCCGACAAAUGGCUGGAGGCCAUGAAAUCCGAGAGAGGAUCCAUGUAUGAAAACAAAGUGUAGACUUUGGAAGAACUACUUGAUGGUCAUAGGACUAUUGAGUAAAUAUGGAUCUUUAAAAGGAAGACAAACAAUGAUGGUGAUAAGUCACUAUUAAGAAAAGCUCGACUUGUCGCAAAGAUGUUUCCGACAAGAUCAAACAGUUGACUAUGAUGAGACUUUCUCACUCGUAGCGAUGCUAAAAUUCUGUCAAAAUUAUGUUAGUAGUUGCUGCAUUAUUUAUGAAAUAUUGCACGUAGGAUGUCAAAACAUUGUUUCCUCGACGGUUUCCUUGAGCAAACAUUGUAUGUGAUACAACCAGGAGGUUUUGUCGAUCCUAAAGAUACUAGCAAGUAUGCAAGCUCAAGUGAUCCUUCAAUGGACUGGUGCAAGCAUCUCGGAGUUGGAAUAUACACUUUGAUGAGAUGAUCAAAGAUUUUGGGUUUGUACAAGGUUUAUGAGAAACUUGUAUUUCCAAAGAAGUGAGUGGAAGCACUAUAGAAUUUUUUAUAAGUAUAUGUGGUUGACAUAUUGUGGAUCAGAAGUAAUGUAGAAUUUUUGUAAAGCAUACAAGGUUGUUUGAAAGGAGUUUUCAAAGGAAUACCUGGAUUGAGCUACUUGAACGUUGAGAAUCAAAGAUCUAUGGAGAUAGAUCAAAAGCGCUUAAUGGAAGUUUCAACAAGAUGUAUGCCUUGACAAGUUUUUGAAGGAGUUCAAAAUAGAUCAGCAAAGAAGGAGUUCUUGGUUGCGUUGUAAGGUGUGAAUUUGAGUAAGACUCAAAACCCGACCACGGCAGAAUAAAGAGAAUAGACGAAAGUCGUCUUCUAUGCCUUAGUCGUAGACUCUAAAGUAUGCCAUGCUGAGUACCGCACCCGAUGUGUGCCUUACAGCGAGUCUGUUAAAAGGUACACAGAGUGAUUCAGGAUUGAAUCACUGAUCAGCGGUCAAAGUUAUCCUUAGUAACUGAAUAGACUAAGGAAUUUUUUCUCGAUUAUGGAGGUGGUUAAAGAGUUAGUCGUAAAAGGUUACGUCGAUGCAAGCUUUGACACUAAUCCGAAUAACUAUGAGUAGCGAAACGGAUUCGUAUAGUAGAGUAGAUAUUUGGAGCAUUUCCGAAUAGCACAUAGUAGCAGCAUCUAUAAGAUGACAUAAAGAUUUGUAAAGAACGCACGGAUCUGAAAGUUUCAGAACCGUUGACUAAAACCUCUCUCACGAGCAAGACGUGAUCAGACCCCAGAACUAUAUGGGUGUUGGGUUCGUUGAAAUCACAUGGUGAUGUGAACUAGAUUAUUGACUCUAGUGCAAGUGGGAGACUGUUGGAAAUAUGCCCUAGAGGCAAUAAUAAAUUAGUUACUAUUAUAUUUCUUAGUUCAUGAUAAUCGUUUAUUAUCCAUGCUAUAAUNNNNNNNNNNCUGAUUGGAAACACAGUGCAUGUGUGGAUACAUAGACAAAACACUGUCCCUAGUAAGCCUCUAGUUGACUAGCUCGUUGAACAAAGAUGGUCAAGGUUUCCUGACCAUAGGCAAGUGUUGUCACUUGAUAACGGGAUGACAUCAUUAGAAGAAUCAUGUGAUGGACUAGACCCAAACUAAUAGACGUAGCAUGUUGAUCGUGUCAUUUUGUUGCUACUCUUUUCUGCGUGUCAAGUAUUUGUUCCUAUGACCAUGAGAUCAUAUAACUUACUGACACCGGAGGAAUGCUUUUUGUGUAUCAAACGUCACAACGUAACUGGGUGACUAUAAAGAUGCUCUACAGGUAUCUCCGAAGGUGUUCGUUGAGUUAGUAUGGAUCAAGACUGGGAUUUGUCACUCCGUAUGACGGAGAGGUAUCUCGGGGCCCACUCGGUAAUACAACAUCACACACAAGCCUUGCAAGCAAUGUGACUUAGUGUAAGUUGCGGGAUCUUGUAUUACGGAACGAGUAAAGAGNNNNNNNNNNNNNNNNNNNNNNNNNNNNNNNNNNNNNNNNNNNNNNNNNNNNNNNUCUCGGGCAAGUAACAUACCGAAGGACAAAGGGAAUAACAUACGGGAUUAUAUGAAUCCUUGGCAAUGAGGUUCAAACGAUAAGAUCUUCGUAGAAUAUGUAGCAUCCAAUAUGGGCAUCCGAGUCCCGCUAUUGGAUAUUAACCGAGGAGUCUCUCGGGUCAUGUCUACAUAGUUCUCGAACCCGCAGGNNNNNNNNNNGAUCAAAGAUAGUCAGUGUCUUCUGAUUAUGAACAAGGUGUUGUUGCUUGAUAACUGGAUCACGUCAUUAGGAGAAUCACGUGAUGGACUAGACCCAAACUAAUAGACGUAGCAUGUUGAUCGUGUCAUUUUGUUGCUACUCUUUUCUGCGUGUCAAGUAUUUAUUCCUAUGACCAUGAGAUCAUAUAACUCACUGACACCGGAGGAAUGCUUUGUGUGUAUCAAAUGUCGCAACGUAAGUGGGUGACUAUAAAGAUGCUCUACAGGUAUCUCCGAAGGUGUUAGUUGAGUUAGUAUGGAUCAAGACUGGGAUUUGUCACUCCGUGUGACGGAGAGGUAUCUCGGGGCCCACUCGGUAAUACAACAUCACACACGAGCCUUGCAAGCAAUGUAACUUAGUGUAAGUUGCAAGAUCUUGUAUUACGGAACGAGUAAAGAGACUUGCCGGUAAACGAGAUUNNNNNNNNNNCCAUGAGAUCAUAUAACUCACUGACACCGGAGGAAUACUUUGUGUGUAUCAACCGUCGCAACGUAACUGGGUGACUAUAAAGAUGCUCUACACGUAUCUCCGAAGGAGUUAGUUGAGUUAGUAUGGAUCAAGACUGGGAUUUGUCACUCCGUGUGACGGAGAGGUAUCUCGGGGCCCACUCGGUAAUUCAACAUCACACACAAGCCUUGCAAGCAAUAUGACUUAGUGUAAGUUGCGGGAUCUUGUAUUACGGAACGAGUAAAGAGNNNNNNNNNNCUGAGGUUCAAACGAUAAUAUUUUGUAGAAUAUGUAGGAUCCAAUAUGGGCAUCCAGGUCCCGCUAUUGGAUAUUGACCGAGGAGUCUCUCGGGUCAUGUCUACAUAGUUCUCGAACCCGCAGGGUCUGCACACUUAAGGUUCGACGUUGUUUUAUGCGUAUUUGAGUAUAUGGUUGGUUAGCGAAUGUUGUUCGGAGUCCCGGAUGAGAUCACGGACGUCACGAGGGUUUCCGGAAUGGUUCGGAAACGAAGAUUGAUAUAUAGGAUGACCUCAUUUGAUUACCGGAAGGUUUUCAGAGUUACCGGAAUGUACCGGGAAUGACGAAUGGGUUCCGGGUGUUCACCGGGGGGGCAACCCACCCCGGGGAAGCCCAUAGGCCUUGGGGGUGGCGCACCAGCCCUUAGUGGGCUGGUGGGACAGCGCAAGAAGGCCCUAUGCACCAUAGGAAGAAAUCAAAGAGAAAAGAAAAAAAAGAGGAGGUGGGAAAAGGGGGAAGGACUCCUCCUUCCAAACCUAGUUGGAUUCGGUUUGGAAGGGGAGGACUCCCCCCCCUUGGCUCGGCCAAACCCCUUGGGGGUCCUUGGACCCCAAGGCAAGGCUCCGCCUCUUCCCCCUAUAUAUACGGAGGUUUUAGGUCUGAUUUUGUUGGGGAACGUCGCAUGGGAAUCAAAAAAUUUCCUACGCGCACGAAGACCUAUCAUGGUGAUGUCCAUCUACGAGAGNNNNNNNNNNAGUUCGGAGUCCCGGAUGAGAUCACGGACGUCACGAAGGUUUCCGGAAUGGUCCGAAAACGAAGAUUGAUAUAUAGGAUGACCUCAUUUGAUUACCAGAAGGUUUUCGGAGUUACCGGGAAUGUACCGGGAAUGACAAAUGGGUUCCGGGUGUUCACCGGGGGGGCAACCCACCCCGGGGAAGCCCAUAGGCCUUGGGGGUGGCGCACCAGCCCUUAGUGGGCUGGUGGGACAGACCAAGAAGGCCCUAUGUGGCAUAGGAAGAAAAUCAAAGAGAAAAGAAAAAAAAGAGGAGGUGGGAAAAGGGGGAAGGNNNNNNNNNNGCCCUUAGUGGGCUGGUGGUACAGCCCAAAAGGUCCCUAUGAGCCAUAGAGAUAAAAAUCAAAGAGAAAGAAAAAAAGGGAGGUGGGAAGGAAGGGAAGGACUCCCACCCACCAAACCAAGUCCAACUCGGUUUGGGGGGGGGAGCCUUCCCCCCUUGGACUCGGCCGACCCCCUUGGGGCUCCUUGAGCCCAAAGGCAAGGUCCCCUCCCUCCCACCUAUAUAUACGGAGGUAUUGGGGCUGAUUUGAGACGACUUUUCCACCGCAGCCCGACCACAUACCUCCACGGUUUUUCCUCUAGAUCGCGUUUCUGCGGAGCUCGGGCGGANNNNNNNNNNNNNNNNNNNNNNNNNNNNNNNNNNNNNNNNNNNNNNNNNNNNNNNNNNNNNNNNNNNNNNNNNNNNNNNNNNNNNNNNNNNNNNNNNNNNNNNNNNNNNNNNNNNNNNNNNNAAGGUCAUCACCAACCUCCGGAGCGCCGUCACGCUGCCGGAGAACUCUUCUACCUCUCCGUCUCUCUUGCUGGAUCAAGAAGGCCGAGAUCAUUGUCGAGCUGUACGUGUGCUGAACGCGGAGGUGCCGUNNNNNNNNNNCCCUCUUCCCCCUUUGUAUACGGAGGUUUUGGGGCUGAUUUGACACAACUUUGCCAUGGCAGCCCGACCACAUAUCUCCACGGUUUUACCUCUAGAUCGUGUUUCUGCGGAGCUCGGGCGGAGCCCUCUGAGAUUAGAUCACCACCAACCUCCGGAGUGCCAUCACGCUGCCGGAGAACUCAUCUACCUCUCCAUCUCUCUUGCUGGAUCAAGAAGGCUGAGAUCAUCGUCGAGCUGUACGUGUGCUGAACGCGGAGGUGCCGUCCGUUCGGCACUAGAUCGUGGGACGGAUCGCGGGAUGGUUCGCGGGGCGGAUCGAGGGACGUGAGGACGUUCCAUUACAUCAACCGCAUUCACUAACGCUUCUGCUGUGCGAUCUACAAGGGUACAUAGAUCGAAAAUCCCCUCUCGUAGAUGGACAUCACCAUGAUAGGUCUUCGUGCGCGUAGGAAAAUUUUUGUUUCCCAUGCGACGUUCCCCAAGAGUGGCAUCAUGAGCUAGGUUCAUGCGUAGAUGUCUUCUCGAGUAGAACACAAAAGUUUUUGUGGGCGGUGUUGUGCGUUUUGCUGCCCUCCUUAGUCUUUUCUUGAUUCCGCGGUAUUGUUGGAUUGAAGCGGCUUGGACCGACAUUACUCGUACGCUUACAAGAGACUGGUUUCAUCGCUACGAGUAACCCCGUUGCUCAAAGAUGAGUGGCAAGUGUCAGUUUCUCCAACUUUAGUUGAAUCGGAUUUGACCGAGGAGGUCCUUGUAUAAGGUUAAAUAGCAAUUCAUAUAUCUCCGUUGUGGUGUUUGCGUAAGUAAGAUGCGAUCCUACUAGAUACCCAUGGUCACCACGUAAAACAUGCAACAACAAAAUUAGAGGACGUCUAACUUGUUUUUGCAGGGUAUGCUUGUGAUGUGAUAUGGCCAACGNNNNNNNNNNNNNNNNNNNNNNNNNNNNNNNNNNNNNNNNNNNNNNNNNNNNNNNNNNNNNNNNNNNNNNNNNNNNNNNNNNNNNNNNNNNNNNNNNNNNUAGCGAUACGCAUAUACAUAACAUUGAGACCAAAAGAGUUAGAGUUAACAAUGAUAGCGCCAUAUUUUUGUGGCACUGCCGCUUAGGUCAUAUUGGUGUAAAGCGCAUGAAGAAACUCCAUGCCGAUGGACUUUUGGAGUCACUUGACAUUGAUUCACUUGACACGUGCAAACCAUGCCUCAUGGGCAAGAUGACUAAAACUCCGUUCUCCGGAACAAUGGAGCAUGCAAGUGACUUGUUGGAAAUCAUACAUACCGAUGUGUGUGGUCCGAUGAGCGUAGAGGCACGCGGCGGAUAUCGUUAUUUUCUCAUCUUCACUGACAAUUUGAGUAGAUAUGGUUAUGUUUACUUAAUGAAGCACAAGUCUGAAACAUUUGAAAAGUUCAAGCAAUUUCAGAGUGAAGUUGAAAAUCAUCGUAACAAGAAGAUCAAGUUCCUACGGUCUGAUCGUGGGGGUGAAUAUCUGAGUUUCGAGUUUGGUGCUCACUUAAGACAAUGUGGAAUUGUUUCACAGUUGACACNNNNNNNNNNNNNNNNNNNNNNNNNNNNNNNNNNNNNNNNNNNNNNNNNNNNNNNNNNNNNNNNNNNNNNNNNNNNNNNNNNNNNNNNNNNNNNNNNNNNUUUACAGUUAUGUUUUCGAUUUAAGCGUGGAACUGGGCAUUCCAAUUACCGGCCCCUUUCUCGUGAAUGACAGUGAAUAAACACAUGUCGAGGAUAACACGCCUAACAUGGAAGAUACCAAUAGCCCCCUGUAACCACAUGAGCGGUUCCGGCAUGCAAAACAGAUUAUUUCUUGAAGGGUUAGAGAGUGACACAUGCAAAUUUACUUGGAACGGCAGGUAGAUACCGCAAAUAGGUAGGUAUGGUGGACUCUCAUGGAAAAACUUUUGGGUUUAUGGAAGUCGAUGCACAAGCAGUAUUCCGCUUAGUACAAGUGAAGGCUAGCAAAAGACUGGGAAGCGGCCAACUAGAGAGCGACAACAGUCAUCAAGAUGCAAUGAGUUUGACUAACAUUGAAUGCAAGCAUGAACAGGAGAUAAAUCACCAUGAACAUGAACAUCAUAGAGGCUAUGUUGAUUUUCUUUCAACUACAUGUAUGAACAUGUGCCAAGUCAAGCCACUUGAAUCAUUCAAAGGAGAAUACCAUCCUAUCAUACUACAUCAUAGUCACCUCAAAAUCAAUGUUGGCAUUCAACACAAACCAUUAUAAGCUCUCAGCCAGUUAAGCAUGGCAUCAGAAUCUAUGAUCUCUAAGUUGUCAUUGCAAACAUGGUUCUCUCACAACAAAGGUGAAUGAGGCAUGACAAGCUAGUCAUAUUUACAAAAACAAAAUAGAUAGAGUUCAUACCAGCUUUUCCAGUCUCAGUCACUUCAUCAUAUGUCAUCAUUAUUGCCUUUCAUUUGCACGAUCGAACUAUGUGGACAAUAAUAAGAGUGCUCGUGCAAUGGACUAAGCUGAAUCUGCAGGCAAACACAAAGGAGAAGACAAAGUAAUAUGGCUCUUUGAAAGCUAAACAGGUAUGCAUGCAAGAGCCACUAAACAUUGUAACCAAUAUCUUCUACCUUGACCCAAAGAAAAAGAAAACUAUUUACACGGGAAAGAUCCCAACAAGCAAAAGAAGAAAGAAAAAUCUUUUGGGGUUUUCUCAAAAGGACACAAAACAAGAAAACAAGAAAACGAAAAUAAACUAGCAUGGAUAAUACAGUGGCAAAGUGUAAACACCGACUAACAAAGUGAAAGCAUAAGCAUGAAUGUAAGGUAGGUGAGAACACGUACUCCCCAGAGCUUAGGCUUUUGGCCUAGCUUGGUCUACUCCCAAGGUGGGAAAUAACUAGCUCCGGGAUACUCCAGAGCAGACCGUGGAUGCCACUGCUGUGUGAGCUCCUUUGGCUCCCACUGAUAAACUAGCGUCUGGUACUCGACUAGCGGCUCGGGCACGGGCACCUGUGGUUGGACCAAGCCCCAAUAUGCGUAGAUGUCCAAGGGCAUAAUAGUGUACCUGCCUGCAUGAAGAUCGAACAAAGAAGGAGCAGGCAAAGUAAUAGUCUCUCGAGUACCCUGACUAAAUACCAAGUUAUAAAUCAUCCGUCUACUAGCAUCUCUAUCCAGAAAAUCAUGCCGAACCAUGCUGUCAUAAUCCAGAUAUUUCUCAGGGAGAAGCAUCUCUCCUUCCUCUCCCAGUCUAACGGGUAUCUCAAAGUGUGUGGCAAGACAGGUAGCAUAGAUACCUCCAUAGACGACACCCUUGGAACGGUUGGUGUUCAACCGCUCGGCUACUAUAGCACCUAGGCUAUAAGUCUUAUCGUUAUAAAGGCCUUCGCGCAAAACCGCAAGGUCUGGAGAGCUAAGUGAUCCAGCCUCCCCACGACCAAUCAAACAUUUUCCCACAAAUAAUGAGAAGUACCGAAGCACAGGAAAAGUAGAUACGAUGGAGACGUAUCAGCUUCUUGCAUAUCUUCAGGACUGAGGAAUAGAAUACCUCUUUUCUUCUGAGUUGGCUUAGGAGGUGGUUCGGGAAUAGUCCAAGCAUUCUCAUUGCACAAGAUGUUAUUCAGUAGAAUCUCGGCUUGUUCUACAGUUUGUUCCCUAAAAACACUACCGACACAACUAUCUAGGUGGUCUUUGGAAGCAUCAGUAAGUCCAUUAUAGAAGAUAUCAAGUAUUUCAUUCUUCUCAAGAGGGUGAUCAGGCAAAGCAUUCAGUAGCUGGAUGAGCCUCCCCCAAGCUUGUGGGAGACUCUCUUCUUCAGCUUGAGCAAAUUUGUAUAUUUCCUGCAAGGCAGCUUGCUUCUUAUGGGCAGGGAAAUAUUUUUCAGAGAAGUAGUAGACCAUAUCCUGGGGGCUACGCACACAACUAGGAGCAAGAGAAGUGAACCAAGUCUUAGCACCAUCCUUUAGCAAGAAUGGAAACAACUUGAGCAUGUAGUAGUGUCAGAUCUUUUCCUCACUAGUGAAUAGGGUGGCUAUAUCGUGUAGUUUGGUAAGAUGGGCUACAACCGUUUCAGACUCAUAACCGUGGAAAGGAUCAGAUUCGACCAGAGUGAUUAACUCAGGGUCGACAGAGAAUUCAUAAUCCUUAUCGGUCACAAAGAUAGGCGAAGUGGCAAACUUCGGGUCGUAUUUCAUCCUAGCAUUCAGAGAUUUUUCUUUCCACUUGCGCAGUAAUUUCUCAACAUCAUAGUUAUCCUUACACACAAGAAAAUCCUCAGCUAUCUCUCCCUCCAUAACCUAGUGCGUAUCAGGCAUAACAGGCAUAGUAGCAGGUUCUACUUCAAUAGUAUCCGCAGUUUCAGAAAUAUCAUCACGUCUAGCAGCAACUCUAGAAAUAUGUGCAUCAAGGAAUGCACCAAGUGGCAAAGCAGUAUCAGGCAUAGCAUCAUCAGGCAUAGUAUCAAGCAUAGCAUCAUCAGGCAUAGUAUCAAACAUAGCAUCGUGGACAGCAGAAGUAGCAUUAUCAAGCACAGGCGACAUAUCAAGAUUUCUAGCAGGAGGCGAUGUCGCAAACUUACUCAAAACUGAAGGUGAAUCAAGUGCAGAGCUAGAUGGCAGUUCCUUACCUGUCCUCGUAGUGGAAGGCAGGAUUUUAGUUCUUGGAUCUUUCGGAUUCCUCAUAGUGAUCAGCAGACGUCAAUCCUAAGUGACUGAGAGAAUAUAGUUGUGCCUCCCCGGCAACGGCGCUAGAAAACGCCUUGACAACCCACAAGCGUAUGGGAUCGCAGCGGUUUUCGAGGGUAGAGUAUUCAACCCAAAUUUGUUGGUUCACACAAGGGAAGCGAAAGAAUAUUCUCGAGUAUUAGCAGCUGAAUGUGUCAGAUUCAACCACACCUGAAAGAUUAGUCUCUGCAAGCAAAGUAUCAGUAGCAAAGUAGUAUGAUAGCAACGGUGCGAGAAACGAUCUGUUGAUGGCAGACUAUUCCUAACAGUUGUAUCAAUGGCACGAGUAAAAAGCACGUUGACGGGGGACUAUUCUUCCCCAACAACUGCUCCAGAAAAGGUCUUGCACUAAGUAGCAGCGGAGUAGCAAGGAACAGCAGUAGCAACAGCGGCAAAGUAACAGCAGUAACAUCAGUAGCAGCAAAGUGACAGCAGUAGCAACAGUAGCAGCAAAGUGGCCCAAUCCCUCUUCUAGCAAGGGACAAUCCUAGACAAAGUAACGUAGCGAGGACCAGUAGUAAAAGACUCGUAGGCAGUGGAUCGGUGAUGGAUGAGUAUGACGGAUGUGAUUCAUCAUGUAACACCUAUAACACGGAGAGAUAUGUGACUAGCUCCCGUUCAUCAAUCUAAUGUAGGCAUGUAUUCCGUAUGUAGUCAUACGUGUUUAGGGAAAAGAACUUGCAUGACAUCUAUUGUCCAUCCCUCCCGUGGCAGCGGGGUCCUAAUGGAAACUACGGGAUAUUAAGGUUCUCCUUUUAAUAAAGAACCGGACCAACGCAUUAACAUGCGGUGAAUACAUGAACUCCUCAUACUAUGGUCAUCUCCGGGGGUGGUUCCGGCUAUUGUCACUACGGGGUUGCCGGGUCAUAACACAUAGUAGGUAACUACAACUUGCAUGAUAGGAUCUAAAACACACAUAUAUUGGUGACAACAUAAUAGGUUCAGAUCUGAAAUCAUGGCACUCGGGCCCUAGUGACAAGCAUUAAGCAUAGCCAAGUAGUAGCAACAUCAAUCUAGAACAUAGUGGAUACUAGGGAUCAAUCCCCGUCAAAAACUAACACGAUUACAUGAUAGAUCUCAUCCAAUUCAUCACCGUCCAGCAAGCCUACGAUGAGAUUACUCACGAACGAUGAAGAGCAUCAUGGAAUUGUCGAUGGAGAAAGGUUGAUGAUGAUGAUGGCGACGAUUUCCCCUCUCCGGAGCCCGAAACGGACUCCAUAUCUGCCCUCCAGAUGAAGAACACGAUGUGGUGGCGCCUCCGUAUCGCAAAACGCGAUGAAACUUCUCUCUGAUUUUUUCCAGGCGAAACGGAAGAUAUAGAGCUGAGUUUGGGGGCGGUAGUGCCACGUGGGCCCCACAAGCCUGCACGGCGCGGCCUAGGGGGUGGCCGCGGCCUGUGGGCUUGUGGCCCACUGGCACGCCCCCUCCGGUGGCUCUUUGCGCAGGUAUUUUUCUUUUAUUCCAGAAAAAAUCUCCGUAAAUUUUCAGGACAUUCCGAGAACUUUUAUUUCUGCACAAAAACAACACCAUGGCAAUUGUGCUGAAAACAGCGUCAGUCCGGGUUAGUUCCAUUCAAAUCAUGCAAAUUAGAGUCCAAACCAAGGAAAAAAGAGUUCGGAAAAGUAGAUACGACGGAGAUGUAUCAUCUAUACUGAUGUCAUGUUCGUCUAUACUGAUCGAGUGGGUAAGGCGCUGGAUUGAGAUAGUCAACUGUCCUCCUCCUCAACCUGAGACCUAUUCCCGCGAAGAUGAUCUAGGAUUCCACGAUGAUCGAGAUAUGUCAAUCAAAUUCAAGGACAAAGUCUUUUACCAGGAGAGCCUUGAUCACACUAAGGUGGCCCUUAUGGCAAUCAUACCGGGCUACACCCUUCCUCCGCUGCAAGCAAGAAGAAGGUCUCUUCCCAAAAAGUGCGCUCGCCUCCCAUUGUUCUGAAUGUGUCGUCCUCUCUUGACAUGGGACGUUGCACCACGCGCCAAACACCAGCGAGUGCGGCGCCGACCGAAUUCGCUCCAAACGAUGGUAGGGAUCCCAAGCGUGUGGUAGCCAUAGGAACCACCUCGACCAUGCCCCCGGCCAAGAGGUAAUAUAUUGAACUCGUAUUCCAGGCAUUGUUAUAAUCAAUUACGAGGAAUCAUAAUUUUUAUCGAGACCCACACGAGACGGACACAACCACCUUCAUUCGAAGACGUUGAAGAGGUUCCAGGUGGUAAUGCCGACCAUAGAUCUUCGGCAAGGGUCGGGGUUAAUGCGGAGGUCCCCGCUGCAGACCAUCUUCGAGAGGAUCCCGAGGAAGUCUCGGUCACCAGUUCCAAAGUCAAAAGUGUGAUGAAUCACCAACAACAAAAGGAAUCAUCCUUCAUUUUCCGAACCCGAGUUUAACGCUCUUAAUUUGGUGGACGCAUAUCUCGGAACCGCCCGACCAGAACUUGAGGGAGCCACCAUCCUUAUGUUGACUAGCUUAGCGGUGAGUGGUUAGUUUUGACAGCCGAAAACAAAUCUUAACCUAGUGGCCCCAAGCUUUAAUUUGGUUGGGACGACCAAGUUAAGAGUCUGAAUAAUCUUGUGACAUGAUGUAGGCCUCGAGGGAACAAAACAAAAAAUUGUCCGAGGACCUUGAGUCAAGCCGAACAGAAUUGACGGAUGUGAAAGCCGAACUAGAGGAGGUAAAAAAAAUACUUGGGAGGCACACGGUGAGUAAAAAGUUCUAAUUAUGAAGAAUUGCUUCGAGCACCUUUUCUAAUGAAACAUUUCCUUGUAGCACCCGAGUCCAUAGGUCAGCUGCAGAGAGAUCUCGAUGUGGCAACAUAAUCUCAAAGAUAUGUCGAAUCUCAGCAUGAAGCCGACCGCCAGGUACUGUCCGGGAGUUGUGAUGAAAAAGAACAAGCUCGAAGCAGAAAACAAGCAUCAGACCAAAGAAAUUGAGAGGUUGAAAACUCAAUUGGCACAAGCCCGCGAAGGGAACCAGAGAUUAAAAGGUGGCAUGUUUGGUGAGUAAAAUUUAACUUGUAAUUUUUUAAGAUAACCGUAUUAUGUCAAUCUAAGAGACAUGUCAUGUCUCAUGCUAGCUCUCCUAACUAGGCGCCCCGAACAAGAGGCCAGCUCGUUUGGAGGGAGCCUUCUAAAGGAACUAUAUAUCGUACAUGAGCGCGGGCAGAAAGCAAUGAAGAGCAUGGUCAAGGCUUUAUGGCCAACCAAUACGCCUUCGGAAGGAAUGGCCGAGCUAGUCGAUCGAUUUAAAGGAGCUCGACGUCACUUUGAGCUAUGGAAGGUAUCGGCUUGCCGAGAAGGAGCAUGGGAGGCGUGGGAAAUCGUGAAGACCUACUUUACCAAACUCAACCCAACGCAUUUAGCUCGUGUUGGACCGGUACAUCCAGAUGGUCAAGAGGCGCCACUCCACUUGGUGUAUGAUCAAAUGAUGCCCACCAUGCGUAUUUCGCAAGAAUACUGCCGCCUAGACACCAUAACAGAUAAUGUUGACUAGACAAUGCUUGUUUGAUUCUAUGUAACUAUGUACUUUACAUAAAAUAUUACCCUGUCCAUGUUGUAAACAUUGUCUUAACGGGCCAUUAGCUUCUACCUCCCCCGCAAGUGGAUGGGGAGUGUUCCAUACUAUGUGACAUGAGGGAACGGGAAAUCACUUUAGAGAACAAGGCAAUCCGGUCAUAUGGUGCUAACAGACAGAACAUGCUCAGGGAGUUAUGUUAUAUGACUCUUUAACAUAAGAAACAUCUUCCGAAGAAAAUAGUUCCUCUAUGGGUUCCUUUCUUUGGGUUGCUGGCUUGACCGUAGACGUUAUAACCGUAUACCCGCAGUAUGCGCGUAAUGGCUACUUCAGGAAAAUAACCCCGGGUUUUGGUGACAAUCACCGAUUAUUUUCACUUCCUUCGUGGCCAACCAAUUAUAUUCUUAAGAACAGUAGCUUUUGGGUUCACCGGUCUGAGGUACGUACCCGCGUGAUCCGAUCGUAACAAUCGUAGAGGUGCUCCCUUUUCCCCCUAGCCGAACAAUCGGGAACAUAGAGAAUAAGCAUAGGAGCCAGGCAACCUAGCUUGGCUAAAUCUUAAGUCAAAUUGAUGCAUAUGGUGGCUUUAAAAUGAUACAGGAAGGAUGCAUACACGAGAGAUAUGAAAUAGAUGCACAAAAUGUAUUGACCGGCUUCAUUAAGAAGCCCCCAGGUGUGACCCGAUAAUACAUUUGAAGAUGUAUGCCGAGGAAAACUUUAAAGUAGUUCGGGUUAGCCGAACAUAACCUGGGAAAUACUAACCAAUCCAAAGAAAGUAAAAAAGGAAAGGAAAACUAUUAAAUAAAUGGAAAGGAAAACUAUAAAAGAAAAGGAAAGGAAAAGUAAUCAAGGUGACGACACCGGUCUAGCCGUAGAAGCAUCGAGAUGAGUUGCGUUCCAUGGGUUCGGUCUGUUGGGGAAUGUCGCAUGGGAAACAAAAAGGUCCUAUGCUCACCAAGAUCAAUCUAUGGAGAUCAACAUCUACAAGAGGGGGAGUGCAUAUACAUACCCUUGUAGAUCGUUGAUACGUCUCCAACGUAUCUAUAAUUUUUGAAUGUUCAAUGCUAUUAUAUUAUCUAUUUUGCAUGUUUUAUAUGCAUUAAUAUGUUAUUUUCUAUUAUUUUUGGGACUAACCUAUUAAUCUAGAUCCUAGUGCCAGUUUCUGUUUUUUCGAUGUUUUGAGUAUUGCAGGUAAGGAAUAUUAAACGAAGUCCAAACGGAAUAAAAUCUCCGGAAUUAUUUUUCUUGGACCAGAAGAAACCCAGAAGACUUGGAGUAGGGGGCAGGGCACCUACCUGGAGGCCACACGCUUGCAGGGCGCGCCCUAGGGGGAGGGCGCCCCCUUGGCUUGUGGGUCCCCUACAGGCCUCCUAACCCUAUUGUUCGGCUUAUAAAUUCCCAAAUAUCCCCCCAUUUCAAGAGAGAGCCACAAAAAUACUUUUCCGCCACCAGGAGCCUCUGUUCCCGUGAGAUCCAAUCUAGGAGCAUUUUCCGGCAAUCUGGCGGGGAGGGAAUUGAUCAUGGAGGGCAUCUACAUCAACUCCAUUGCCCCUCCGAUGAUGCGUGAGUAGUUCACCACAAACCUACGGGUCCAUAACUAGUAGCUAGGUGGCUUCUUCUCUCUCUUUGAUCUUCAAUACCAUGUCCUUCAUGAUCUUCAUGGAUAUCUAUCCGACGUAAUACUCUUUUGCAGUGUGUUUGUCGAGAUCCAAUGAAUUGUGAGUUUAUGUUUAUAUUAUCUAUGAAUAUUAUUUGAAUCUAUUUUGUAUUCUUAUAUGCAUUAUUUCAUAUCUUAUAAAGUCUCUUUGAGUUAUUCGUUUGGUUUGGCCAACUAGAUUGGUAAUUGUUGCAAUGGGAUAAGUGCUUAGAUUUGGGUUCAAUCUUGCAGUAUCCUCACCCAGUGACAUAGUAGGGGAGGCAAGGCACGUAUUGUAUUGUUGCCAUUGAGGAUAAAAAGAUGUUUUUAUCAUAUUGCUUGAGUUUAUCCCUCUACAUCAUGUCAUCUUACUUAAUGCGUUACUCUGUUCUUCAUGAGUCGGUCGGUGUGUGGAGUAAUAGUAGUAGAUGCAGAAUCUUUUCGGUCUACUUGACACGGACGUGAUGCCUAUAUGCAUAAUCGUUGCCUUAGAUAUCUUCAUAAUUAUUUUCUUUUCUAUCAAUUGGUCGACAAUAAUUUGUUCACCCACCGCAUUAUUUUCCUUUAUGAGAGAAGCCUCUAGUGAAACCUAUGGAUCCCAGGUCUAUCUUCCAUAUUAUAUUUUAAGAUCUAUAAACCAAAAAUACCAGAAAUAUCUUGCUGCAAUUUAUUUACUUUUGUUUCCGCAAUCUUUUAUACCUAUCUCUAUCAGGUCUCAUCCUUGGAAAUAACUAUGAAGGGAAUGACAACCACUUUUAGCGUUGGGUUCAAGAGUUUGAUUAUUUGUGUAGGUACUACGAUUGGGGCCUUGCUUGUUCCUGCUACUGGAUUGAUACCUUGGUUCUCAACAAACUGAGGGAAAUACUUAUCUACUUCGAUGCAUCACCCUUUCCUCUUUAAGGGAAAACCAACUCAAGAUCAAGAGGUAGCAAGAAUGAUUUCUCGCGCCGUUGUCGGGGAGGAUACAUAGCAAGAUCAAGCCUACCAAGUACCCAUCACAAACUCAUCCAUUGAAUUUACAUUAUUUGCCUCUCGCUUUCCUCUCCCCCAUAGCAACACGAACAUCCUCGAAAUUCCAAUAGGCAAAGCCCUCGAUUUAUUAGCCAUUUGCAAAGAUAUCUUAGUGGGUGUAAGCUUAUUCAAAUCUAGUCUUUUAUAAAGAGAGAAAGGCAUCACAGUAACACCGGCUCCUCAAUCACAUAAAGCGGUUUUAACAUAGUUUCUUUUAAUAGAGCAAGGUAUAGUGGGUUUUCCACGAUCUCCCAACUUCUUAGACACUCCGCCAUCAAAAUAAUAAUUAGCAAGCAUAGUACCAAUAUUACAUUCAGGUAUUUUUCUUUUGUUGCUAAUAAUAUCCUUCAUAUACUUAGCACACAGAGGCAUUUUCAAUAUAUCACUCAAGCGAGUGCGCAGAAAAAUAGGUCUAAUCAUUUCAGAAAAGCGCUCAAAUUCUUCCUCGUACUUAUGUUUAGAAGGCUUAUGAGGGACGGGCACGGGUUUCUCAACCUAUGGCUCUCUUUAGUUUCCAUGCUUUCUAGCAACAAAGUCUCUUUUAUCAUAACGUUUAUUCUUAGUGUGUGGGCUAUCAAGAGGUUCUAUUUCCACAUCAUUAUUAGGUUCCUUAUCUCUAUGUGGUGUAUCUUCUACAUGAACAUCAUUAUUAUCAUUAUCAUUAUUGCUAAGUUCUGCUCACUACCACAUUGUGUCUCACCAUUAGAAAUAGAAACAUCAUUAUGAUUCUCAACAAUUUUCUCAAUAUCAGGUUCACUAGGAGCAUGCAAAGACCUAUCUUUUUCCUUUUCUUUUUUCUUCUGAGAAGGACUAGGUAUAUCAUCAUUAAUUCUAUGAGAAUUAUGUUCUAUUCUUUUAGGGUGACCCUCACGACAAAGAUCUUCCUAAGUCAUUCUACCUCCUCUAGUCAUUACUCUAACAACAAGAUCAUUCAUAUUAUUAUUCAUUUCAUCAAGAAAAUUAUUUUGCGACUUAGCGACUUGGUCUAGUUGCGUGUGAAUGAUGGAAGCAUGUUUACCUAGACCUUUCACAUCAUUAGCAAUUCUAAACAUCAAGUCACUUAAGCGGUCUAUCAUCAUGACACUACAUCUCAAUUUAUCUUUGACAUAAUUAUUGAAGUGCUUUUGCUUAACAAUGUAUUAUCAAAUUCAUUCAUGCAUUGACUAGGACUCUUAGUGUAUGGUAUAUCACUUUCAUUAAAGGAACAGAGAGAAUUUACCUCUACUUCCUAUGUCGGGAUAUCACGUCCAUUAAUUUCUUCAAUAAGUGGUAAAUUCUUAACAUCUUCAAUUUUAAUACCUUUUUAUUUCAUGGAUCUUUUUGCUUCUCGAAUAUCUUUAGGGAUGACGAAUAGAACACCUCUCUUCUUUUGAAUAGGUUUGGAGGUGAUUCAGGGAGAGUCCAAUCAUCGGCAUUUUGCAAUAUAUUAUUCAACAAUUCUUCUGCUUGCACAACAAUUCUUUCCCUAAAAACACAACCAACUUAACUAUCUAGGAAGUCCCUAGAAGCAUCGGUUAGCCCAUUAUACAAUAUAUCAAGAAUUUCCUUUUUCUUAACAGGAUGAUCACGCAAAGCUCUUAGUAACUGGAGAAGCCUCCCCCAAGCUUGAGGGAGAUUCUCUUCUUUAAAUUGCAUGAAGGUAAAUAUUUCCUGUAAGGCACCUUGUUUCUUAUGAGCAUGAAAAUAUUUUUCAGAAAAGUGAGAAAGCAUAUCCUCGGGGCUAGACAUACAACCAGGAGAAAGAGAAAGGAACCAUUCCUUGGCCUUGCCUUUCAGCGACAAAGGAAAAAAGCUUAAGGGUAUAAUAGUAGCGUAUCUUUUCAUCAUUAGUAAACACAUCAGCAAUAUCAUUCAGCUUCAUGAGAUGUUCAACAACAUUUUCAUUUUUGUAACCAUAGAAAGGAUCAGACUCAACUAUAGGAAUCACUUCACGGUCUAUAGAGAACUCAUAGUCCUUAUUAGUGAAAAAUAUAGGAGAAGUGGCAAAUUUAGGUUCAUGUUUAAUUUUCUCCAUCAUUUAUUUUUCAUUUAGUUUGCAUAGUAGUUUCUUCAAAUCAUUCCUAUCUUGACAAGCAGGAAAGCCCCUAGCUACUUCCUCAUCCAUAACAUAACCUUUAGGUACAUAAGGCAAUUCAUAUGUAUUAGGAGAGCGAUGUGUAGCAUGUGAUUCAAAAUCUUCAUCAGUUUCAGCACUUUCAAGUUCUCUAGCUUUAGCAAGAUGAGCAUCAAGUAAAUCAUUCAGUGGCAUAGUUUCAUUUUCAUCAAAAAUAGGAGUAGUAUCAUCAUUAAUUUCAUAAGUAGCAUCAUCAAGUUCAUGUGACAUAUCAGGACGAGCAAUAGGUGGUGAUGUUACAAGCUGAUUCAAAAUAGUAGGUGGAUCAAAAGCAGAGCUAGAUGACAGUUCCUUGCCUCCUCUUGUGCGAGAGGGGAUGAUAUUAGUUCGAGUAUCUUUCAGAUUCUUCAUGGUAGCAAUUGGACAUCCUCAAGUUAACACAAUACAUAUAGCUAUGCUCCCUGGCAACAAUGUGAGAGAAAGGUCUUGAUAACCCACAAGUAUAAGGGAUCACGAGAGUCUUCAUGGUUAGUAUUUCACCCUAAUUUAUUGAUUUGACACAAGGGAGCUAAAUAAUAUUUAGAGGCCUUGAAAGUUGAGUUGUCAAUUCAAUCGCACCUGGGAUAUCCCUCUGCAGCAAAAGAGUUAGUAGCACGGCGAAUAAUAGUAGUAGCGGUAAUAGUGAUAGCAACAAUUUUGGUAACAACGGUAACAGUAGCAAUUGAGUAACACGUGUUACAGUAGUAGCAGCAGUAGUAACUUAGCAAGAUUGAGUAUUUGUAAACCAUAAACACAUGGAUCGGCGAUCAAAAUAUGUGGAUGACAUCAAUCAUGUAAUAGUUACAAGCUCGAGCAACACAAAACUAGCUCCAUUUCAUCAAUAUAAUGUAAGCAUGUAUUCCGUAUAUAGUCAUACGUGCUUGCGAUAAGAACUUGCAUGACAUAUUUUGUCCUACCCCCCCCCCCCCCCNNNNNNNNNNNNNNNNNNNNNNNNNNNNNNNNNNNNNNNNNNNNNNNNNNNNNNNNNNNNNNNNNNNNNNNNNNNNNNNNNNNNNNNNNNNNNNNNNNNNNNNNNNNNNNNNNNNUUUUUUUUUUUUUCCCCCCCCCCCCCCCCCCGUGGUAGCGGGGUUAUAUUAGAAACUUAGGGAUAUUAAGGCAUCCUUUUAAUAGAGAAUUGGAACAAAGCAUUAACACAUAGUGAAUACAUGAACUCCUCAAACUGUGGCAAUCACCGGAAAGGAUCCCAAUUAUUGUCACCUUGGGGUAUGCGGAUCAAGACACGUAGUAGGUGAAUACAACUUGAAAGAUAGGAUCAAAAUACUUUUCAUAUUCCGAGAGAACAUAAUAAGUUUAGAUCAUAAAUCAUGGCACUUGGGCCCUAGUGACAAGCAUUAAGCAUAGCAAAGUAAUAGCAACAUCUAUCUCAAAACAUAGAGGAUACUAGGGAUCAACCCCUAUCAAACUUAACUCAAUUACAUGAUCACUCUCAUGCAAAACUCAUCACCAUCCAGGGAGCCUACUAAGGAAUUACUCACACCUGGUGGUGAGCAUCAUGGAGUUGUUAAUGGAGAAGGGUUGAUGAUGACGACGAUGAUGAAUCCCCCUCUCCGGAGCCCCAAACGGACUCCAGAUCAUCCCUCUCAAGGAAGAAUAGGAGGUGGCAGCGGCUCCAUCUCGAAAAACGUGAUGAAAUCUUCUCUCUAUUUUUUUCUCCGAGAAUAGGAAUUUAUUGGACCGGAAUUAGGGUUGGAGGAGUCAUGUGGGCCCCCAAGGCAUCAGGGCGCGGCCACGUGUUUCCUUGGAGCCCACGCGCAGUCCCCGUGUGGUGGUUCUUCUCUCCAAAAUCCUGAUUUAUUCCAGAAAUAAUUCACAAAAAGUUUCGUCCAAUUCUGAGAACUUUAAUUUCUGCACAAAAGUAACGCCAAGGUAGUUGUGCUGAAAACAAUGUAAGUUCGGGUUAGUUCCAUUCAAAUCAUGCAAAUUAGAGUCCAAAACCAUAGCAAAAGCGUUUGGAAAAGUAGAUACGUUGGAGACAUAUCACAUAGCUUCUCUCCAAGGAAGUGAACACCAGUAUACAUUCUCGUUUCUCGGAGUUGUGGUCAUCCCUAACCCUAACUCCCUACUUGUGGUUACUUGUGUUUUGUGUACUUAAUUGUAUUACAUUAAGCUUGCCUGUCUAAUUAAUUGUUGUUUUGUUAGUCUGCUUAGCACCGUUAGCAUCUUAGCAAUUUUUAGGCUCAUUUUCAUAUUCUGCAAUAUUGCCUAAAAUUGCUAAGUAACAAUUAAAAUUUGCAAUUGUACCUAUUCACCCCCCCCCCCUCUAGGUCCAUCUCAAUCCUUGCACCAACCCCUCUCCAAACAUCUAUGUUGUAAGGAGCCUAGUGCUCAGAUAUCAUAUUUUAGAGCUCUAAGAAUCGUCCAUGAGCUUGUUCACACAUGGGAGUGUGAAGUAACAAAGCAUGAUCUUAAGUGGAGAGCCAUUAAGUUUCUCAUAGCUUGUCAUUUUUAACAAAAGACCGGAACUCUAGGAAAAUUUUUGUCAGCGGCUCAACUAGCCAGUUCUCUUGCCAAAAAAUUAUGGAGAACCUUUCUCAUACUUCUUGUAUGGUCAAGAGAUGUUUGGUGUUGCUCGUCAUUUUUUCCCUUCACCUAGGCAUAGUUUUGGUCUUGCAUGACUUUGCUUUUGCUAGCAUGAUCGUUCGUGCGUGUGUCUUAGUAUUGUUGUGUCCAUCCUAAUUAUGCGGAGGUCAGACGUGUUCUCAUUUUGUUGGUAUCCACCUCAUGCUUCAUCAUGAGUUAAUAAAAAAUAUCAUAUAAAAACGUAUGUUUCUUUUUCUAAAAACAACAAUCCUCGUCUUCAAUUUUUGUUAGAGGAACCAUUACACAAAGAGCUCUAUACAAAGCAGAAACAAAAUAAGCAGUCUUAACAUGUACUUAUUACUUUCUAUAAGAAAAGACAUAAGCUCAUUACGCGUAGCAACCACAAUCCGUGAUUCUCAAAGCACAACUAUCACCAACUUGUGAUUGGAUGGUUAGGAGGACACUGGUAUCCCUAGUCUAAUAGGGUUCAAGUUCUAGACUUGACACCAGUGCUUGCCUUUUUCUAGAUUUAUGUCAGUCCUUCCCGCAAUGUGAGUUCACUUGGAGGAGCGUUCUCGUCGAUUACAAUGGUGUAUGUAGGGACUUCGAUUAUCUCAAAAUCAUGUGUUGCAUGUGGCUCUCUGAGGUACUUAUAGGGUAGAUUGUGUGUGCAGCGUUCAUAGGAACGAGUGUAUGUAUGAGCGUCUACAUCUUGUACCGUGUUAAAAUAAACUAUAACCAGUUGCUAAUGCUAAAAUCCUUCAUUUUAUAUACUACCUACCAUUGGCACCUAGCCAUGACUCUCCGCAUACACCUCCCUCCAAGUGGCGUACCAAAAUGUUUUAAAGCCCAGAAACAGUAAAAGUCUAAGUUCUCAAGAUGCUAAUUUUUGUUCAGAGCACCGUGAAAACAAUCAAAGUAAGGCAAGGUUCCACCGGCAAGUCUAGGCAACUUCCCAAACUAGCGGGGCACAAAAUUUGUCCAAGCAUGGCAUCCCAAAUCGUCAUCUUUAUCAUUAGCACUCCUUGUUCAUGGCUUCCUUGACUUUGUUACACAAAACAUUCCACGUGUAAAAGGGUGAUGCAAAAUGAAGAUCACAUCAACAUGACCACUCAUAUUUAAAAUCCAAGACCAGAGGGGCAAGCACCCCUCUCAUAUUUUAAUAGAAGAACAAGAAACAUGGUUGCAAUAUGAUCACUCGUAUUACGUUGUUCGAAGAAAGCCGUUUUCCUAAUCUUCUAAACCGUCCAACAAACAAAUGCUCCACCACAAAAGACUAGUUCGCCUCGGGUGAUGGAAAAGCUGUCAGUCCCAUCUAAAGAUAUCAUCAAGUAUGUCACGAGGUGAACUUAGACCAAAAGCACGAAAGAUUCACCUGCCAAACUAGCUUAUCUAGUGCAUAAUCAAAUAUAAAAUUAUCCUUUCCAAUAAAACAUUUCUUCAAAAGAUUAUCCUCAGUAAGAUACCUUAAGCAUCGACUAGAGGACUAUCGCUAUCCCUCAUAUACCACAUAAGACCUGUAACCAACCAUAUCAAGUAAAGCUGCCAAUAUAGAUCUCUCAUAUUAAACUUGUUCUAAUCCAAUUCUCAAUCUCACCUUGUUCUCAAUCCACAUGAGUGUACACCGGAUGUUCGAUUAUCCUUCAUGACACGGCAAUCACCAAUGAGGCCGAUAACCCUAUCCCGCUAGUUGUUCCUCUCCAAUUGCCCAAUGAGAGUAUGGCCCUGGAGCAUUGGGCCCAUUAUCAUGACAAAGUCCUCAAGGGUGACUACCGUCACACCACAUGGGAGAUGGAAAGUGUGCAUCUCUGGCCACCAACGGUCCACCAAGGUUGUGAGAGCUGAGUGGACAAGCGUCGGCGUCACACGCUUGAACUUAAGCACAAAAGGAAGCAGCCCGGCUCCCCUGAAGUACUGCUCGUAGCGGCGGUCAUAUGUCAUCUGAACGACCCUAGUGUGACUCCUCAUACACAACGAUGGUAGCAUAUGCCAAAAUGUAGAUGAAAUGGUUAGUAGCUUACUUUCGCAAAGCCAAAAUUUUGGUGCAAGAACUUGUUCAUAGUUAGUACAACUCCAUUUUUGAUCAAAUGGGCGCGAUGACCGGUGUCGAAUGCAGGGUUAAACAUGGUGUACUUAGUGCCGAUCAAGUGGGGGGCCUCCUAGAACAAUUGCAAAUUCAAGUUAAUUUUUUGACAACAACAUUUAUUUAUCAACAUAUAAUGAACAACAUUCAUUCAAUGACAUUCAAAUAUGCAUAUAUGCAUGUGAAUUAUUUAUCAACAUUCAUAUUCAACCAACAUCUAUCAUAUUUAUCCAUCAUAUCAAAGAUUCUAAAUAAAUAUAUUAUAUAUAUAAUCAAUCAUGUUCAACCAACAUAAAUCAUAUAAUAUUCAACUUUUGUAAACAAAUAAACAAUAUAGAUAUAAUCAACAAUAUUGGAAUAUGCAUAUGAUUAUAUGAAUAAUUUACCAAAAUCCAUCAUAUUCAACCAUUCUACGAUAUGCAUAUGAGUCAUUUACCAACAUCCAUCAUAUUUAUCCAACAUCAAUCAUAUUCAACCACAUCAAUCAUAUUAAUCACACAGGAUGAACCAUUCAAAAUAAAAUUCUAGAACUAGGGUUCAUCUUAAAAUAGACAGAAUCGAUAAAGUAGUUUUAUACUACAAUAUGAACUACGGUUCAUCUUCAAGGCAACCAUCAUAUUGAAUCAAGCUAAAUAAAUUAAUUAAAUCAACAAAAAUCAAGACUACUAGAUAAACUAGGGUUCACCUUAUGCCAAAUAAUGCAUCAAAACGAUUUUUUUACUAAAACUACUUGGAGGGAUGAAAGAGAUUACUUAUCCCGCCGUGGAGCCAUCUCGAUCCGCAAAAAUGUUGAAGAAAUAGAGGAGAUUGAAGGGGGUGGAGGGGAUGAGAGAGGCGCACCUCACUGUUCUUCUCGGGCGAUAGAAGGAAGAUGGGGGCUUGCUGCGUGGGUGGGUCCCUCCAGCCGCCCCCUACGGCUUAUAAUUCUUAUGCAUCUACCGCCAUGGACUCUGAUGGGGUCAUAGUCCUAGGGUAGGGUCAUAGGCCUGCCCUGUAGGUCCUACCCAGGGACUACCCCUCACAAAGGACAAGGCCCUUAGUCAGUCCCGACUGAAUUAAGGAGUCUCCAUCAUCUAGUCGGUAACAGGUCCUCAACCAUCCAGUCGGAGACUAGCAUUCGGAGGAUACCAAGCUAACCGACUGGCUACACUCGGUACAUCGUAACCUCUCUGUAGGGAAACAGCCGUACGUUUCCGGGUGCAUUUGUUGGCAUUUAGAGCAUACGUUACCUGUAACGUACGCAUUCAAUCCCCACUACUCCACCCCUAUACCGGAACCGUUGUGGAGGGCAGCGCACUCUAUAUAAGCCGCCCCCCCCCCCCCACUGGUAGAGGGGUUAGCAAAUCAUUGUAUUCCAUAUUCCACUCGACAACAAGCUCCGAGAGCACUGAGACGUAGGGCUAUUACCUCCACCGCAGAGGGGCCCAAACUCAUACAUCCUCGCCGUAGCUGGGACUCUGCCCAUCUCAUUCGUACCCUACACAUCUACUGUCAGGCUUAUACCCACGACAGUUGGCGCCCACCGUGGGGCACAUGUCUAAGCGACUUCCGGCGAGUUUGCGACUACUUCCUUUCGUCAUGUCGUCCGGUGGAGAUUCGAGAAUGGGUCACCAGAUCUUCUUCGGCGCUCUCUCCUUCAUCGCCGACGAUUCGGCAUGGCUUCGGGAUGCGCCCCUCGACGUCGAGGCGCUUCCCCGUCGCGGGGCUACACACUUCUGUGCUGGCGCCCGUGGCAUUCUUCUUCUCCAGCAGUCGGCUCUGGUGUCAACCUACACCGCCGUCACGCGCCGCGUCAAGCGGUCCCGCCGUCCGCGGCUCCAGCGUUGAGUGCAACACGCCCAGGCGCGCCAGAACGCAUCUUCACAAGUGGCGGUUCUUGAGUCCGUUGUGGUUGCCCCGCCGUCCCAGCACUCGGACUCGGUUCCGACUGAGUUUCCUUCCGAGUAUGCGGGUCGCGGGCCCGCAGCAGAAGUACACAUGGCCAACUCCCAUGAAGAUCCCCGUCAAGCUGGCCGAAGCGAGCCCGAGGUCGGUGAAGCAUCCGAUGCGCGUCGUCCACCUCGCCGUUCUGCUAGUCGGCACACUCGGCGGAGCAACGUGGAGCUGUUCCGCACACCCCUCCUCAAUUUAGCUGCAGCUGCGAAGAUAGCCGAUUCCCUCCAGCCGACUGAUUCAGAGGCAGGAAGGGGGAUCGAGCAGAUCCGAGCCCUGUUGCACACGGCGCAGCAGCAGAAUUCGGCGGUCUCCCAGUCACACAACCGGAUCUAUAAUAGUUCCGUCCACGCGAAUACGCAUCGGUUGGUUCACAGCCCAGGUUCCCAUCAGCGGCACAGGGAACGUAGUCGUUCCAUGAUUCAUGAAGAUCGCCGCCGUUCACGCACCCCUCCGCGGGGUGGGCCCUACGGGCCCCGACAUCAUGAUGAUCGGCGUUCAUUCGGUGACACUUACGACCCAAGGCCCGACGCAAGAGGGCAUAUCGCCCAGCGGAGGGUCGACAGGGGUCGGGCCCACCGCGAUGGUCGCGAUAUCGACCGUCCGAGUGGAAGCAGGGCCACCGUUUCUGGUCCCGAGUGUUUCAGUCGAGCCAUCCGUUCGGCUAACAUCCCUCCCAACUUCCGAUUGGCGACGGGAAUUAGCAAGUUCACAGGAGAGUCCAAGCCAGAAACGUGGCUGGAUGACUACCGAGUGGCAGUCCAGAUCGGAGGAGGGGACGACCAUGUCGCCAUGAAACACCUCCCUCUGAUGCUCGACGGCUCGGCGCGAGCGUGGCUGAACCAGUUGGCCCCCUCAAGCAUCUACAGUUGGGCAGAUCUGGCCCGAGUGUUCAUCAGGACCUUCGAAGGGACGUGCAAGCGCCCUGCUGGCCUUGUGGAGCUCCAACACUGCGUCCAGAAGCAGAAUGAGCCCCUGCGUGACUUCAUCCAGCGCUGGACAACUCUCUAUCACACGGUGGAGAACGUCACCGAGCAUCAAGCAGUCUACGCCUUCAUGGCAGGCGUGCGGUACAGGGAUCUGUACCUGAAGUUCGGCCGAACAGGCGACAUCUCCAUGAGCAAGAUGAUGGAGAUAGCAACACGCUAUGCAAAUGGUGAAGAAGAGGACCGCAUCCGAAGCGGCAAGCACAAAACAGUCGCUGAUGGCAAUGGGGACAACACUCGAAAGUAGAAGCAGAAAGCUCCGACCGCUCCGCAAGCAGAAGCUGCAGCCGUAACCAAUGCCAAGUUCAAGGGCAAAGGGAAGGCUCAGUUCACCCCCAAGAAGAAGCAGUUCAAUAACCCCAUCCUGGACCAGCCAUGUCCGGUUCAUACGAAGAUGGAUGAAGAAGGCAACCCCAUAUAUGCGAAGCAUACCACUCGACAGUGUCGCCUCCUGAUCCAGGGGUUCAGCGAAGGGCAACCGAGUGAGAAGGACCAUGAACAGGAUGAGGAGGAUAAGGAGGAUCCGUUCCCCCAAGUCCAUGCAACCCUGAUGAUCUUUGCUGAUGUCGAGAGCAAGAGCCGACUGAAGCUGGUGAACAGAGAGGUGAACAUGGCCACCCCUACCAACCCCAAGUUCCUCAAAUGGUCUCAGACUGCGAUCACCUUCGACCAGUCGGAUCAUCCGGCACAUGUACCCACCCCGGGGAGACAGGCCCUGGUCGUCGACCCGGUGGUAGGAGUCCGGCUGCGCAAAGUCCUCAUGGAUGGCGACAGCGGCUUGAACAUCAUGUACGCCGACACCCUCAAGGGGAUGGGCAUCCUGAUGUCCAAACUCAGCGAGAGCAGCAUGCAGUUCCACGGAGUCGUCCCUGGACGGAAGGCCAAAUCACUCGGCCAGAUCGCGUUGGACGUCGUUUUCGGCUCCGACAAGAACUUCCGCAAGGAAAAGCUGACGUUCGAAGUGGUUGACUUCCAGAGCGCUUAUCACGCAAUUCUGGGUCGCCCAGCGUAUGCGCACUUCAUGGCCCGUCCAUGUUACGUAUACCUGAAGCUGAAGAUGCCAGGCCCGAAGGGUGUGAUCACCAUCACACGCAAUCGGCAGCGGGCUGAAGAGUGUCUACAGCAGGGAUCAAGAACCUCUACUGACUGACUUGGCAGAAACAUUCGCCAACCUUCGUAGGUACAAUAUCAAGCUCAACCCCGCCAAAUGUUCAUUCGGCGUUCCCAGCGGAAAAUUACUCGGUUUCUUCGUUUCUGAACGAGGGAUCGAUGUCAACCCCGAAAAGAUCGGGACCAUCGUCUGAAUGGAGAGGCCGGUCAGAAUACACGAUGUUCAACGGCUCACAGGUUGCCUAGCGGCUUUGAGCAGGUUCAUCAGUCGACUCGGCGAAAAAGCACUUCCUCUGUACCGACUCAUGAAGAGAUCAGAUACUUUCGAGUGGACAGAUGAAGCCCAAGUCCCAUUCGACGACCUCAAAGUCCUACUUUCCACCCAGCCGGUUCUUACUGCUCCGCUCAGUAAAGAGCCCCUUCUUCUGUAUAUCGCGGCUACAAAUCAAGUCAUCGGUACUGUUCUUACAGUCGAACGAGAAGAAGAAGGCAAAGCAUACAAAGUUUAGCGGCCAGUGUACUACAUCUCCGAAGUCCUGACACCUUCCAAGCAGAGGUAUCCCCACUAUCAAAAACUUAUCUACGGGAUUUACAUGACUGCGAAGAAGGUGGCCCAUUAUUUCCAAGAGCACUCGGUGUCUGUUGUUUCUGAUGCACCAUUGUCGGAAAUUCUCCACAAUCGAGAUGCGUCAGGCCGAGUGGCGAAGUGGGCGAUGGAGAUGUUGUACUGCGAUAUCAAGUUCGAGGCCAAGAAAGCUAUUAAGUCUCAAGCUCUGGCUGACUUCAUAGCAGAAUGGGUAGAACAACAGCAACCGACCCACAUCUGCUCGGCCCAUUGGACAAUGUUCUUCGAUGGGUCCAAGAUGUUGAAUGGCUCCGGCGCUGGCGUUGUGAUCAUAUCACCAAAGGGCGACAAGCUCAAGUACGUGCUACAGAUACACUUCGAUUCCUCCAACAACGAGGCAGAGUAUGAAGCUCUCCUCUACGGGUUGCGUAUGGUCAUCUCACUCGGCGUCCGUCGCCUGAUGGUCUACGGCGAUUCGAAUUUGGUGGUCAAUCAAGUGAUGAAAGAGUGGGACGUUAGAAACCCCACCAUGACUACAUACUGCAAUGCAGUGAGGAAGCUUGAGAAGAAGUUUGAAGGUCUAGAACUUCACCAUGUUCCAAGACUGAAGAACCAAGCAGCUGAUGAGUUAGCAAAACUCGGAUCCACUCGGAGACCAGUCCCGAGUGACGUCUGCCUCAAGCACCUCCACCUCCCCUCAGUCAAAGAAGAUCCUUUCACAGAGGAGCCGGUACAACCAAAGAAUUCUACAGAUCCGACUGAAGUCGAUGUUCCUGCUGUGGUUGAUUUGGUCAUGGAGAUUCUUGCCGUCAUACCCGAUUGGACUGUGCCGAUCAUUGCAUAUAUUCUGAGGCACGAACUACCAGAAGACGAAGUCCAGGCCAGGCAGAUAGUCCGCAGGUCGAAGUCAUUCACUGUCAUUGAUGGCCAAUUGUACAAAGAAAGUAUCUCAGGCGUUCUUCAACGAUGCAUCUCCCCAGAGGAGGGGCCGCUGAUUCUGGAGGAUAUUCACUCGGGGACCUGCGGUCAUCAUGCUUCUUCGAGAGCAAUCGUCGCCAAGGCAUUCAGGGCUGGUUUCUUCUGGCUGCAGGCUAACAAGAUGGCUAAAGAUAUGGUUGACCGAUGUGAGGGCUGCCAGUUCUACUCCAACAAGUCCCACAAGCCGAUGUCUACGUUGAAGACGAUCCCUCUUGUGUGGCCGUUUGUAGUGUGGGGAUUAGAUACACUCGGCCCAUUCAAGACAGGCCAAGGUGGAUACACACAUCUGCUGGUGGCAGUCGACAAGUUCACGAAAUGGAUCGAAGCAAAGCCCAUCAAGAAGCUCGACGCCUCAACAGCCGUCAAGUUUGUCAGGGACAUCAUAUUCAGGUUCGGUGUACCUCACAGCAUAAUCACGGACAAUGGGACAAACUUUGACUCGGACAGAUUCAAAGGUUUCUGUACAAGCCAAGGCAUCCGAGUGGAUUUUGCUUCCGUAGCGCAUCCUCAGUCCAAUGGACAAGCAGAGCGGGCAAAGGGACUUAUUUUGCAAGGUUUGAAGCCCCGACUCCUGCGAGAGAUAGGACAUGCCGCUGGCGCUUGGGUUACCGAGCUACCUUCAGUGCUUUGGGGACUUCGCACAACCCCGAACAGAUCUACAGGGCUAUCACCAUUCUUCCUCGUUUAUGGAGCAGAAGCGGUUCUUCCGAGUGACUUGCUCACAAUGCGCCACGAGUCGAACUCUUCUCCGAAGCCGAAGCAGAACAAGCAAGGCAAGACGGAGUGGAUCUUCUGGAGGAGGAGCGCGAGAUGGCACUAGCUCGCUCGACCAUUUAUCAACAAAAUUUGCGGCGUUUUCACGCACGCCACGUCAGAAGUCGCACGUUCCAAGCAGGCGACCUGGUGCUCCGAGUGGAUCAGCAAAGACCUCACAAGUUGGCUCCGGCCUAGGAAGGACCCUUCAUCAUCUCCAAGGUGCUGAACAACGGAGCAUACAGACUCUACAACAUCGAGAGGGAGACAGACGAGCCGCGUGCAUGGAACGGAGAUCUCUUGAAGCGCUUCUACACAUGACCGUCGACUAAAGCAAUGUAAAGAACAAGUAUUGGUGAAAUAAUACAAAUCAGAUUGAGUUUUUUGCAGGUUCAAAGUUCUUCCGCGGUCGCAGACUCCGGUCUCAAAAAAAAAAGCUUAGCUGCGAUCCAGAAUCGUCUAAGUAUUAACCUUCUCCGAGUAUGCGCUACACGUCACACNNNNNNNNNNNNNNNNNNNNNNNNNNNNNNNNNNNNNNNNNNNNNNNNNNNNNNNNNNNNNNNNNNNNNNNNNNNNNNNNNNNNNNNNNNNNNNNNNNNNNNNNNNNNNNNNNNNNNNNNNNNNNNNNNNNNNNNNNNNNNNNNNNNNNNNNNNNNNNNNNNNNNNNNNNNNNNNNNNNNNNNNNNNNNNNNNNNNNNNNNNNNNNNNNNNNNNNNNNNNNNNNNNNNNNNNNNNNNNNNNNNNNNNNNNNNNNNNNNNNNNNNNGUCACACUCGGGGGCUUGGUUCCGAUCCAGAAUCGCCUAAGUAUUAACCUUCUCCGAGUGUGCACUUCAUGUCACACUCGGAAGCUUAGCUGCGAUCAAGAAUCGCCUAAGUAUUAAACUUCUCUGAGUGUACUCUUAACGUCACACUCGGGGACUUAGGGAAUUCCACGGACCCUCAAUGAGGCUCACACAGAUGUCAAAACAACUGACAUGUUCCGAAUGUUUGCCUUUGGCUUCACCAAGAAACGCCAAACAAAAACUCGAAUCAACAUUGCAACAGAAGAGCAAAAAUUCGAUUCAAAGCUCUAGCAAAGAUAGUUCACUCGGUGCGGAUCAAGCUUACCCGCACCGAUCUAAGAAUGUGACGGCCAACAGCAGUGGCCACAGUACCUUACAGAUAAACACUCGGCAUACCGAGGAUAAAGUUUUCUUAUGCGUCAGCUGGGUCGGCGCCAGGACUGGAGGGCUCCACGAAGGUGUCCAAGUCGAUUCCGUCGGCGAUGCGGGUAGCACCCUCAAGGAACGUCUCCAUGAAGUCUUCGAAUCAAAGUUUCUUCGUGUUGGCGACCUUUAGUGUCUUCAGCUUCUCCUCACGCACCUCCUUGCAAUGGACUCGGACCAAGGGCAGAGCAACAUCUGCACCGCAACGAGCUGCAGAUUUCUUCCACGACUGCACUCGGUUGGGAAUCUCCUCCAGUCGGGUCAUCAGGUUCUCCAUCUCCUGCCGCGACUCAUCUUUUGGCCAAAGCUCCUUGUCGAUUCGGCCGACGACUUCUCUCAGUCGACCGAUGAAAGGACCCACUUUGCCUACGCGGAUAUGCGCCCGGAGCAGAUCCCGAUUGGCGUCCUCGCCGAGUGGCACGUUGUCGCGAAUGGACCGCUCCACGUCCGCUGCUUCAGCUUCAGCAUCAACGCAAAAAUCUGCAACAAAAGGGCAAGCAUACAAUAAACGCCGAGUGUCACGCACACAGUACAAGCACUCGGCAAAACAUAAGACUUACCAGCCAGACGCGUCAUCAUCUGCCCAGCCCAGUCGGUGACAUAAUUCUCCUGAGAUGUGCAUCAUUUAUUCAGGACGACCAUCUGAUUCGUGAGAGUAGUCCUCUGUUUCUUCAUUUUUUCCACUUCCUCAGUCAACACCUUGUUCGCUUCACGCGCCUCCUCCAAGGACUUCUAUCGUCCCUCCAGAGCAUCCUUCAUGCCGGCCAUUGGGACCAUAGCCGCAUCAAGCUCACCAGCGAACUGGUUCCUCUCCGCUUUGAGAGCCUCAUAGGCCGUCCCCAUUUCACAAGUUUUCUGCCACCAAGCACCAAGGGACAAUCAGAAAGUUCAACAGUUAAAGGUCUAAGUUCUUCAGACCCCUGCCGACGCAAGCAGUCGACAGCGGUCUCGGGGACUACACCCAGUGGGUUCACUGAGAGUGACCCCACUGGCAUGCAUCUCAAGCAGGCCUGCCCUAUUGAGAUGCAUGUUAUCACCUACGCCUACGAGGCAAAUACUACCCGACCUGAGUGCAACUUACUCUCGGAGAUUCUUAGAGUAAGUGCACUCCGAGUGCCACAACUGCUAGCAGUUGGUCAUAUUAUUUACACACACGACCAAAGCACAGACAAUAUGUAUAAAGACAACUGUCGGUGCAAGCACUCGACAGAAGUCUCGGGGACUACACCCACUGGGUUCACUCAGAGUGAACCCAUUGCAAACGACAGCUGCUAUUCAAGAACACCGAGUGGGUUACAGGAGAAAAGUAAAUACUUACUAGACCACUUACUCGGAUAUCAUCCGGCAGCUCCAAGCUCCGCUGGUACAAGGCCGCAACGGAGUCGUAGGCCCUCUUGGCUUCUCCAGCCAUCAGCUCCGCCUGCACCAUAGCCCCCUUGGCCGCUCCCACCUGCUCCUCCGGAAGACGCUGGAUGCUGAAUUCAGCAUUCGACGAGCCUGGAAUCGUCGGAGGUUCCUGAGGCAUCCCAAGGCCCGCCCCAGUCGGCUCCUCAUCCACCAGCACUGGUUCAGUCUGUGGCAGCGCCUCAGUCGGCAGCACGUCGGCGGCGAGAGCGGCAGCAGGAGGGGCAGCCUCAAGAACAGGCUCCACAGCUGGGUCGGCUCUCCCCUGGUCGCCCUCGUCCAGGCAAAUCGCCCCUGACAGGCCGAACGACACGAGGUCUCGGAAAAAGAAAGAGGCAGAACCUAUGAUAGAAUAAAACACUCGGAGUCACUACAACGCACCUGGUUGGGACGAGACGACGUUGUCCGUGUCCAUGGGGUCAUCUUCUUGGUGCGCCGGAGAGGUGGCAGAAGUAGCGACUCUGUCGAGUGAAAUCCAUUCGACCAAUGCACAAGAAUUCACUCGGAUAUCAGAAGAAAUUAGAAGAUCGAUACACUUACGUGGAGGUGAUGGGGACAGCAACCCUCAUCCGCGGCAGAGCCUUCCGAGGUUUGGACCCACUCGGUUUGGCCACCUUGGAAGACUGACCCGCAGGCUCAGCGGCAGCAUCCCUGGCCCUUUUGGUGCUCCGAGCACUCAGGACCACCAGGGUAGUGGGCGGAGCACUCGAAGAUGCUGGAGGGGCCGAGGGAACGGCAGGCUCGUGUCGACGCUUGGUCCGAUGCUCUGUUUGCGGAGGCGGUGAGUCCUGCUCUUCGUCUUCCUCCUCUUCCUCGCUGGUCUCUUCCUCCGACUCCCCACUGUCGGAGACAUAUUCAGCGCUCUCCACACUGCCCUCCUGGCUGCCUUCCUCCUCCUCGGCCGGGUUCCCGUUCGAGACGGGAGAAAACCAGUUGGUCCACUCCUGCAUAAAAUUCAGUCGGCGACAUCAGACGUCACACAGAGAUUCAAGCAAACGACAAGAUUAAGACAGUUAGGAGCACUCGACAAGUGCCACUCACCUAAUUCGGGGGAGGGUUAUCCGCGCAGAAGGGCUUCACUCGCCGAGAUCCUUUGGGAUUCUCGCAGGGGCCUGUGAUCUGGAGCACCCACGAGGUCACCCUCUCCUCAGUCACGCCCAUGACGUUGGUCCGAGUGGAAUCCUCGGGCCCCGUAUAAUGCCACAUGGCGUGGUCGCGAGCCUGCAGGGGCUGGAUAUGCCGACCGAGGAAGACCUCCAUCAAGUCUAUGCCAGUGACCCCCUCCUGACGACAUCUACGAGCGCCCCGACCAGAGGCUGGAUGUCGUUCUUCUCCGCCCUUGUGAGCGCGAGUUGCUUAGGUGGGACGGGCCGAUCUAAACUAAAAGGAGGCAGCCCAGUCGACGCAUUCGGACAGGCGAUAUCCUGGCAGUAGAACCACGUCGACUGCCAGUUCCUGACCGACUCACUUAACUGAAGAGCAGGAUAACUACUCCGACUCUUUUUCUGGAAACCUAAGCCCCCGCAGAGCUGGAGGAGAUGCGUCUUAUCAUCCGACUGGCUAAGUCGUUUGAUGGUUUGGGAUCUGGCGGAAAAGAUGUGUUUGAACAAACCCCAAUGGGGAGGGCAGCCGAUGAAACACUCGAACAAAACUAUAAAGGCAGAAAGAUGGGCGAUGGCAUUCGGAGGAAAAUGGUGAAGUUGGGCCCCGAAGUGAUUCAUGAUGCCCUUGAAGAAAGGAUGCGGGGGCAAAGAAAAACCUCGAUAGACGUGGCUGAGAAGCAAGACGCGCUCCCCCUCCCGAGGCGCCGGCUCGACCUCGUUCUCCACCGACAGCCUCCAGGACUUAUGCACGAUCAUUCCGUGCUCCACCAGCUGCAGCAGAUCCCCCUCCAUCACCGUGGAGGGGAGGAAGUCGCCCUGAAUCCACCCCGCCGGCAGCGGCCGCUGCCUCCGCUGAGCAGGCGCCGCCGCCUUGCCCUUCUUCUUCCUCGCCUCCAUCUUGUUGGUCUGACCCUUGGUCAUGGAGGCGACGGCGAACCCUCGGAAGGAAGGAGAAGGAAGGAGUGUAGGAGCGCUGGAGGCGGCGAGGAAGACGGAGCAGGCGAGAGCGAAAGAUUCGGCGAGCGUAACGAAGAAGCCUCGCUGCCGAGAUUUAAAUAGGGUUCCGACUGGGUCACUGGUGGGUGGCCCCGAAACCUUAUCCGCCCGACCGGCCGCGGCGAUAUCAGUGGAGGAGUUGAAGGCGCGAGAAUCGAGGCGUCAGGCGCUACUCGAGCGCGUCGGCGUCUUCCCCGUUGGACGCGCGGAAACCGAAAUUUGAAGAUCCCGGAAAAUCCGCCGCUGUGAGUUGACCGGUCGCGUCAAAAGAUGUCGCAGAAGCACUCGGCUUCCGAUAGUCUGUUUCGCGAGUACUUCCACUCGGAUCGUUGGUCAGAAAAGAUAAAAUGGAUCGAGGCAGGCAACGCCCAAGCCAAAUCUGUUCCAGUCGGAUCCAAACUUCAAGCACCGCUUCGUCGUUUCAACCCCAAUCCAUUCGGGGACUAAUGAUGGGGUCAUAGUCCUAGGGUAGGGUCAUAGGCCUGCCCUGUAGGUCCUACCCAAGGACUACCCCUCACAAAGGACAAGGCCCUUAGUCAGUCCCGACUGAAUUAAGGAGUCUCCAUCAUCCAGUCGGUAACAUGUCCUCAACCAUCCAGUCGGAGACUAGCAUUCGAAGGAUACCAAGCUAACCGACUGGCUACACUCGGUACAUCGUAACCUCUCUGUAGGGAAACGGCCGUACGUUUCCAGGUGCAUUUAUUGGCAUUUAGAGCAUACGUUAUCUGUAACAUACGCAUUCAAUCCCCACUACUCCACCCCUGUACCGAAACCGUUGUGGAGGGCAGCGCACUCUAUAUAAGCCUCCCCCCCCACUGGUAGAGGGGUUAGCAAAUCAUUGUAUUCCAUAUUCCACUCGACAACAAGCUCCGAGAGCACUGAGACGUAGGGCUAUUACCUCCACCGCAGAGGGGCCCGAACUAAUACAUGCUCGCCGUAGCUGGGACUCUGCCCAUCUCAUUCGUACCCUACACAUCUACUGUCAGGCUUAUACCCACGACAGACUCCAACGGUACGUAUAACAACUUACCUCCAAUGGCCUUGACGGUAGGGUCGGCGGCGGGCCUUGACGAUAGGGUCGACGGCGGAGGCUGAAGGCCGUUAGGUUGUGCUGAUGUGGAUAAGUGGUCUAUCGUCAGAGGCUAGGCGAUAGGUUGUUAUAUCCUACCGUCAUCUACCUGGUGAUAGGAGAAGGGCCGAGAUACCUACAUUUUUACAAACCAGGGCCACAUCGUGCUGAAUUUGUCCUCUGUAGGAUAGGGUGUGCGUGAGCACGUUUUGCGAGGGUAUGUAUGUGUUUAGAAAAAAUAAUUAAUUUUUAAUCUAGGCAACAAAUUUCCCUCUCGUGCACAAAAAUUAGUGGUCCGGCCGUGAAGAUGCGCGUUGAAUAGUUCCACAGUCAAAAAGGCCUCGUUGAAUAAGCCUGCCUUUUAACCAGACGGCGAAGCGUGGAAGAAAAAUAAUUAGCUGGGACGGCGACACGGCGGCUGCUGACAUUUCUUCCCCUGGAAAGGCCAAGAGAAGAAGGCAACCGAAGCUUCGGGCAGCCCGUGCGCCUCACACGAUGUCACAACGAGAUGGGAUGACGCUGGCUGGCAGGGGCCGGAGGUAGCUCGGAGUUGGCAGCCCCCCAGUUCGGCGACAGCGACGCGCCCACGAACCAGCCAAACUUUGAUUUCUUUUCUCCUUUCCUCCAUUCCGCUGGCCGAACAAUCAACCAACACAUCGAUCAGCUGACGAAAUCGAUCCACGGCUUCGCGGCAGCUGACGACGAUCCAGACAAUCCUAUCAAUCGGCUACUAGCUGACACGGAGCAGGAGCUGGCCAAGUCGCAGGCGCCUCCUCCUCUCCCCCCAUGACCAAGAAAUUUCUCCGGUGCAAAUCCAUGGAUUCUGACAUGCCAUUGCCAAUGGAGUUGGACCAAGGGAGGAAAUAGCUGCGAUAUGUUCUUGGCAUGGAUUCAUGGAUCGACAAAACGGAGAAGAAGGCCGACUGCCAUAUGUUCUUGGCAUCUUUCUUGUAAAUUAAUUAAUAGAUAUAAGAAACAAAUAAUCACAAAAGGGUAUGAAGCAACAUGUUGUGUAACCACAUGUUCUUGCUCGCCGUCAAUGGGAUCUUACCACAAGAAGAGCAAGAGGAAGAGGAGGAAGAAGAAGAAGAAAUCAAGAAUCAAGUCAAGCAAAACGAGGCAGGCACGGAGCAGAGCAGAGCAGAUAGAUAUACACGGACCUAUAUCUACCGAAUCAGGGACGGGCGUGGUCGAGCAGGGCAGGCUCAGGCCGCCGGCGGCAGCCGGCUGAGCGCGUCCCGGAGCGUGGCCCUGAACUUGUCCAGAUCCAGCCGGACGUUCUGCUUGUCCAGGUACGCCGCCUUGAGCGCGUCCCACCCCUGCUUGUGCACGGCGUAGGGGUCGGUGAGCACCUGGUGGUUCCGCGGGUACUGCUCCAGCAGCGAGCUCUCCUCCAGCUGCACGUUGUAGUCCAUGUACGUCACCUCCAUGUCCGCCGCCGGGUUCUUGAAGGUCACGCCGGUGAGCCACUCCAGCCCUCCGAACGGCACCACCUGGAUCAGCACGGCCCCCGCGGGGAGGAACACCAUGUUGGUCAGCCCCGCGCCGUGCACGCCCACCAUCACGUCCGCGGAGUUCACCAGCCGCGCGAAGGUGGACAUGUCGGUGUGCUGGUCGGGCUCCGCGAUGCGCACGUCGAAGCCCAUGGCGGUGGCGGCGGCCGCCAUCUCCCGCUCGUUGAGGAACCGGCGCGAGUUCUUGCGGGAGAUGAUGAGGAGCCGGGGCUUACCGGCGCCCGUGGCGCCGCCGCGGGACGCGGCCGCGCGCUCCAGCCCGAAGGCGUCGCGGAGGGUGCGCUUGAAGUCGACGAUGGAGACGUGGCCGGCGGCCUUGGACGGGAUGAUGCCCAUGUCCUUGUGGAAGUCGGAGCCGACGACGAUGCGGGGCACGCAGUGCACCUCCAGGUCGUUGUUGACGUCGACGACUUCGUAGUUGCUGAGCUGCCGGAACAGCGGCCGGAACUUGGCCACCCACCACGGCUUGAGGUCGCUGAGCAGGAACUGCACCUCGCCCUUGAACUUGCGGGUGCUGAGGAAGAGCGGCACCAGCACGUCCGUGUAGUCGUGGUACAGGUUGCCGGAGAAGCCGCGGUUGGAGAACACGAACCCGGGGACGGAGUGGUUCUUGGUGCACGCCGGCGGCGGGGCGUCGGCGGGGAAGGGCUUGAGUACGAACUCCCGGACGUGGGUCAUGGCGACGGGGUCGUGGUACCGCGCGUACGGCUUGGUCCUCCAUUCCCUGUCCAGCGAGUCGAUGUAGAUGGUGGAGGCGUUGCCGACCACCCGGAUGUCCCCCGCCGCCUCGCACCGCUCCGAACGCUUGCUCGUCAUGAAGCAGGUCGGCUUCUUCUUCUUCCCCUUCCCCUUAUCCUUAUCCUUCCUCCCCGCGCCGGCGCCGGAGACGACGGCAGUCUUCUCCGCCCUCUCCGUGGUGACCUUGGGCACCGGGGCGGCGCUGUCCUCCUCCACAUCCUCCUCCGCGUCCUCCUCUGAAACUGGCCAGGGAAAAAGAAACAGUCUUGAGCAACAUACAUUUCGUCCCCAAAUCAGCAAUCGGCCGGUUCUAGCUAGCUGAGCCGAACAAGUCAAUCGAUCCGGAAGACAGCUUGCUUACCUCCGACCGUGGUGGCGGCGGGGGCCGGCUCGUCGUCGUCGGUCUCCAUCCGGAUGCUGGAGUUCAUCUGCUCCUUGAGCUGGUCGUCCGGCUUGCCUGCAGACAUCCAAGCUCUCAUCCACCCGUCCAUCCAAGAACCAGCAAGCUCGACAGCAAACAGAAGGGGAAAGAGGAGGAGGAAGAAGAAGAAGAAGAUAGUAGACAUACCGAAGGGGGUGGAGCAGUAUCUGGCCUUGACGAUGCUGAGGACGCAGAGGGAGAGGAGCAUGGCGGCGAUGAUGACGCCGUUGCUGACCCGCCGCGGCUCCUGCCGGCUCCGCAGCGAGGCCUUCAUCUCCGACGCCGACCCCAGCGCGCCCUCCCCCGACCCCGGCUAGAUCUGGGGCAGCAGGCGGCACGGAGUCAGCUCCCUUGCUUGCUUGCUGGGCUUUGCUUGCUGCCUGCCUGCCUCCUCCCAAGGAGGAAGACUCUUCUCGAGACGGAGAGAGAGAGAGGAGAGAGGAGAGAUGCUUUGAAACUUUCUCGUGCCGAGCUGGAUCUGGAUGGGCCUCAGCUGCUCUGCUCUGCUCGCUGAUGAUUAAACGAGGGUGGUAAUAAAGAAUCGGAAUGCUCUCUCCUUGGCAACUCAUAAGUGAGGGAUUAUUGCAGCAAAAUGGAGGAUGAUUAGCAGACUGGCCCCUGGGAUUAGCCGGCCGGCCGUCGUCGUGUGGAGAGACUGGCAGGCACGACGUAGGACGUGGUGGACCGUUGACCAGACCGGGCUGGGCCGGGCCCGACCCGCAGUGUUGUUGAGCCACCUCCCCCACCUUAUUUCUAUGGUGGGAUUAUUGUUACUUCCAUUUUCGGCCGCGGGAAGAGAUGUAUGUAUGUUCGGACCGGCCGACCGAGAGCAUGAAUGUGGGCAUGUACCGGCGAGCGUCACGGGUUUUCCUACGUACCGAUGUGCCAACACGCGUGAGUUUGUGUACAGCUGGAGCCAAAGGAGGAGUAACGCUUCCCUUUUUUUCUUUCUACUAGCACAAUUACACACGUGCGUUGCAACAGGAGAAAAAUGAAUAAUAAAAAAGUAUAGUUCAUUGGUAAAAACGCGCGUGGAUACUAUAAAAAAAGGUGCGCACGUAAGGUCUUAGAUUAUAAAAUAUGUACAAAAAAGAACCGAGUGCAAGUACAUCAUGUCCAAAAAUUAUAACAUUUUCCAAAUAUUGAUGCUUAAGUUAACAUGUUACAAUAUAAAUAGUCGGUACGAAAUAAAGACAAAUAUUAAUUAGCAUUGUAUCCUAUAUAGUAUUUGUAAAAAUAUUUAACAUGUAAAAUAACAACAUAUUCAAACUCUACACAUUUUUCUAAUCAAGUUUCAUAUAUAACACGUUUAAAUUGAAUUUACGGUUUAAAAGAUAUUAUUAUUUGAAAAUACAUAUUUAUUCUGAAUGAACUUCGAGGUUAUUAACGCAUAUGUGAGGGGUUUAGGUAAAAAAAAAUGAUUCGCUCUGAGUACAAUUUGGACCGCGGGUUAUUUAGCACGAAAGUAAGGGGGUUUUGUGUAAAAUGUGAAACAAAACGGUUCGGCCUCACUUAUAAACGGACUGCAGGUUAAUUAGAGGAAACUAUAGGGGUCUUUCUGCAAAAAUGCCACGACGGACGACAGAAGCCACCGGUGCUUUAUUAUUAGGGAGAGAAGAGCAACUUGAACGAAACGAUCCACACGGACAUGAAUUUUGUCUGUUUGGGUUGUCCAUCCGCCUAGCGGACAUGAGGUGAACACGGGUGAUCGAUGGGCGAACCCAAUGCACGAGAUGCAAAAAAGCGGACAAGUGAGGCUGCUGGCGUGGAAGACGCAUCUUUCCUUCGCUCCCCGCGCCGCCUAGCGCACGACCUCGCCACCGCCGACCCGCCAGCGUUGUUCCUCAGGGCGGUCUUCGCGUCCUUGUCCCAUCGGCUCCUCCGUCGAGGCACGCCGACAACAUCGGCACCUCCAUGCUCUACUGCAUCCCCAUCAUCCUCGGGCUCUUUGCCUUCGUCGUCGUCGCCUCCCUCUCCAUCAGCGCCUGCCUCCGCGACCGCUUCAGCCGCUCGCGCCCGUCUCCCCCACCCUCGCCGUUGCCCGGGCCGCACGGGAAGGACGAGGGUAAGAAGGAUCGGAUCGAGUCACUGCCCCGGUUCACCAUACCUUCUGCGCUGGCGGCGCUGCCUAGGAGCUCCCCGGACUGCGUCGUCUGCCUCUCGCAUUUAGGUCGAAGACCAAGCUGCGGUUGCUCCCGGCAUGCCGCCACGCGUUCCACGCCGCGUGUGUCGCCGCCUGGCUCCGGACCACCCCGACCAUCCCGCUCUAUCCCGCCAUCGUCGCGCCCCGCACCCCUCCAUCGCGACCCUCCUCGCCACCGAACAGCCGCUGCCGACACCGGAGCCUGCUGCCGCGAGGAGCAGGGAUCGCUCCAGGAGGUUUCGCGUCGAGAUGGGAAACGUCAGCACUCGCGGUGGGUCAUCGGCCACUUCCACAGGCAGCGGCCUUGAGGAGGGACGGACCGCUGAUAGGUGGGACAAGGGUGGACACAAGAGGGGAAGAGCGGACGACGGGAGCACCCAGUUUUGUCUGUCACGGACCCAUUUGUGGCCCAGUUUUGCGCCUAGUUUGGGUUGGGAUGGACAACAAGCGGACAUCAGGCGGACAAACGCGUCCGUUUGGGUCGCCCGGUCGGGUCAAUUUUUCUUUUGGAUGACCCAAACGGACAAUAUGGGUCACCCCAUUGGAGUUGCUCUAACGCAGGGCGAAAGCCUUCCAUUGGAAGAAGCAAGAUGUUAAAGGCCAAACUAGCAGCGAACGAUACAACUGAAGGCUCCGAGCUGGCCCGACCCACUCCCGUGAGCAGAAAAGGCGAACCCUCGUCGCGCCACCCCCAGUCCCUCCGCUCCAUCCCUCUCCCACGCCGUCUCCAGCGCACACUGCUACGGCGACAGAAAUCCUUUUGUCGUCUCUUGAGCUUGCGUUGGUUUUUCCCUUGAAGAGGAAAGGGCGAUGCAGCAUAGGAGCAGUAAGUAUUUCCCUCAGUUUGAAAACCAAGAUAUCAAUCCAGUAAGAGGAUCGCGCCAAGUCCAGAGUACCUGUGCAAACACAAAAGAGCUUGCACCCAACGCUAUAAAGGGGUUGUCAAUCCCUUCAAGAUUGAUUGCAAAGUAAGAUCUGAAGUUGGAAAGUGCAAUGAAGAAAAAGUGUAAGGCUGAAAAUAUGGUGUGGAGUAGACCCGGGGGCCAUAGUGUUCACUAAAGGCUUCUCUCAAAAUAGCAAAUAUUACGGUGGGUGAACAAAUUACUGUCGACCAAUUGAUAGAACCGCGAAAAGUCAUGACGAUAUCUAAGGCAAUGAUCAUACAUAUAGGCAUCACUUCCGAGACAAGUAGACCGAUAUUUUCUUCAUCUACUACUAUUACUCCACACAUCGACCGCUAUCCAGCAUGCAUCUAGUGUAUUGAGUUCAUGACGAACAAAGUAACGCUUUAAGCAAGAUGACAUGAUGUAGAGGGAUAAACUCAAACCAAUGAUGAAAACCCCAUUUUUUUACCCUUGAUGGCAACAACACGAUGAAUGCCUCGCUACCCCUUCUGUCACUGGGUGAGGUCACCGCACGGUAUGAACCCAAAACCAAGCACUUCUCCCAUUGCAAGAAUCAUAGAUCUAGUUGGCCAAACAACACCCACAACUCGAAGAGAAUUACAAGGAUAUGAAAUCAUGCAUAUAAGAGAUCAAAAGAAACUCAAAUAAGAUUCAUAGAUAAUCUGAUGAUAAAUCCACAAUUCAUCGGAUCUCGACAAACACACCACAAAAGAACAUUACAUCGGAUAGAUCUCCAUGAAGAUCAUGGAGAACUUUGUAUUGAAGAUCCAAGAGAGAAGAAGCCAUCUAGCUACUAGCUAUGGACCCGUAGGUCUAUGGUGAACUACUCACGCAUCAUCGGAGAGGUCAUGGUGUUGAUGAAGAAGCCCUCCGUAUCCGAAUCCCCCCUCCAACAGGGCACCAGAACGUGCCCCAGAUGGGAUCUUGCGGAGACAGAAGCUUGCGGCGGCGAAAAAGUACUUUCGAUGAUCUCGUGAUCUUUUUCUGGGAUUUUAGGGAAUAUAUAGGCGAAAGACCUAGGGCAGAGGUGGCCCAAGGAGCCCACAAGCCUGGGAGGCGCGGGCCCCCCUGGCCGCGGCUAGGGGGCUUGUGGGGUCCCUGCAGGCCCCCUGUCGUGAUUCUCAGGCUUCCCGAUCUUUUUCUGUUUCGGAAAAAAUAUGUUUGGCAGUUUCGUUCCGUUUGGACUCCCUUCAAAAUCCUCCUCUGAAAGGGGUCAAAAACAUGGAAAAAACAGGAACUGCCACUUGGCACUGAGUUAAUAAGUUAGUCCCAAAAAAUAUAUAAAAGGCAUACAAAACAUCCAAAGUUUGACAAGAUAGUAGCAUGAAACCAUCAAAAAUUAUAGAUACGUUGGAGACGUAUCAAGCAUCCCCAAGCUUAACUCCUGCUCGUCCUCGAGUACGGAAGUGAUAAAGACUAAAUUUUUGAUGUGGAAUACUACCUAGCAUAGUUGUCCUUUGCAACUUCUUUCGUGUGACAUGAAUGUUCAGAUCCGUGAGAUUCAAAACAAUAGUUUGCUAUUGACAUGAAAACAAUAAUACUUCAAGCAAACUAGCAAGGUAAUCAUGAACUUUCAAAAUAACAAGGUCAAGGAAAGUUAUCCCUACAAAAUCAUAUAGUCUGGCUAUGCUCCAUUCAUACGUCCAUUUUGCAUCAUGUUUUCAUGUUGAUAUUUAUUGCUUCUUUGGCUGUUAUUUCACUUCGCGGUACUAUUCUUAUGCCUUUUCUCUCUUAUUUUUGCAAGGUUUACAUGAAGAGGGAGAAUGCCGACAACUGGAAUUCUGUCCUGAAAGUGGAGCAAAGUUGAGAUACCUAUUCUGCGCAACUCCAAACGCCAUAAAAAUCAACGAGGAUUUUUUCCCGAUUUAUCAAAAAUACUGGCCCGAAGAAGUGCUAGAGGGGGGCGUGUAGGUGGCCACAAGCCUGCACGGCGCGGCCACCCCCCAAGGCCGCACCAUGAGGGCUUGUGGGCACCUUGCAGGCCCACUUGCCCCCCUCUUUUGCUAUAUGAAGGGUUUCGUCCAGGAAAAAAAAUCAAGGAGGAGCUUUUCUGUGGAUUCGCCGCAGCCACGAGGCGGAACUUGAGCAGAACCAAUCUAGAGCUCCGGCAGGACGAUCCUGCCGGGGAAACUACCCUCCCGGGGGGGGGGAAAUCGUCGCCAUCGUCAUCACCAACACUCCUCUCAUCGGAGGGGACUCAUCACCAUCAAUAUCUUCAUCAGCACCAUCUCAUCUCCAAACCCUAGUUCAUCACUGUAACCAAUCUCCUUCUCGCGACUCCGAUUGGUACUUGUAAGGUUGCUAGUAGUGUUGAUUACUCUUUGUAGUUGAUGCUAGUUGGAUUACUUGGUGGAAGAGUUUAUGUUCAGAUCCUUGAUGCUACUCAUUACUUCUCUGGUCAUGGAUAUGAUUAUGCUUUCUGAGUAGUUACUUUUGUUCCUGAGGACAUGGGAUAAGUCAUGCUAAUAAUAGUCAUGUGAAUUUGGUAUUCGUUCGGCAAUUUGAUAUGUUGUAUGUUUUUUCCUCUAGUGGUGUUAUGUGAACGUCGACUACAUAACACUUCACCAUUAUUUGGGCCUAGAGGAAGGCAUUGGGAAGUAGUAAGUAGAUGAUGGGUUGCUAGAGUGACAGAAGCUUAAACCCUAGUUUAUGCGUUGCUUCGUAAGGGGCUGAUUUGGAUCCACUACUUUAAUGUUAUGGUUAGACUUUGUCUUAAUUCUUCUUUUGUAGUUGUGGAUGCUUGCGAGAGGGGUUAAUCAUAAGUGGGAUGAUUGUCCAAGUAAGGGCAUUACCCAAGCGCCGGUCCACCCACAUAUCAAACUAUCAAUGUAACAAACGCGAAUCAUAUGAACAUGAUGAAAACAAGCAUGACAGAAAUCCCCGUGUGUCCUCGGGAGCGUUUUUCCUGCUAUAAGACUUUGUCCAGGCUUGUCCGUUGCUACAAAAGGGAUUGGGCCACUUUGCUGCACCAUUGCUACUUUUGUUACUUGUUGCUUGCUACGAAUCAUCUCACUACACAACCACUUGUUACCGACAAUUUUAGUGCUUGCUGAUUUUCCUUGCUGAAAAUCACUUGUCAGAACCUUCUGCUCCUUGUUUGGUUCGACACUCUUACUUAUCGAAAGGACUACGAUUGAUCCCCUGUACUUGUGGGUCAUCAAGACUCUUUUCUGGCCCCGUUGCCAUGGAGUGAAGCGCCUUUGGUAAGUGGAACUUGGUAAGGAAACAUUCAUAUAGUGUGCUGAAAUUUGUUGUCACUUGUUAGUAUGGAUACUAAUCCUUUGAGGGGCUUGUUCGGGGUAUCUUCACCUCGAACGAAAGCACAAAGAGUUUCUCCUCAACCUGCUGCACCUACUGAAAAUAUUUGCUUUGAAUUUCCCUCGGGUAUGCUUGAGAAACUGCUGGCUAAUCCUUUUUACAGGAGAUGGAACAUCACAUCCAGACUUGCAUCUAACCUAUGUAGAUGAGGUUUGUGGUUUAUUUAAGCUUGCAGGUGAGCCCGAGGAUGAGGUCAAGAAGAAGGUAUUUCCUUUAUCUUUUAAGGAUAAGGCGUUGACAUGGUAUAGGCUAUGUGAUGAUACUAGAUCAUGGAAUUUCAUCAAAAGUUUUAUCCUAUGCAUUUAGCACAUCGUGAUCGGAAUUAUAUUUAUAAUUUUUGGCCUCGUGACAGAGAAAGCAUCGCUCAAGCUUGGGGGAGGCUUAAAUCAAUGUUAUAUUCAUGCCCCAAUCAUGAGCUCUCGAGAGAAAUUAUCGUUCAGAACUUUUAUGCUCGGCUUUCUCAUGAUGAUCGCACCAUGCUUGACACUUCUUGUACCGGUUCUUUUAUGAAGAGUGAUAUUGACUUCAAAUGGAAUUUAUUGGAGAGAAUUAAACGCAACUCUAAAGAUUGGGAUCUUGAAGAAGGUAAGGAGUCAGGUAUGAAUUUCACUUUUGAUUGCGUUAAAUCCUUUGUUGAGACAAAUACUUUUUGUGACUUUAGCGCUAAGUAUGGACUUGACUAUGAGAUAGUAGCUUCAUUGUGUGAAUCCUUUGCUGCUCAUAUUGAUCUCCCCAAAGAGAAGUGGUUUAAAUUUCAUCCUCCUUUAGAAGUCAAUGUAGUUAAACCCACUCCAGUUGAAGAGAAAGUCAUUGCCUAUAAUGAUCCUGUUGUUCCCAGUGCUUACAUUGAGAAACCACCUUUCCCUGUUAGGAUAAAGGAUCAUUGUAAAGCUUUAACUGUGAUACGUAGAGGCUAUAUUAGAACACCUACACCCCCUGAGAAAAUUAGAGUUGAACCUAGCAUUGCUAUCAUCAAAGAUCUUCUGUCUGAAGAAGUUGAGGGACAUAAUAUUCACUUCUGUGAAGAUGCUGCUAGAAUUGCUAAACCUCCCGCUAGAGACAAAGAUAGGCUUCUUGUUGGCAUGCCUGUCGUUUCUGUUAAGAUAGGAGAUCAUUGUUAUCAUGGUUUAUGUGACAUGGGUGCUAGUGUUAGUGCAAUACCUCAAUCCUUAUAAGAUGAAAUCAAAGUUGAGAUUGCACCUGUUGAGAUAGAGCCUAUUGAUGUCACUAUUCAGCUUGCCAAUAGAGAUACUAUCUGCCCUAUGGGAAUUGUUAGGGAUGUUGAAGUCUUGUACUGUGGUAAAACGAAGUAUCCUGCUGAUUUCUUCGUUCUUGCUACCACACAAGAUAGCUUUUGUCCCAUCAUAUUUGGCAGACCCUUCCUCAAUGCCGUCAAUGCUCAUAUUGACUGUGAGAAGCAAACUGUCACUGUUGGCUUUGAAGGUGUGCCACAUGAGUUCAAUUUCUCUAAGUUUGGUAGAGAACCUCAUGAAAAGGAGUUGCCUAGUAAGGAUGAAACUAUUGCCUUAGCUUCUAUUGUCGUGCCUCCUACGGAUCCCUUAGAGCAAUACUUGCUUGAGCAUGAAAAUGAUAUGCAUAUGGAUGAAAGGGAUGAGAUAGAUAGAGUUGUCUUAGAACAAUGUCCUAUUCUUAAGAAUAAUCUGUCUAUUGAACUGCUUGGGAUCCACCUCCAACAAAGGGUGAUCCUGUGUUCGAGCUUAAACAGUUUCCUGAUACUCUUAAGUAUGCCUAUCUUGAUGAAAAGGAGAUAUAUCAUGUCAUUAUUAGUGCUAGCCUCUCAGAGCAAGAAGAAAAGAAGUUACUAAAAACUCGGAGGAAGCACCGUGCUGCUAUUGGAUAUACUCUUGAUGAUCUAAAGCGCAUUAGUCCCACUCUAUGCUAGCACAAGAUUAAAACUGAUCCUGACAUCAAACCAGUUGAUGAUCAUCAAAGGAGAUUGAAUCCUAAGAUGAAAGAAGUAGUAAGAAAAGAAAUACUAAAGCUCCUAGAAGCGGGUAUUAUCUACCCUGUUGCUCAUAGCGAUUGGGUGAGUCUGGUGCACUGCAUCCCUAAGAAGGGAGGCAUUACCGUUGUCCCUAAUGAUAAGGAUGGAUUGAUCCCACAGAGGAUUAUUACUGGCUAUAGGAUGGUGAUCGAUUUUAGGAAAUUGAAUAAAGCCACUAGGAAAGAUCAUUACCCUUUGCCUUUUAUCGACCAAAUGCUAGAAAGGUUGUCAAAACACACACACUUAUGCAUUCUAAACGGUUAUUCUGGUUUCUCCCAAAUACCAGUUGCACAAUCUGAUCAGGAGAAAACCACUUUCACCUGUCCUUUCGGUACCUUCGCUUAUAGACGUAUGCCUUUUGGCUUAUGUAAUGCACCUGCCACCUUUCAAAGAUGUAUGAUGGCUAUAUUCUCUGACUUUUGUGAAAAGGUUGCUGAGGUUUUCAUGGAUGACUUCUCCGCUUAUGGGUCUUCCUUUGAUGAUUGCCUCAGCAACCUUGAUCGAGUCUUGCAGAGAUGUAAAGACACCAAUCUUGUCUUGAACUCGGAAAAGUGCCACUUUAUGGUUAAUGAAGGCAUCGUCUUAGGACAUAAAAUUUCUGAAAGAGGUAUUGAAGUCGAUAAGGCUAAGGUUGAUGCAAUCGAGAAAAUGCCAUACCCCACAGAUAUCAAAUGUAUAAGAAGUUUCCUUGGUCAUGCUGGUUUGUAUAGAAGGUUCAUCAAAGACUUCUCUAAGAUUUCUAGGCCUCUUACCAAUCUCUUACAAAAGGAUAUUCCUUUUGUUUUUGACGAUGAUUGUGAGGAAGCAUUUGAAAUACUUAAGAGGGCUUUGAUAACUGCACCUAUUGUUCAACCACCUGAUUGGAACUUGCCUUUUGAGAUCAUGUGUGACGCUAGUGAUUAUGUUGUUGGUGCUGUUCUAGGGCAAAGAGUCGAUAAGAAGUUGAAUAUUAUUCACUACACUAGUAAAACUCUUGACAGUGCCCAAAGAAACUAUGCUACUACGGAGAAGGAAUUUUUAGCAAUCGUGUUUGCAUGUGAAAAGUUCAUGUCUUACAUAGUUGACUCCAAAGUCACUAUUCACACUGAUCAUGCUGCUAUUAAGUACCUCAUGGAGAAGAAGGACUCUAAACCUAGACUUAUCAGAUGAGUUCUCUUGCUACAAGAGUUUGAUUUGCACGUUGUUGAAAAAAAGGGUGCUGAUAACCUAGUAGCAGAUAACUUGUCUAGGUUGGAGAACGUUCUUAAUGACCCACAACCUAUUGACGAUAGCUUUCCCAAUGAGAAACUGAAUGUCAUCAAUGCUUCAUGUAGUGCACAGUAGUAUGCUGAUUAUGCAAACUAUAUCAUUGCCACAUACAUACCACCUAGUUUCACGUACCAGCAAAAGAAGAAAUUAUUCUUUGACUUGAGACAUUACUUUUGGGAUGAUCCUCACCUUUAUAAGGAAGGAGUAGAUGGUGUUAUUAGACGUUGUGUACCUGAACAUGAACAGGGACAGAUCCUACAUAAGUGUCACUCUGAGGCCUACGGAGGACACCAUGUGGGAGAUAGAACUGCACACAAGGUAUUGCAAUCAGGUUUCUAUUGGCCCACUCUCUUCAAGGAUGCCCGUAAGUUUGUCUUGUCUUGUGACGAAUGUCAAAGAAUAGGUAAUAUCAGCAAACGUCGGGAAAUGCCUAUGAACUAUUCACUUGUCAUUGAAUCAUUUGAUGUCUGGGGCUUUGAUUAUAUGGGACCUUUUCCAAAAUCCAACGGGAUACUCAUAUCCUAGUUGCUGUUGAUUACGUCACUAAGUGGGUAGAGGCUAUCCCCACUAGUAGUGCUGAUCAAAACACCUCUAUCAGGAUGCUGAAAGAAGUUAUCUUCCCUAGAUUUGGAGUCCCUAGAUAUCUAAUGACCGAUGGUGGUUCACACUUCAUUCAUGGUGCUUUCCGUAAAACGCUUGCUAAGUACGAUGUCAACCAUAGAAUUGCGUCUCCCUAUCACCCUCAGUCCAGUGGUCAAGUAGAGCUAAGUAAUAGAGAGAUUAAACUGAUUCUGCAAAAGACUGUCAACAGGUCUAGAAAGAAUUGGUCUAAGAAGCUCGAUGAUGCACCGUGGGCUUAUAGAACUGCCUAUAAGAAUCCCAUGGGCAUGUCUCCGUACAAAAUGGUGUACGGUAAAGCAUGCCAUUUACCUCUUGAUCUAGAGCAUAAAGCUUACUGGGCAAUCAAAGAGCUCAACUUUGACUUCAAACUUGCCGGCGACAAGAGGUUAUUUGAUAUUAGAUCGCUUCAUGAGUGGAGAACUCAGGCAUAUGAGAAUGCCAAGUUGUUCAAGGAAAAGGUUAAGAGGUGGCAUGAUAAGAGGAUACAAAAGCGUGAGUUAAAUGUAGGUGAUUAUGUCUUGCUAUAUAACUCUCGUAUAAGAUUCUUUGUAGGCAAGCUUCUCUCUAAAUGGGAAGGUCCCUAUGUUAUUGAGGAAGUAUAUCAUCCGAGUGCUAUCAAGAUCAACAACACGGAAGGUAAUUGUCCGAGAGUGGUAAAUGGGUAGAGAAUCUAGCAUUAUAUCUCAGGUACUCCCAUAAAUGUUGAAAGCAAUAUUAUCAAUACCAUAAUUCCAUGAAGCUCUUCAUCGUACGUGAGUAAUCUAUUCGUAGGCUCGCUGGGCGGUGAUGAGUAGGAUGAGAUCUAUCAUGUAAUCGAGUUAGUUUUGAUGGGGAUUGAUCCCUAGUAUCCACUAUGUUCUGAGAUUGAUGUUGCUACUACUUUGCCAUGCUUAAUGCUUGUCACUAGGGCCCGAGUGCCAUGAUUUCAGAUCUGAAAUUAUUAUGUUGUCACCAAUAUAUGUGUGUUUUAGAUCCGAUCUUGCAAGUUGUAGUUACCUACUAUGUGUUAUGAUCCGGCAACCCCGUAGUGACAAUAACCGGAACCACUCCCGGUGAUGACCAUAGUUUGAGGAGUUCAUGUGUUCACCAAGUGCUAAUGCGUGGUCCGGUUCUUUAUUAAAAGGAGAACCUUAAUAUCCCAUAGUUUCCUUUUGGACCCCGCUGCCACGGGAGGGAUGGACAAUAGAUGUCAUGCAAGUUCUUUUCCCUAAGCACGUAUGAAGACACACGGAAUGCAUGCCUACAUCACAUUGAUGAACGGGAGCUAGCCACAUAUCUCUCCGUGUUAUAACUGUUGCAUGAUGAAUAUCAUCCAAACAAAUCACCGACCCAUUGCCUACGAGUCUGUCCUACUGUUGCUGCUGCUGUUACUUGUCUUGCUGUGGUGUUACUAUUGUUGUUGCUGCUGUUACUUGUCUUGCUCUGUUGUUACUACUUUUGUUGUUGCUGUUACUUGUCUUGCUCUGCUACUACUGUUGCUACUACCGUCGCUUGCUACUGUUGCUACUUGCUACUGCUGUCACUACUGUUGUUCCUUGCCACUACCGUUACUCGCUACUUUCCUGUUACUACUUUGCUUGCAGAUACUAAUCUUUCAGGUGUGGUUGAAUCUGACACAUUCAGCUCCUAAUACUCGAGAGUAUUCUCUCACCACCUGUUUGGCGAUCAACAAAUUUGGGUCGAAAACUCUACCCUCGAAAACAGCUGCGAACCCACGCGCUGGUGGGCCGUCAACAACAUUCUUCUAGGUUCAUUACUGGGGAGUGCUAGUAGCAUUCUUCUGGUGCCGUUGCAAGGGAAGGUUUGUUGUCACGAAAUCAACAUUUGUCUAGCUAUUGCCAGAGAGUGCGAGUCAACAUUUUUCUGGCGCCGUUGCCGGGGAGGUAUUGCUAUAUUCUCUGAGUCACUUGGGAUUUAUAUCUGCUGAUCACUAUGAAGAAUCUGAAGGAUCCGAAAACCAAAGUCUAGCCCUCAACUACGAGGGGAGGUAAGGAAUUGCCAUCUAGCUCUGCACUUGAUUCACCUUCAGUUAUGAGUAAGUUUGCGACAUCACCUGCUGCUAGAAAUCUUGAUAUGUCGCAUGUGCUUGAUGAUGCUUAUGAUGAUACUGCUAGAGAUGCUAUGCCUGAUGAUACUAUGCUUGAUACUGCUAGAGAUGCUAUGCCUGAUACUGCUUUGCGUGAUGAUGCUAGAGAUGCUAUUUUGCCUAAUGAUACUAUGCUUGAUACUGCUAGAGAUGCUAUGCAUGAUGAUGCUAUGCUUGAUAUUGCUAGAGAGGCUACUUUGCCUGAUGUUCCACUAGGUGUAUUCCUUGAUGCUCAUAAUGCUAGAGUUACUGCCAAUGCUCGUGAUGCUUCUGAACCUGCCGAUACUAUUGAGAUAGAACCUGCUUUUGCUCCUGUUAGAUCUAGCUCUCCUAGAUAUGAAUUGCCUGAUAUACCUGAGGGUUACGUUAUGGAGGGAGAGAUAGCUGAGGAUUUUCUUGCGUGUAAGGAUGCAUAUGACGCUGAGAAAUUACUUCUCAAGUGGAAGGAAAAAUCUCUGAAAGCUAGGAUGAAAUACGACCCGGAGUUUGCCACUUAACCUAUCUUUAUCACCGAUAAGGAUUAUGAAUUCUUUGUCGAUCCUGAGAUAAUCUCUCUAGUCGAAUCUGAUCCUUUUCACGGUUAUGAGUCUGAGACGGUCGUAGCCCAUCUUGCCAAAUUUCACGAUAUAGCCACCCUUUUCACUAAUGAGGAGAAGAUCUGCCACUACUAUAUCCUUAAGCUGUUUCCUUUCUCUCUAAAGGAUGACGCUAAAGCCUGGUUCACCUCUCUUGCUCCUGGAUGUGUGAGUAGUCCCCAGGAUAUGGUCUAUUACUUCUGUGAGAAAUAUUUCCCUGCCCAUAAGAAGCAAGCUGCCUUGCAGGAAAUAUACAACUUUGCUCAACUCCAAGAAGAGAGUCUCCCACAAGCUUGGGGAGGCUCGUCCAGCUGCAUAAUGCUUUGCCUGAUCACCCUCUUAAGAAGAACGAGAUACUUGAUAUCCUCUAUAACGGACUUACCGAUGCCUCUAGAGACCACCUAGAUAGUUGUGCCGGUUAUGUUUUUAGGGAACGAACUGUAGAACAAGCUGAGACCCUACUGAAUAACAUCUUGAUCAACGAUAAUGCUUGGACUAUUCCCGAACCACCUCCUAAGCCAACUCCGAAGAAAAGAGGUAUUCUAUUCCUCAGUCCCGAAGAUAUGCAAGAAGCCAUGAAAUCUAUGCAAGAGAAAGGCAUUAGAUCUGAAGAUGUCAAAAAUCUACCACCUAUCAAAGAGAUCCAUGGUCUCGAUAACCCGAUACAGGUAGUAGAAAUAAAUUCUCUGCGUAGGUUUGAUGAGAGUGAUAUUCCUUUUGACAAACCUGCUAGCCUAUGCUUUGAUGAAUUUGACAACUUUGUUGCCAAACAACAGAGUUUCAAUGAUUAUGUUAGUAGACAUUUGGAACAAAGUACUCGUAUGCUUAGCCAUUUAAGUGCUUGUGUAGACAGAAAUGUCAAUGAUCUGAAGCUACUGAGUAAACAUGCCUCUAUGAUUACUACCCAGGUAGAACAAGUACUUAAAGCUCAGAAUGACAUGCUCAAUGAAUUAAAUGACAACUCUGUCAGAGUCAUUACUAGAGGAGGCAAAAUGACUCAGGAACCUUUGUAUCCUGAAGGUCAUCCUAAGAGAAUUGAUCAAGAUUCUCCAGGAAUCAAUGCUGAUACACCCAGUCAUCAUAAGGAGAAGAAGAAGGAUGAUAGAAACCUACACGCCAGUUCACCAAAUACUGUCACACUUGAAGAACCUAAUGAUAUUUCUGCGUCUGAGGCGGAAACACAAUCUGGUGAUGAACAUGAACCUGGUGAUAAUGUGGACAGUGAUGUUCAUAAUAAUGCUCGACCUAGCAAUGAUGAGGAUGUGGAGAUUGAACCUACGGUUAAUCCUGAUAAUCCACAACCUAAGAGAUACAAUAAGAAUAACUUCACUGCUAGGAAGCAUGGUAAAGAAAGGGAGACAUGGGUUCAGAGAUCUAUGCCCUUUCCUCCUAAGCCAUCCAAGAAAAAGGAUGAUGAGGAUUUUGAGCGCUUCGUUGAGAUGAUAAGACCCAUCUAUCUACAGAUGUGGUUAACUGAUAUCCUGCUCAAGAUGUCUCCGUAUGCCAAGUACAUGAAAGAUAUCGUGACUAAUAAACGGAAGAUACCAGAUCUUGAGAUCUCCACCAUGCUUGCCAAUUACACUUUCAAAGGUCGAACUCCUAAGAAACUUGGUGAUCCCGGAGUGCCCACUAUACCUUGCUCCAUUAAAGGAAACUACGUAAGAACUGCCUUAUGUGACCUUGGAGCCGGUGUUAGUGUUAUGCCGCUCCCUCUUUAUCAUAGACUUGAGUUGGAUAAGUUGACACCCACUGGAAUUUCUCUGCAAAUGGCCGACAAAUCAACUGCUUUCCCUAUCGGCAUUUGCGAGGAUGUGCCUGUUGUGGUUGCUAACACCACUAUCAUAAUAGACUUUGUUAUCUUGGAUAUUCCUGAGGACGAUGCCAUGGUUGCCAUCCUCGGAAGACCCUUUUUAAACACUGCAGGGGCUGUUAUAGAUUGCAAAAAAGGCAAUAUCACUUUCCAUGUCAACGGUAAUGAGCACACAGUGCACUUUCCGAAGAAACGAUAUCAAGUACAUUGCAUCAAUGCUAUCGAAAAGACUUCAUCGAUUCUUAUUGGGAGAUUUGAAUGCCCUAUUCCUCGUGUUAAGAUAAAGUAUGAUUUGCUUGUUGGGGAGAUACAUAUCCCCAUUGAGGUGACUUAGUGGCUAUUUGAAAAUUCUCCGUUCUCUCUUGCGAUUCGAGAAGGUUUUGUCAUGAGGACUUGAUCAACCCCAUUGACGGAUUUCUUUCGAUGACCAUGAAAUGGAUUAAUCAAAGAGUCACAUACCUCUCUUUUGAGCUUUCAUUUUCUGUUGCUUAGAAGAAAAAUGAUGGAAUUAGUUUAGUUUUUCCUGUUUUUUGUUUUAGCGUCCCGGAGAAAAUACCUCGAAAAUAAAAGUUCUCCGAUGGUCCUGAAAAUUUAGUAUGUUUUUUUCUGGAAUUUUUGAAAAUUACUAUGCCUGAGAGCUGGCCUGGGGGCCAGACUAGUGGGCCACAAGCCCUGCCACCGCCACCCCCCUGGUGGCGGAGGGCAAGCUUGUGGGGCCCACAGGGACCCCCUCCACUCAUUCCAGCUCCCAGCCUCUUCUUCCACCUCGAGAAAAAAAAAUUCGCAACUCAAACCCUUGUUCUUGCUCAUUUGGCUAUGAUUUCCGAUCUCCUUGCUCAAAGCACCAUUCUCCGAACCAUUUUGGGGAAAUUACUCCUUGGUAAGUGACUCCUCCAUUGGUCCAAUUAGUUUUUGCUCUAGUGCUUUAUCUUUCGCGUAUUCUUGCUACCUUGGUGACCCUGUUCUUGAGCUAGAAAUGUUGAUUUUAGCUGGUCCCAAGUAGUUUUAGCGCGUGAUACGGUCUCUAGGCACUAGUAGGAGUAGUUGCUACAAGGUGUGGUGGGUCUUCAUUCACUUUUCUCUUGAACUUCAAAAAUUUCAGCAAAAGGAAAUUAUGUUCAGGACGAAGUUUCAUGGUGGUUCCUCAAGUAAGAAGGGUCCCCGUCUUUCUUUUCGGGAGCCCGAACCUUUUCAACUAAGGGACGCACGAGUGCAACCAUGUGAAUGGCCUUCCGAUGAGUUUAUGAUCGAAGCAGGUUUCAAGGAUGAGUUUGAUACACUUGUCCGCAAUGCUGGGUUAGAAGAAUUCCUCUCAGAUAAAUGUGAAAAGUAUGCUAUGCUCACUACCUCUUUCGUGCGUAGAUUUAAAUUUUCAGUUGGCCGUGACUCAUCCAUACUGUUUGAUUUGUACGAUAAAUCCUAUACCAUGGAUUUGGAGGAUUUCAAUAGGAUUUGCAAGAUACCCGAUGGGGGUAGUAUUAAUGAUCCUUCUAAAUUUUCGGUCAGAGACUUUGUCUCGAGUAUAACUGUUGGAGAAACCAGAGAUAUCACACAAGCCACCAUAGGAAGCAUCCACUUCCCUGCCUUGCACUACUUUGCCCUCUUCAUAGGUAGGUGCAUUAACGGCAAGGGUGCACAUUGUCACCUAUGCGCUUCUGACCUUAGUAUCCUUAAGAGCGCAGUAACAGGUGACAUGAGCUUCAAUAUGGGAGCUAUAAUAGCAAGGAGGCUGAAUAAAAAUGUCAGUGAGGGGGAUUUCUUCGGUGGAGUUCAUACUACACGCUUAGCAAACUUUUUUUUGGAAUAUCCAUCCGUUCAGAAGACCCUCCUCUCCGUACAGCCUACCUUGAUCAUGUCGCUCUAACACGCUACCAGUUCCUUGAGAGAGAUCAUGGAUCCCUCCUUUACCGCUGGAUAUUUAACCGGUAGCGUGUUUUCCAUAUUACCCUUCCUGCUCCUGCUUUCUUUGACUUUCAGGUAAAACAAAGAUACUACAUAACCAUAGGAGAGGCAGAGGAGUAUGAGAGGGAGGCGACGCCUGCUCGACUUCGCGAGACAACUAUUCAGGCAGUGGCUGCAUCACUUCUGUAUAACACCCAUUAAGAUUUUGGGUUUCGCCAGGACCAUCCAUGGGAGUAGACCAAGCUGGGCCAAAAGCCUAAGCUUGGGUGAGUACGUGUUCUCACCGACUUUACAUUCAUGCUUAUGCUUUCACUUUGUUAGUCUGUAACAUCCCAAUUUUCUUAAAUUCGGAUGUUAAUAGAUCAUUCAUUUGCAUCUCAUAUUUUAUGCAUCAUUUCGUUCUUCUGAAAAUUCUAAUCGUUAUGUGACUGCGGGCAUUUUAUUGGAGUGGAGAUAAUAUGACAUCUCCCCCCCGUCGAAUUAAAGUGCAUAACGUUUCGAAUUUUAUUUUUGGAGUCACCAAUUUGGUUUUUUGCAAACUUUCUAAAUUCCGAAUUAUUUUUGUUGAGUUUUUCAAUCGCGUUGUGUGACCUAUUGCACAAAACUAUUUUUAAAAGUUGCAUUAGGUGGNNNNNNNNNNNNNNNNNNNNNNNNNNNNNNNNNNNNNNNNNNNNNNNNNNNNNNNNNNNNNNNNNNNNNNNNNNNNNNNNNNNNNNNNNNNNNNNNNNNNCUAUUUUCUAUUUUCAUCAUUAAUAAUUUUGACUAUCCAAACUAUUAUCUAUUUUGUUAUUUUCAAUUAAAAACUAUGUUUAUUAGAAAUUCUUUUUGCAUAUUUGAGAAUUUGACACAAAUAUGAUAAUGAAAAGUGUUUCAAAUUGAACAAAUAAUGCAAAAGUAUUUUCUAUUUUCAUANNNNNNNNNNNNNNNNNNNNNNNNNNNNNNNNNNNNNNNNNNNNNNNNNNNNNNNNNNNNNNNNNNNNNNNNNNNNNNNNNNNNNNNNNNNNNNNNNNNNNNNNNNNNNNNNNNNNNNNNNNNNNNNNNNNNNNNNNNNNNNNNNNNNNNNNNNNNNNNNNNNNNNNNNNNNNNNNNNNNNNNNNNNNNNNNNNNNNNNNNNNNNNNNNNNNNNNNNNNNNNNNNNNNNNNNNNNNNNNNNNNNNNNNNNNNNNNNNNNNNNNNNNNNNNNNNNNNNNNNNNNNNNNNNNNNNNNNNNNNNNNNNNNNNNNNNNNNNNNNNNNNNNNNNNNNNNNNNNNNNNNNNNNNNNNNNNNNNNNNNNNNNNNNNNNNNNNNNNNNNNNNNNNNNNNNNNNNNNNNNNNNNNNNNNNNNNNNNNNNNNNNNNNNNNNNNNNNNNNNNNNNNNNNNNNNNNNNNNNNUAAUGCAAAACUAUUUUUUAUUUUCAUAAUAAAUAAUUUUGAAUAAAUAAUACAAAACUAUUUUUGAACUUAUUUGAACUCCAUACUUUUUGUGUGUUCAAAAUGCACCAUUCAAAGGCACAUCACAAAAUUUCAACAAUUUCUGACUUCAUUUGGUAUUAUUCGUGCAUUUACUUAUUUUUUUUGAGCUAGUUGACUCUGAAAUUGAAAAGCACUACAAAUGAACUCUGAAAAUGUUGAAAGUUGGCAUGCUAUCAUCAUUUCACCCACAUAGCAUGUGUUAAAAAGUUGAGAGGGCUACGACAAAAACUGGAUGCAGUUCGUGUACAAAACUGACAAUCUCUCUCGAAGUAGUAGGGUUUCGAACGAGAACUCAUCUCUUACAAAGGGGUUUCAUUUUUUUGAACUUAUUUGAACUCCAUACUUUUUGUGUGUUCAAAAUGCACCAUUCAAAGGCACAUCACAAAAUGGACAAUCUUUCUCGAAGUAGAAGCGACCCCCACAAUAAGAGACGACAAUCUUCUUCUCUCAUAUAUGGUGGACACUAGCUCACCUGAUUUUUCAACCGUCGAUGAUGGUCGCUACUCCUACUUCCCCUAGUGCAUAACCAAUAUCUAGCACAAGGAGAAGAAGGAGAAGCCACCCCCACAACAAAAGUGGUUCCGCGGCACGCCACGUGGUUCCGCUGCACGCCACGUGGUUCCGCUGCACGCCACGUGGGACUAAUGGUCUUUCAUUUUUAAAUGAUUGUUUUAAUCAAAAACAGAUCUGUUACAAAAGGGAUUUCAUUUUUUGAACUUAUUUGAACUGAAGACUUUUUGUAUAUAUAUGUGGUAGAAAUGCAUGAUACCAUGAAGUUAGAAAGGGCUAAACCAUUCAAAAGUAGCAAAUGAAGUUAUAAAGGGCUAAACCAUUCAAAUUUGGAAACUAUAAUGGCACAAACAGAAACUAGACAUAUAUAAAUUGGUCCAAGAAGUACAUGAUACUAGUCCAAACAGUACAUAAUAAUAGCUACCAUAGAUAUAUAUACAAGUGUUCGACGUUAAGAACACUACUCGUCUGAAUCAUCUAAAUCAGAAUGUCCACGUUCCUCGAGGUGACGCUAGCCAUAGUUGACGACUCGAAUCUUGUGGUACAACUCGUAUGAAACGUAUGCAUCUUUUGCUGCAUACUCAAUGUUGAUAUCAUCAAGUGGGCCCUUCUCCCAAAGUCUGUGCUGAGACUUUGGGAAACUGGUCUUCAUAUCACCAUAUGACUCGUCGAUCAAGGCAACUGCCAUAUGAGCCAUCGAAGUCCUGUCAUGUCGAAGCCUGAAUAUCGUUUGGAGAUCAACGAGGCAACCAGCUGGUAUCUCAAUACCGAAGCUGUGCCUCAUCUUCAGCUUGUCGUUCCUUAUGUCAACGGAAGCAAAAGUGAUGCCGCUGCGAAGGAACUCCAUGAGUUCUGGACAAUGCUUGUCACUCCUGCAACAGAAAAAAAUUAAAAUGGAACAAAUGUUACAUACUGCUGCAAUAAGGAAACAUGUUUCACUACAACUAAAGAGAAACUUAUCUUUAGGAUUCAAAUAGAACAUAUGCAAUGGAACCUAGAGAGAUCACUAUAGCUAUCCAAUGGAACCUAGAGAGAUCACUAGCUAUAUGCAAUUUUCAUGACUAUGACAUAUCAUAUUGCUAUCCAAUGGAACCUAGAGAGAUCACUAGCUAUAUUCAAUUUUCAUAACCUUGGAUCAAAGAACACCGCAUAAAAUUGUAUCACUACAACUAUGAUUUCAAUGGAACAUAUUGAACCAAUCAGAUUUUUCAGAUUAUGGAACACUAUUCCAAUCAGAUUGUGUUUCCUUCAACUAAUCAAAAUUGUUUCACUACAACUAUUUGAAGCGAACCAACUAUGAUUCCAAUGGAACAUAUUAAACACUAGUUGAUUCUAAUACGAUUUUUCAGAUUAUCGAACACUAUUCCAAUGAGGUUGUGGUCCCCUUCAACUAAUCAAAAUUGUUUCACUACAACUAUUUGAAGGGAACCAACUAUGAUUCCAAUGGAACAUAUUAAACACUAGUUGAUUCUAAUACGAUUUUUCAGAUUAUGGAACACUAUUCCAAUUAGAUUGUGCUCCCCUUCAACUAAUCAAAAUUGUUUCACUACAACUAUUUGAAGGGAACCAACUAUGAUUGAAACAAAUAAACUUACAAUGUCAUUAUCUUGGAUCAAAGAAAGCCUCAAAACUUACCUCGCCCAUUGGAAGAUCAAGACAUGGCGUGCGAAGCAUAGUUGGAUGACGGCAACACCGCGUUGAUCGGCCGUGUACUCCAGAUCAAGCCCCAAGAACUUCUCAUGAUCUGCUGCGUGGUCAAACCAUUUUUCCUUCAACUGUUGAAGAAAAAACGGCACCUCGUUGCUCAGGUUCGUGUACACGACAUCGAGCAUCGUCGUGCCAUGUGCGAGCACCUUACGAAAGCUAGUUGGCAUGGUGGAAGAAGAGAAGGGAAGAAGAGAGGAGAAGAACAGAGGAGAAGAACAGAGAGGGCGACGCGAGAGAGAAGAAGAACGGAGAAAUGGCGACUGUACGCUUCGGUUCGUGCUUUUCAUCGCCCGAAACGACGCGGGAUGCAAACCGUUUGGGCCUUUAGUCCCGGGUUGAGCCACCAACCGGGACUAAAGAGGUAUACCAAACGGUUGCCACCACUACGGCAGGCCACCUGUUAGGCCUUUAGUCCCGGUUUGAGCCACCAACCGGGACUAAAGAGGUAUACCAACGGUCGCCACCACUACGGCAGGCCACGUGUUAGUCCUUUAGUCCCGGGUUGAGCCACAAACCGGGACUAAAGGGGGAUACGAACGGUUGCCACCACCACUGCCCGCCGCGUAGCCCUUUAGUCCCGGUUUGGGACAUGAACCGGGACUAAAGGCUCCUUACGGGCCGGGACUAAAGCCUCGAGGGAGGCAUUGAGAAUUGGGGCGACGUGGCCGGGCCUUUAGUCCCGGCCCAGAGGCAGGCCGGGACUAAAGGGUCCAGGCCAAAGGCCCGUUUUCCACUAGUGAUUCCGAGAUAUAUCGCCUUGCAACUCCCACCGUUCCGUCUCAUGACUUGUGCCGUCACUCUCAUAUUGCCAUUGCAUGAUCGUAAGAUAGCUAGCGUGAUGUUUCAACGUUAUACGCCAAGCUAGAUCGUUGGACAUCCCGGUACACUGCCGGAGGCAUUUCCUAUAGUCAUUUCAAAGCUUUGAGCUGUGAGUAAAUAAAAGUGUGAUGAUCAUCAUUAUUAGAGCAUUGUCCAUGUGAGGAAAUUAAAAAAAGAGGCCAAAGAGCCCAAAAAAAGAGAGAGAUAUGGAAAGAGGCCAAAGAUCCCAAACAAAAAAAAAAAAAAAAUAAAAAAUAGAGAAAAAGAGAGAAGGGACAAUGCUAUUAUCUUUUUCCACACUUGUACUUCAUAAUAGCACCAUGUUCUUCAAGAUUGAGAGCCUCUUGUUUCGUCACCACCAUAUACUAGUGGGAAUCUUUAUUAUAUAACUUGGCUUGUAUAUUCCAAUGAUGGGCUUCCUCAAACUUGCCCUAGGUCUUCGUGAGCAAGCAAGUUGGAUGCACACCCACUAGUUAUCCUUUUGAGCUUUCACAUACUUAUAGCUCUAGUGCAUCCUUUGUAUGGCAAUCCCUACUCAUUCACAUUGAUAUCUAUUAAUGGGCAUCUCCAUAGCCCUUUGAUACGUCGAGUCAAUGUGACCAUCUCCUCCUUUUUGUCUCACAACCACCACCACACUCUAUAUAUUCCACCUAUAGUGCUAUAUCCAUGGCUCACGCUCAUGUAUUGCGUGAUAGUUAUAAAAAGUUUGAGAAAGUAAGAGUGCGAAAACAAUUACUUGGCCAAUACCGGGGUUGUGCAUGAUUUUCAUUAGUUGUGUGAGGAUGAUGGACGAUGACACACAAGUAUAGGGGAUCAAUCGUAGUCCUUUCGAUAAGUAAGAGUGUCGAACCCAACGAGGAGUAGAAGGAUCUGACAAGUGGUUUUCAGCAAGGAAAAAUCUGCAAUCACUGAAAUUGUCGGUAACAAGUGAUUGUGUAGGGAGAUGAUUCGUAGAAAGCAACAAGUAACAAAAGUAGCAACGGUGCAGCAAAGUGGCCCAAUCCCUUUUGUAGCAAGGGACAAGCCUGGACAAAGCCUUAUAGGAGGAAAAACGCUCCCGAGGACACACGGGAAUUUCUGUCAUGCUAGUUUUCAUCAUGUUCAUAUGAUUCGCGUUCGUUACUUUGAUAGUUUGAUAUGUGGGUGGACCGGCGCUUGGGUAAUGACCUUACUUGGACAAGCAUCCCACUUAUGAUUAACCCCUCUCGCAAGCAUCCGCAACUAUGAAAGAAGAAUUAAGACAAAGUCUAACCAUAGCAUUAAACUAGUGGAUCCAAAUCACCCCUUCCGAAGCAACGCAUAAACUAGGGUUUAAGCUUUUGUCACUCUAGCAACCCAUCAUCUACUUACUACUUCCCAAUGCCUUCCUCUAGGCCCAAAUAAUGGUGAAGUGUUAUGUAGUCGACGUUCACAUAACACCACUAGAGGAAAAAACAUACAACAUAUCAAAUUGCCGAACGAAUACCAAAUUCACAUGACUAUUAUUAGCAUGACUUAUCCCAUGUCCUCAGGAACAAAAGUAACUACUCAGAAAGCAUAAUCAUAUCCAUGACCAGAGAAGUAAUGAGUAGCAUCAAGGAUCUGAACAUAAACUCUUCCACCAAGUAAUCCAACUAGCAUCAACUACAAAGAGUAAUCAACACUACUAGCAACCUUACAAGUACCAAUCGGAGUCGCGAGAUGGAGAUUGGUUACAAGUGAUGAACUAGGGUUUGGAGAUGAGAUGGUGCUGAUGAAGAUGUUGAUGGUGAUGAGUCCCCUCCGAUGAGAGGAGUGUUGGUGAUGACGAUGGCGACGAUUUCCCCCUCCGAGAGGGAAGUUUCCCCAACAGGAUCGUCCUGCCGGAGCUCUAGAUUGGUUCUGCUCAAGUUCCGCCUCGUGGCGGCGGUGAAUCCACGAAAAAGCUCCUCCUUAAUUUUUUCCUGGAUGAAACCCUUCAUAUAGCAAAAGAGGGGGGCAAGUGGGCCUGCAGGGUGCCCACAAGCCCUCAUGGCACAGCCUGGGGGGGUGGUCGCGCCGUGCAGGCUUGUUGCCACCUGCACGCCCCCCUCUGGCACUUCUUCGGCCCAGUAUUUUAGAUAAAUCGGGAAAAAAAUCCUCGUUGAUUUUUACGGCAUUUGGAGUUGCGCAGAACAGGUAUCUCAACUUUGCUCCACUUUCAGGCCAGAAUUCCAGUUGCCGCCAUUCUCCCUCUUCAUGUAAACCUUGCAAAAUAAGAUAGAAAAGGGAUCAGAAUAGUAUCGUGAAGUGAAAUAACAGCCAAAGAAGCUAUAAAUAUCAACUUGAAAACAUGAUGCAAAAUGGACGUAUCAACUCCCGCAAGCUUAGAACUCGCUUGUGCUCAAGCGAAAGCCGAGCUCAAUAAAUAUGUCCACAUGUUUAGGGAGAGAGGUGUCAACAAAACAAGAUACGAACAUGCAUGCAUCAUGAUCAAGAUCAGAACAGCAACACCAACAUAUAAUCUCUCAUGCUAAAGUGAUAAUUCCUUCACAAAGUAAAGCAUGGAUCAAGAACCUUACCGAGAAGUAACAACCGAUAGCCUUUAGUCAUUGAAACAAUUGCAAUUUAUCACAACAUCAGAAAGAGUCAAAUAAGAGCUUGUAAAGCAAAUCCACAUACUCAAUCAUUCUUUCAUUCUCUACAAUUGCUACAAAUCACGUGGUACUCAUGAGAUCAAAGUUUCAGCUGGACACAGAGAAAAAUAGGGGCUUACAGUUUUGCCUCCCAACUGCUUACCUCAAGGGUAAUGUCAACAAUAAUAAUUCAUGAAUACUUGCCUCCAAGUUGACAUAUGAAUAUAGAUCUUUCCCAAGCAUGUGACGGUAGCCAAGAUAAAGGCGAAGCAAGGAAUUGGUGAAGAUCACCAUGACUCUUUCAAGGGAAAAAAGUAAAGGUACAAGAUAGGCCCUUCGCAGAGGGAAGCAGAGGUUGUCAUGCGCUUUUUAGAUUUGGAUGCGUGUCCUCUUAGUGUAGAGGAACGUCACUUUAUAUUGCCUCCUGUGAUAAAGAACUUUAUUAUGCAGUCUGUCGCUUUUAUGUCUUCCUCAUCACAGGUUCAUAUAAAGCUUAUUUUCCACACACUAAUAGAUCAUACAUAUUAGAGAGCAAUUUUUGUUGCUUGCACCGAUGACAACUUACUUGAGGGAUCUUAUUCAACCCAUAGGUAGGUAUGGUGGACACUCAUGGCAAAACUGGGUUGAUGGUUUAUGGAUGCACAAGUAGUAUCUCUACUUAGGGCCGGAGGUUUGGCUAGUGUGAGUUGGAAGCAAACAUCACAUGCUAAGGGAUCUCUAAUCAUAUAACAUUGUUCGGAACCAAGCAAACACAAUUCAUUAUGUUGUCUUCCUUGUCCAACAUCUACUUCUAGGCAUGCAAUAGUUUAGUGAGUGUUCACAAUCAUAGAUGGUGUCAGAGAUGAUAUAUUUAUAUGUGAACCUCUCCUUCUUUAUUACUUCCUAUUAAUUGCAACAAUGACCAAGGUCUACGUUUGCCUACCCUCAACAAGUUUCAAUCCUCAUUCUUUUUAUAUGUGAAGCCAUUGAUACGUCUCCAAUGUAUCUAUGAUUUUUGAUGGUUUCAUGCUAUUAUCUUGUCAAACUUUAGAUGUUUUGCAUGCCUUUUAUUUAUUUUCUGGGACUAACUUAUUAACUUAGUGCCAAGUGCCAGUUCCUGUUUUUUCCAUGUUUUUGACCCCUUUCAUAGGAGAUUUUGAAAGGGAGUCCAAACGGAAGAAAAUCCCCGAAAAGAUUUUUUCUGGAACGGAAGACGAUCGGAGGACUUGGGAGCCAGGCCAGAAGAGCCCUAGGGGCCCCACAAGCCCCCACCCCGCGGCCAGGGGGCCGCGCCAUCCAGGCUUGUGGGCCCCCUGGAGGUCCCCUAACCUAGAUCUUGCGCCUAGAAAUUCCCAAAUAUUUCCAAAAAAAUCAAGAGACGAUCGUAAUUACUCUUCCGCCACCACAAGCUUCUGUCUCUACAAGAUCCCAUCUGAGGCAUGUCCUCGUGCCCUGUCGGAGGGGAGAUUCGGACACGGAGGGCUUCUUCAUCAACACCAUGACCUCUCCGAUGAUGCGUGAGUAGUUCACCAUAGACCUACGGGUCCAUAGCUAGUAACUAGAUGGCUUCUUCUCUCUCUUGGAUCUUCAAUACAAAGUUCUCCAUGAUCUUCAUGGAGAUCUAUCCGAUGUAAUCUUCUUUUGCGGUGUGUUUGUCGAGAUCCGAUGAAUUGUGGAUUUAUGAUCAGAUUAUCUAUGAAUCUUAUUUGAGUUUCUUUUGUUCUCUCUUAUGCAUGAUUUCAUAUCCUUGUAAUUCUCUUCGAGUUGUGGGUUUUGUUUGGCCAACUAGAUCUAUGAUUCUUGCAAUGGGAGAAGUGCUUGGUUCUGGGUUCAUACCGUGCGGUGACCUCACCCAGUGACAAAAGGGGUAGAGAGGCACGUAUCGUGUUGUUGCCAUCAAGGGUAAAAAGAUGGGGUUUUCAUCAUUGGUUUGAGAUUAUCCCUCUACAUCAUGUCAUCUUGCUUAAAGCGUUACUCUGUUCUUCAUGAACUCAAUACACUAGUUGCAUGCUGGAUAGCGGUCGAUGUGUGGAGUAAUAGUUGUAGAUGCAGAAAGUAUCGGUCUACUUGUCUCGGACGUGAUGCCUAUAUGCUAGAUCAUUGCCUUAGAUAUCGUCAUGACUUUGCGCGGUUCUAUCAAUUGCUUGACAGUAAUUUGUUCACCCACCGUGAUAUGUGUUAUUAUGAGAGAAUCCUCUAGUAAACACUAUGGCCCCGAGGGUCUACUCCACACUAUAUUUUCAGCCUUACACAUUUUACUUCGUUGCACUUUCCGCCUUCAAAUCUCACUUUGCAAACAAUCUUGAAGGGAUUGACAACCCCUUUGAAGCGUUGGGUGCAAGCUUGUUUGUGUUUGCACAGGUACUUUGGACUUUACGAGGCCCUCCUUCCGGAUCGAUACCUUGGUUCUCAAACUGAGGAAAAUACUUACUGCUCCUAUGCUGCAUCACCCUUUCCUCUUCAAGGGAAAAACCGACGCAAACCAGAGAAGUAACAAGAAGAAUUCCUACGCGCCAGGGAAGGACUAUUGUUGCUGCAGAAGAAGAAUUUCUAGCGCCGUUGCCGGGGAGGAAGAUCAAGUCAAGAACUCAUCCAAGUAGGUGUCGCAAACUCAUCUCUUGCAUUUACUUUGUUUGCCAGUUGCCUCUUGUUUUCCUCUCCCCCACUUCACCAAUUUGCCUUUUUCGUUCGCCCUUUUUCUCGCCCGCUUUUUGUUUGCUCGUGUGCCUGCUUGCUUGCUGAAGUCACCAUGAACGAAAACACCAAGCUUUGUGACUUCUCGAAUACUAAUAAUAAUGAUUUUAUUAGUACUCCGAUUGCUCCUGCCACUAGUACGGAGUCAUACGAAAUCAAUGCCGCUUUGCUGAAUCUUGUUAUGAAAGAGCAAUUCUCUAGCCUUCCUAGUGAAGAUGUCGCAUCCCAUCUCAAUACCUUCAUUGAGCUUUGCGAUAUGCAAAAUAAAAAAGAUGUGGAUAAUGACGUGAUUAAAUUGAAGCUUUUUCCAUUCUCGUUGCGAGGUCGCGCAAAAACUUGGUUUUCUUCUUUGGCCAAAAAUAGUAUCGAUUCUUGGGAUAAGUGCAAAGAUGCUUAUAUAUCCAAGUAUUUUCCGCCGGCUAAGAUCAUCUCUCUCCGUAAUGAUAUCAUGAAUUUCAAGCAACUUGAUCAUGAACAUGUUGCACAAGCUUGGGAGAGAAUGAAAUUAAUGAUUAGAAAUUGUCCCGCUCAUGCCUUGAGUCUUUGGAUGAUUAUUCAAAUCUUUUACGCUGGCUUGAAUUUCGCUUCUAGAAAUAUCUUGGACUCCGCGUCAGGUGGAACGUUCAUGGAAAUCACGUUAGGAGAAGCCACAAAGCUCUUAGACAACAUCAUGACGAACUACUCUCAGUGGCACACUGAAAGGUCACCUACUAGUAAGAAGGUACACGCUAUAGAAGAAAUUAACUCGUUGAGUGUUGCUACUGCAACAAAAGACCUUCCAACGGCGCGAGAAACAAGCGUGCGGAUGGGAGACUAUUCUUGUCUUGAUACUCCUCAGCAACGGCACCAGGAAUCUUUCUGCUACGGCUACGCCUUUAGGGACUUCCUUGGCAAAUAUGCAAAGCAUUCCCCCGUGGCCUUGUAGCCUUGCGUUGGUGUUCCCUCGAAGCGGAAAGGGUGAUGUAGCAUAGCGGCGGUAAGUAUUUCCCUAAGUUUUGAGAACCAAGGUAUCGAUCCAGUGAAGGAUUAUCACAAGUACCUGCACAAACACAAAGAGCUUGCACCUAACGCAAUGAAGGGGUUGUCGAUCCCUUAUAGAUUGUUUGCCAAGUGAGAACUGAAAGCAAAAGAAACAAAGCAAAGUAAAAGCGAAAGUGGGAACGAUAGGUGUGAAUAGACCCGGGGGCCGUAGAGUUCACUAGUGGCUUCUCUCAUGAAAGCAAGUAGACGGUGGGUGAACGAAUUACUGUCGAGCAAUUGAUAGAACCACGCAAAGUCGUGACGUUAUCUAAGGCAAUGAUUAUAUCUAUAGGCAUCACGUCCAAAACAAGUAGACCGAUACUUUCUUGAUCUACUACUAUUACUCCACACGUCGACCGCUAUCCAGCAUGCAUCUAGUGUAUUAAGUUCAUGAGAACAGAGUAACACCUUAAGCAAGAUGGCAUGAUGUAGAUGGACAAUCUCAUAUCUGUGAUAAAAGCCCAUCUUGUUACCCUUGAUGGCAACAACACGAUGCGUGCCUUGCUGCCCCUUCUGUCACUGGGAAAGGUCACCACACGGUAUGAACCCAAAACCAAGCACUUCUCCCAUUGCAAGAAUCAUAGAUCUAGUUGGCCAAACAAAACCCAAGACUCGGAGAGACUUACAAGGAUAUCGAAUCAUGCAUAUAAGAAAUCCGCAAAGACUCAAAUAUAUAUCAUAGAUAAUCUUAUCAGAAAUUCACAAUUCAUCGGAUCUCGACAAACACACCGCCAAAGAGGAUUACAUCGGAUAGAUCUCCAUGAAGAUCAUGGAGAACUUUGUAUUGAAGAUCUAAGAGAGAUAAGAAGCCAUCUAGCUACUAACUACGGACCCGUAGGUCUGAAGUGAACUACUCACGAGUCACUGGAGGGGCGAUGAUGUUGAUGUAGAAGCCCUCCAACUCCAAAGUCCCCUCCGGUAGGGCACCGGGAAGGGUCUCCAGAUGAGAUCUUGCGGAAACGGAAGCUUGCGGCGGCGGAAAAGUGUUUUCGUGGAUUCCCCCAUUUUUUCUGUAUUUUAGGGAACAUAUAGGUGAAGGAGCUAGGUCAGGGGGCCGCCAGGGAGGCCACAAGCCUGGUAGCCGCCGCCCCUGGUGGCGGCUACAGGGCUUGUGGGCCCCCUGUGGCUCUCCUGUCUUGGCCCUCAAGUCCCCUGAUCUUCUUUCGUUCUGGAAAAAUUUAUUUCGGGGAUUUUAUUCCGUUUGGACUCCGUUCCAAAAUCAGAUUUGAAAAGAGUCAAAAACACAGAAAAAACAGGAACUAGCACUUGGCACUGAAUUAAUAAGUUAGUCCCAAAAAAGAUAUAAAAGGUACAUAAAACAUCCAAAGUUGAUAAGAUAACAACAUGAAACCAUCAAAUAUUAUAGAUACGUUUGAGCCGUAUCAAAUGCUAAGAUGGAUGAGUUAAUGAAUUUGGUUGCUAGUAGAAGUGCUCCUUUGGAUCCUAAUGAUAUGCCUUUGUCUUCUUUGAUUGAGAGUAGCAACGCUAGCUUGGACGUUAAUUUUGUUGGUAGGAAUAACUUUGGCAACAACAAUGCUUUUAGAGGAAACUGUGUUCCUAGGCCUUUUCCUAGUAACCCCUCUAAUAACUUUGGCAACUCCUACAACAAUACCCAUGGAAAUUACAAUAGAUUACCCUCUCAUCUAGAGAGUAAUACUAAAGAGUUCAUCAACUCCCAAAAUAUUUUCAAUGCGUCCAUAGAGGAAAAACUACUCAAAAUUGACGAUUUGGCUAAGAGCGUUGAUAGGAUUUCUUGUGAUGUUGAUGCUUUGAAAGUUAGAUGUGCUCCUCCCAAAAUCAACAUGGAUGAAACUUUGAAAGCUAUGUGUGUUUCCAUGAUUGAGAGACAAGAAAGAACCGCCCAAAUUCGUGCUAGACAUGACUGGCUUAAAAAGGCGUGUUCUCGUGAUGAGAAUCACGAAGAUCUUAAAAUGCUUGGUGUGACUCCCAUUGAAUCUUUGUUUUCUUGUGUCAAACCUAAUGAUUAUGGGGCUGGAUGUGAACCCACUUUGGUUGAAAAGUGCCCCAAUGAUUCGGAGUCCAUCUAUCUUGAUGCUAAAAGCAUUAAAAGUGGAGUAGAAGACGUUAAAACUUUGAGUAGUAAUGAAAUUACCACCAUGGAUUUCAAGGAAUUCAAUUAUGAUAGUUGCUCCUGGAUUGAAUGCAUUUCUUUGAUGCAAUCCAUGUUGAACUCUCCACACGCUUAUAGCCAAAACAAAGCCUUUACCGAUUAUAUCGUCGAAGCUAUGAUAAAAGCUCUUGAAGAGAAACUUGAAUUGGAAGUCUCUAUCCCUAGAAAGCUUCAUGAUGAGUGGGAACCUACCAUCAAAAUCAAAAUCAAAAACUAUGAGUGAAAUGCUUUGUGUGAUUUGGGUGCUAGUGUUUCUGCGAUUCCAAAGUCUUUAUGUGAUAUUCUGGGUUUUAAUGAGAUUGAAGAGUGUUCUCUUAAUUUGGAUCUUGCUGAUUCUACUAUCAAGAAACCCAUGGGAAGGAUCAAUGAUGUUCUUAUUAUUGCAAAUAGGAACUAUGUACCCGUGGAUUUCAUUGUGCUUGACAUUGAUUGCAAUCCUACAUGCCCUAUUAUUCUUGGUAGACCUUUCCUAGGGACUAUUAGUGCUAUCAUUGAUAUGAAGGAAGGGAACAUUAGAUUUCCUUUAAGGAAGGGCAUGGAACACUUUUCUAGAAAGAAAAUAAGAUUGCCUUAUGAAUCCAUGAUGAUGGCUACUUAUGGUUUGAGCACCAAAGACGACGAUACGUGAUUCUAUCGCUAUUAUGCCUAGCUAAGGGCGUCAAACAAUGGCGCUUGUUGGGAGGCAACCCAAUGAAUUUAUCUUUUUCUUUCUGUUUCCUUGCAUCCAGACCUCCAUAAUUCUGUUGUGAUUGUGUUUUUUGUGUUUAUUUUUGUGUUUGAGCCAAGCAAAACCUUUAUGACUAGUCUUGGUAAUGGUUGUUUGAUCCUGCUGGAAAAAGACAGAAACUUUUCGCUCACGAGAUGAUUUUUAAUUUUUAUUCAGAAACUUCUUUUGAGUUGAUUCUUUUUGCUGCUAAUUUAUAUGCUUUUUCCCCAGACCUUCGUAAUUUUGCAGAUUUUUGGAGGUACCAUAAGUAUACAGAUUUCUACAUACUGUUCUGUUUUUGACAGAUUCUGUUUUUGUUGAGUUGGUUGCUUAUUUUGAUGAAACUAUGGUUAGUAUCGGGGGGUACUAGCCAUGGAAAAGUGAGAAUACAGUAGCCCAUCAUCAAUAUAGAUGGAAUUCAAGUUUUCUACAGUACCAAAAGAAGUGGUAGUUUGUUUUCUUGUACUAAUGUUAUCACAAGUUUCUGUUUAAGUUUUGUGUUGUGAAGUUUUCAAGUUUUGGGUGACGUUCUCAUGGACAAAGAGAUAAGGAGUGGAUAGAGCUCAAGCUUGGGGCUUCCCAAGGCACCCCAAGCCAAAUUCAAGGACACCAAAAAAUCCUAAGCUUGGGGAUGCCCCGGGAAGGCAUCCCCUCUUUCGUCUUCAAUCCAUCGGUAAGAUUACUUGGAGCUAUAUUUUUAUUCACCACAUGAUAUGUGUUUUGCUUGUUGCAUCUUGUAUCUUAGGAGUCUUUUAUUUUUGUUGUGUCACAAUCAUCCUUGCUGCACACCUUUUUGAGAGAGAUAGACAUGCACUCAUCAUGAUUUUGCUAGAAUGCUCAUAGUGCUUCACUUAUAUCUUUUGAGCUAGAUACUUUUGCUCAUAGUGCUUCACUUAUAUCUUUUGAGCUAGAUACUUUUGCUCUAGUGCUUCACUUAUAUCUUUUGAGCUAGAUACUUUUGCUCUUGUGCUUCACUUAUAUCUUUAGAGCAUGGCGGUGCGUGAUUUGGUAGUUGGCUUAUGCUAUGAAAGUAGUCCCAAAUGUGUUAGGUACCCAAAGAGGAUGCAAAAACCUCCAUCUUCAUGUGCAUUGAAUAGAAAGAGAAGUUUUGAUUCCUCUCAACUAGUUUUGAGAUGUGGAUUCAGCAAUAUUGAGAGUUAUGUUAGUAGGGUGUUGUGAAUCUAGAGAUACUUGUGUUGGAGUUAGUGAUUCCCGUAGCAUGCACGUAAGGUGAACCUCUAUGUUAGGAAGUCGGAGCAUAAUUGAUCUAUUGAUUGGUAUCCUUCAUGUUGAGGUCGGGAUCGCGCGAUGGUUAACACCUACCAACCCUUCCCCUUGGAGUAUGCAUUUAGCACUUUGUUUCGAUUACUAAUAAAAACUUUCGCAAUAAGUAUAUGAGUUCGUCAUGACUAAUGUGAGCCCAUGGUAUAGAUGCACUUUCACCUUCCACCAUUGCUAGCCUCUCUAGUACCGCGCAACUCUCGCCGGUGCACAAACCCACCAAAUUCCUUCCUCAAAACAGCCACCAUACCUACCUACUAUGGCAUUUUCAUAGCCAUUCCGAGAUAUAUUGCCAUGCAACUCCCACCGUUCAGUCUCAUGACUUGUGUUGUCACUCUCAUAUUGCCAUUGCAUGAUCAUACUAGAUCGUUGCACAUCCAGGUACACUGCCGGAGGCAUCUCCUAUGGAGUCAUCAUCAUUGUGAUCUUUGAGCUUUGAGUAACUAAAAAGUGUGAUGGUCAUCAUUAUUAGAGCAUUAUCCCAUGUGAGGAAAUAAAAAAUAAAUAAAUAAGAGGCCAAAGAGCCCAAAAAGAAAAAAAAAGAAAAGAUAAAAAGAGGCCUAAGAGCCCAAAUAAAAAAAGGGGGGAAAUGAGAGAAAAGAGAGAAGGGACAAUGCUACUAUCUUUUUCCACACUUGUGCUUCAUGUUAGCACCAUGUUCUUCAUGAUUGAGAGCUUCUUGCUUUGUCACUACCAUAUGCUAGUGGGAUUCUUCGUUUUAUAACUUGGCUUGUAUAUUCCAAUGAUGGGCUUCCUCAAAAGUGCCCUAGGUCUUCGUGAGCAAGUAAGUUGGAUGCACACCCACUAGUUUUCCUCUUGAGCUUUCACAUACUAAUGGCUCUAGUGCAUCUCUUGUAUGGCAAUCCCUACUCAUUCACAUUGAUAUAUAUUAAUGGGCAUCUUCAUAGCCAAUUGAUACGCCAAGUCAGUGUGACCAUCUCCUCCUUUUUGUCUCACAACCACCACCACACUCUAUUCCACCUAUAGUGCUAUAUCCAUGGCUCGCGCUCAUGUAUUGCGUGAUAGUUAUAAAAAGUUUGAGAAAGUAAGAGUGCGAAAACAAUUACUUGGCUAUUUCCGGGGUUGUGCAUGACUUACAUUCCUUGUGUGAGGAUGAUGGAGCAUAGCCAGACUAUAUGAUUUUGUAGGGAUAACUUUCUUUGGCCUUGUUAUUUUGAAAGUUCAUGAUUACUUUGCUAGUUUGCUUGAAGUAUUAUUGUUUUCAUGUCAAUAGCAAACUAUUGUUUUGAAUCUUACGCAUCUGAACGUUCAUGCCACGUGAAAUAAGUUGCAAAGGACAACUAUGCUAGGUAGCAUUCCACAUAAAAAAUUCAUUCUUUAUCACUUCCCUACUCGAGGACGAGCAUGAGUUAAUCUUGGGGAUGCUUGAUACGUCUCCAACGUAUCUAUAAUUUUUGAUGGUUUCAUGCUAUUAUCUUGUCAAACUUUGGAUGUUUUGCUUUCCUUUUAUUUAUUUUCUGGGACUAACUUAUUGACUCAGUGCCAAGUGCCAGUUCCUGUUUUUUCCAUGUUUUUGACCCCUUUCAGAGGAGAUUUUGAAACGGAGUCCAAACGGAAGAAAAUCCCCGAAAAGAUUUUUUCUGGAACGGAAGAAGAUCGGAGGACUUGGGAGCCAAGCCAGAAGAGCCCCGGGGGCCCCACAAGCCCCCACCCCGCGGCCAGGGGGCGCGCCGUCCAGGCUUGUGGGCCCCCUGGAGGUCCCCUUACCUAGAUCUUGCGCCUAUAAAUUCCCAAAUAUUCCCAAAAAAAUCAAGAGACGAUCGCAAUUACUUUUCCGCCGCCGCAAGCUUCUGUCUCCGCAAGAUCCCAUCUGGGGCACGUCCUGGUGCCCUGCCGGAGGGGAGAUUCGGACACGGGGGGCUUCUUCAUCAACACCAUGACCUCUCCGACGAUGCGUGAGUAGUGACUGGCACUCUCUGGCAAUAGCUAGAAGAAUGCUGAUUUUGUGACAACAAACCUUCCCUUGCAACGGCACCAGAAGAAUGCUACUAGCACUCCCCAGCAAUGAAACUAGAAGAAUGUUGUUGACGGCCCACCAACGCGUGGGUUCGCAGCAGUUUUCGAGGGUAGAGUAUUCGACCCAAAUUUGUUGAUCGCCAAACAGGAGGUGAGAGAAUACUCUCGAGUAUUAGCAACUGAAUGUGUCAGAUUCAACCACACCUGAAAGAUUAGUAUCUGCAAGCAAAGUAGUAACAGCAAAGUAGCGAGUAACGGCAGUGGCAAGGAACAUAAGUAGUGACAGUAGUAGCAAGUAGCAACAGUAGCAAGCGACAGUACUAGCAACAGUAGCAGUAGAGCAAGACAAGUAACAGCAGUAGCAGCAGUAGUAAUAGUAGAGCAAGACAAGUAACAGCAACAACAACAUUAGUAAUAGCAGAGCAAGACAAGUAACAGCAGAGCAAGACAAGUAACAGCAGCAACAAUAGUAGGACAAACUCGUAGGCAAUGGGUCGGUGAUUUGCUUGGAUGAUAUUCAUCAUGCAACAGUUAUAACACGGAGAGAUAUGAGGCUAGCUCUCGUUCUUCAAUGUGAUGUAGGCAUGCAUUCCGUGUGUCGUCAUACGUGCUAAGGCAAAAGAACUUGCAUGACAUCUAUUGUCCAUCCCUCCCGUGGCAGCGCGGUCCAAAAGGAAACUACGGGAUAUUAAGGUUCUCCUUUUAUUAAAGAACCGGACCAACGCAUUAGCACUUGGUGAACACAUGAACUCCUAAUACUAUGGUCUGUUGGGUAACGUAGCAUAAAUUCAAAAAAAAUCCUAUGCAUAUUCAGAUCUUCCUAUGGAGAGACCAGCAACGAGAGAGGGGUGAGUGCAUCUUCAUACCUUUGAAGAUUGCUAAGUGGAAGCGUUACUAGAACGCGGUUGAUGGAGUCGUACUCGCGGCGAUUCAGAUCGCGGUGUGAUUCCGAUCUACUGCCGAACUACGGCAUCUCCACGUUCAACACACGUGCAGCCCGGUGACGUCUCUCGCACCUUGAUCCAACAAGGAGGAGGGAGAAGUUGGGGAAGAACUCCAGCAGCACGACGGCGUGGUGUCGAUGGAGAGACGAAGUCUCCCGGCAGGGCUUCGCCAAGCACCGGCAGAGAGGAGGAGAAAGAAGGGCAGGGCUGCGCCCAGGGAGAGGGCAAAGUGUGUCUCCAACAGCCCCAAGACCCCCACUCGCCACCCCUAGGGUUCCCCCCCCCUAGGUGGUGCAGCAGCCCGAGAUGGGAGAGGGGGGCGGCGGCCAGGGCAGGGAAAGGGGGGGCGCGCCCUAGGUGGGCCUUGGGCCUCCCCUGCGCCUAGGGUUUCCCCUCCCUUCCUCUCUGGUGGGCAUGGGCUGGGUGUGGGGGGCGCACCAGCCCACCUAGGGGCUGGUUCCCUCCUACAGUUGGCCCAUGUAGCCCUCCGGGGCUUGUGGCCCCUCCCGGUGGUCCUCCGGAACCCUUCCGGUGGUCCCGGCACUUUGUCGGUGGUGCCCGAAACAUUUCCUACGUCCAAAUCCAUCCAUCCUAUAUAUCAAUCUUUACCUCCGGACCAUUCCGAAGCUCCUUGUGACGUCUGGGAUCUCAUUCGACACUCCGAACAACUUUCGGUAACCUCGUAUAACAAUUCCCUAUAACCCUAGCAUCAUCGAACCUUAAGUGUGUAGACCCUAUGGAUUCGGGAGACAGGCACACAUGACCGAGACACCUCUCCGGCCAAUAACCAUCAGCGGCGUCUGGAUACUCAUGGUGGCUCCCACUUGCUCCACGAUGAUCUCAUCGGAUGAACCACGAUGUCAAGGAUUCAAUCAAUCCCGUAUACAAUUCCCUUUGUGUGUUGGUAUAGAACUUGCCCGAGAUUCGAUCGUUAGUAUACCUAUACCUUGUUCAAUCUCGUUACCGGUAAGUCUCUUUACUCGUUCCGUAGCACGUCAUCGUGUGACUAACUUCUUAGUCACAUUGAGCUCAUGAUGAUGUUCUACCGAGUGGGCCCAGAGAUACAUCUCCCUCACAUGGAGUGACAAAUCCCGAUCUCGAUUCGUACCAACCUAACAGACACUUUCAGAGGUACCUGUAGUGCACCUUUAUAGACACCCAGUUACGUUGUGACGUUUGAUACACCCAAAGCACUCCUACGGUAUCCAAGAGUUGCACAAUCUCACGGUCGAAGGAAAAUACACUUGACAUUAGAAAAGCUUUAGCAUACGAACAAUACGAUCUAGUGCUAUGCUUAGGAUUGGUCUUGUCCAUUACAUGAUUCUCCCAAUGAUGUGAUCCCGUUAUCAAUGACAUCUAAUGCCCAUGACCAGGAAACCAUGAUCAUCUAUUGACUAACGAGCUAGCCAACUAGAGGCUUGCUAGGGACACAUUGUGAUCUAUUUAUUCACACAUGUAUUAUUAUUUCCUGUUAAUACAAUUAUAGCAUGACCAAUAGACGAUUAUCAUGAACAAGGAAAUCUGAUAAUAACCAUUUUAUUAUUGCCUCUAGGGCAUAUUUCCAAUAGUCUCCCACUUGCACUAGAGUCAAUAAUCUAGUUACAUUGUGAUGUAUCGAACACCCAUAGCAUUAUGGUGUUGAUCAUGUUUUUCUCGUGGAAGAGGUUUAGUCAACGGGUCUGCAACAUUCAGAUUCGUGUGUACGUUACAAAUCUCUAUUACUCCACUCUACACAUGGUCCUGGAUGGAGUUGUAGCGGCGUUUGAUGUGCUUCGUCUUCCAGUGAAACCUGAGCUCCUUGGCUAUGGCAAUGGCCCUAGUGUUAUCGCAGAAGAGUGUCAUUGGACCCGACGAGCUUGGAACCACUCCAAGGUCGGUGAUGAGCUCCUUCAUCAAAAUUCCUUCAUGAGCUGCUUAAGAAGCAGCUAUGUACUACGCUUCACAUGUAGAUGCUGCCACGACUUCUUGCUUGCUGCUGCACCAGCUCACUGCCCCAACAUUCAAAACAUAUACGUAUCCGGUUUGUGCCUUAGAGUCAUCCGGAUCUGUGUCAAAGCUAGCGUCGACGUAACCCUUUACGACGAGCUCUUCCUCACCUCCAUAAACGAGAAACAUUUCCUUAGUCCUUUUCAGGUACUUAAGGAUAUUCUUGACCGCUGUCCAGUGUUCCAUACCGGGAUCACUUUGGUACCUCCCUACCAAACUUAUGGCAAGGUUUAUAUUAGGUCUGGUACACAACAUGGCAUACAUAAGAGAGCCUACGGCUGAAGCGUAGGGGACAGAACUCAUCUUCUCUCUAUCUGCUGCCGUGGUCGGCGACUGAGUCUUACUCAAUCUCAUACCUUGCAAAACUGGCAAGAACCCUUUCUUUGAGUUUUCCAUAUUGAACUUCUUCAAUAUCUUGUCAAGGUAUGUACUUUGCGAAAGACCUAUGAGGCGUCUCGAUCUAUCUCUAUAGAUCUUGGUGCCUAAUAUGUAUGCAGCUUCUCCAAGGUCCUUCAUUGAAAAACUCUUGUUCAAAUAGGCCUUUAUGCUUUCCAACAUCUCUAUAUUGUUCCCCAUCAAUAAUCUGUCAUCCACAUAUAGUAUGAGGAAAGCUACAGAGCUCCCACUCACUUUCUUGUACAGACAGGCUUCUCCGUAAAACUGUAUGAACCCAAACGCUUUAAUCACCUCAUUAAAGCGAAUGUUCCAACUCCGAGAUGCUUGCACCAGCCCAUAGAUGGAGCGCUGGAGCUUGCACACUUUGUUAGCACCCUUAGGGUCGACAAAACCUUCUGGUUGCAUCAUAUACAACUCUUUCUUAAGAUUCUCGUUAAGGAACGCUGUUUUGACGUCCAUUUGCCAAAUUUCAUAAUCAUAAAAGGCGGCAAUUGCUAACAUGAUUCAGACUGAUUUCAGCUUCGCUACGGGAGAGAAAGUCUCUUCGUAGUCAACUCCUUGAAUUUGUCUAAAACCCUUUGCGACAAGUCGAGCUUUAUAAAUGGUUACAUUACCGUUUGCAUCAGUCUUCUUCUUGAAGAUCCAUUUAUUUUCUAUGGCUCGCCGGUCAUCGGGCAAGGCCACCAAAGUCCAUACUUUGUUCUCAUACAUGGAUCCUAUCUCGGAUUUCAUAGCUUCAAGCCAUUUGUUGGAAUCCGGGCCCGCCAUCGCCUCUUCAUAGUUCGAAGGAUCACCGUUGUCUAACAACAUGAUUUCCAUCACAGGGUUGCCGUACCACUCUGGUGCGGAGCGUGCCCUCGUGGACCUUCGCGGUUCUGUAGUAACUUGAUCCGAAGCUUCAUGAUCAUUAUCAUUAACUUCCUCUUCAGUUGGUGUAGGCGCCACAGGAACAACUUCCCGCGCUGCGCUACUAUCCUGUUUGAGAGAGGGUGUAAUUACCUCAUCAAGUUCUACCUUCCUCCCACUUACUUCUUUCGAGAGAAACUCUUUCUCUAGAAAGGAUCCUAUCUUGGCAACAAAGGUUUUACCUUCGGAUCUAUGAUAGAAGGUAUACCCAAUAGUUUCCUUAGGGUAUCCUAUGAAUACGCAUUUCUCUGCUUUGGGUUCGAGCUUUUCUGGUUGAAGUUUCUUCACAUAAGCAUCGCAGCCCCAAACUAUAAGAAACGACAACUUAGGUUUCUUAACAAACCAUAGUUCAUACGUUGUCGUCUCAACGGAUUUAGACGGUGCCCUAUUUAAAGUGAACGUUGCAGUUUCUAAUGCGUAUCCCCAAAAUGAUAGCGGUAAGUCGGUAAGAGACAUCAUAGAUCGUACCAUAUCUAAUAAAGUGUGAUUACGACGUUCAGACACUCCGUUGUGUUGCGGUGUACCAGGCGGCGUCAGUUGUGAAACAAUUCCACACUUCCUUAGGUGUGUGCCAAACUCGUGACUCAAAUAUUCUCCUCCACGAUCAGAUCAUAGACACUUAAUUUUUCUGUCACGCUGAUUCUCGACCUCGCUCCGAAAUUCCUUGAACUUUUCAAAUGUCUCAGAUUUGUGCUUGAUCAAGUAGAUAUACCCAUACCUACUCAAAUCAUUGGUGAGAGUGAGAACAUAACGAUAGCCACCGCGAGCUUCAACGUUCAUUGGACCACACACAUCAGUAUGUAUUAUUUCCAAUAAGUCGGUUGCUCUCUCCAUUAUUCCUAAGAAUGGAGUCUUAGUCAUCUUGCCCAUGAGGCAGGGUUUGCAUGUGUCAAAUGAUUCAAAAUCAAGAGACUCUAAUAGUCCAUCAGUAUGGAGCUUCUUCAUGCGCUUAACGCCGAUAUGACCAAGGCGGCAGUGCCACAAGUAUGUGGGACUAUCAUUAUCAACUUUACAUCUUUUGGUACUCACACUAUGAAUAUGUGUAACAUCACGAUCGAGAUUCAUCAAGAAUAAACCAUUCACCAGCGGAGCAUGACCAUAAAACAUAUCACUCAUAUAAAUAGAACAACCAUUAUUCUCUGACUUAAAUGAGUAGCCGUCUCACAUUAAGCAAGACCCUGAUACAAUGUUCAUGCUUAAAGCUGGUACUAAAUAACAAUUAUUAAGGUUUAAAACUAAUCCCGAUGGUAGAUGUAGAGGUAGCGUGGCGACGACGAUCACAUCAACCUUGGAGCCAUUCCCGACGUGCAUCGUCACCUCGUCCUUUGCCAGUCUCCGCUUAUUCCGCAGUUCCUGCUUUGAGUUGAAAUUGUGAGCAACAGCACUGGUAUCAAAUACCCAGGAGCUACUACGAGCGCUAGUAAGGUACACAUCAAUAACAUGUAUAUCACAUAUACCUUUAACGUUGCCGGCCUUCUUGUCCGCUAAGUAUUUGGGGCAAUUCCGUUUCCAGUGACCCUUUCCCUUGCAAUAGAAGCACCCAAUCUCAGGCUUGGGUCCAUUCUUUUUCUUCUUCCCAGCAUCUGGCUUACCGGGCGCGGCAACGGCUUGCCGUCUUUCUUGAAGUUUUUCUUACCCUUGCCCUUCUUGAAACUAGUGGUCUUGUUGACCAUCAACACUUGAUGCUCUUUCUUGAUUUCUACUUGUGCAGACUUGAGCAUCGAGUACAACUCGGGAAUGGUCUUCUCCAUCCCUUGCAUGUUGUAGUUCAGCACAAAACCUUUGUAGCUUGGUGGGAGAGAUUGGAGGAUUCUGUCAAUUAUAGCAUCAUCUGGAAGUUCGACUCCAAAUGAAGUCAGACGACCGUGUAACCCAGACAUUUUGAGUAUGUCCUCACUGACAGAACUGUUCUCCUCCAUCUUACGGCUAAAGAACUUGUCGGAGACUUCAUAUCUCUCGACACGGGCAUGAUCUUGAAAAACUAGCUUCAGCUCUUGGAACAUCUCAUAUGCACCGUGUUGCUCAAAACGCCUUUGGAGCCCCGUUUCUAAACUGUAUAACAUGCCACACCUAACCAGAGAGUAGUCAUCACUCCGCGUUUGCCAGACGUUCAAAAUGUCCUGGGCUGCUGCGGGAGUGGGAGGGUCACCGAGCGGCGCAUCAAGGACAUAAGCCUUUUUAGUUGUUUCCAGGAUGAGCUUCAAGUUGCGAACCCAGUCCGCAUAGUUGCUACCAUCAUCUUUCAGCUUGUUUUUCUCUAGGAAUGCGUUGAAAUUGAGGUUGACGUUGGCCAUCUACAAUAUUUAUAAAGACAACUUUCAGACUAAGUUCAUGACAAUUAAGUUCAUUUAAUCAAAUUAAGUAUGAACUCCCACUUAAAUCGACAUCCCUCUAGUCAUCUAAGUGAUACAUGAUCCAUGUUGACUAACCCGUGUCCGAUCAUCACGUGAGACGGACUAGUCACCAUGGUGAGCAACUUCAUGCUGACCGUAUUCAACCAUACGACUCAUGUUCGACCUUUCGGUCUCUUGUAUUCGAGGUCAUGUCUGUACAUGCUAAGAUCGUCGAGUCAACCUAGGUGUUUCGCGUGUGUAAAUCUAGCUUACACCCGUUGUAUGCGAACGUUGGAAUCUAUCACACCCGAUCAUCACGUGGUGCUUCGAGACAACGAUCCUUCGCAACGGUGCACACUUAGGGGAAUACGUUCUCGAAAUUUUAAGAGGGAUCAUCUUAUUUUGCUACCGUCAUUCUAAGCAAUAAGAUAAAAACAUCACAAUGCAAUCAUAUAGUGACAUGAUAUGGCCAUUAUCAUGUUUGCUCUUUCGAUCUCCAUCUUGAGGCAUCGCAUGAUCAUCAUCGUCACCGGUAUGACACCAUGAUCUCCAUCAUCGUGUCUCCGUGAAGUCAUCACGCCAACUACUACUAUCACUACUACUAUAGCUAACCGUUAGCAAUGAAGUAAAAGUAGUAUGCACAUGGCGUUGCAUCUCAUACAACAAAUUAAGACAAAUCCUAUGGCUCCUGCCGGUUGUCAUACUCAUCGACAUGCAAGUCGUGAAACCUAAUACGAUAACGUGAUCAUCUCAUACAUCAUACAUGCAACUUUGGCCAUAUCACAUCAAAUGUCAAACCCUGCAAAAACAAGUUAGACGUCCUCUAAUUGUUGUUGCAAGUUUUACGUGGCUGAUUUGGGUUUCUAGCAAGAACGCUUUCUUACCUACGUGACAGCCACAACGAUGAUAUGCCAAAGCUAUUUACCCUUCAUAAGGACCCUUUUCAUCAAAUCCAAUCCGACUAGAGUAGGAGAGACAGACACCCGCUAGCCACCUUUAUGCACGGUGUGCAUGUCUGUCGGUGGAACCAGUCUCACGUAAGCAUACGUGUAAGGUCGGUCCUGGCCGCUUCAUCCCACAAUACUGCCGGAAAAGAAUAAGACUAGUAGCGGCAAGCAAUUGACAAAUCAUCACCCACAACCUUCUGUGUUCUACUCGUGCAUAGAAUCUACGCAUAGAAAACCUGGCUCGGAUGCCACUGUUGGGUAACGUAGCAUAAAUUCAAAAAAAUUCCUAUGCAUAUUCAGAUCUUCCUAUGGAGAGGCUAGCAACGAGAGAGGGGUGAGUGCAUCUUCAUACCUUUGAAGAUCGCUAAGCGGAAGCAUUACUAGAACGCGGUUGAUGGAGUCGUACUCGUGACGAUUCAGAUCGCGGUGUGAUUCCGAUGUAGUGCCGAACUACGGCACCUCCGCGUUCAACACACGUGCAGCCCGGUGACGUCUCCCACACCUUGAUCCAGCAAGGAGGAGGGAGAGGUUGGGGAAGAACUCCAGCAGCACGACGGUGUGGUGUUGAUGGAGAGACGAGGUCUCCCGGCAGGGCUUCGCCAAGCACCGGCAGAGAGGAGGAGAAAGAAGGGCAAGGCUGCGCCGAGGGAGAGGGAAAAGUGUGUCUCCAACAGCCCCAAAACCCCCACUAUUUAUAGGAGGAGGGGAGGGGGUGCGCCACCCCUAGGGUUCCCCCCUAAGUGGUGCAGCAGCCCCAGAUGGGAGAGGGGGGCGGCGGCCAGGGCAUGGGAAGGGGGGCGCGCCCUAGGUGGGCCUUGGGCAUCCCCUGCGCCUAGGGUUUCCCCUCCCUCCCUCUCUGGUGUGCAUGGGCUGGGUGUGGGGGGCGCACCAGCCCACCUAGGGGCUGGUUCCCUCCCACACUUGACCCAUGUAGCCCUCCGGGGCUUGUGUCCCCUCCCGGUGAUCCUCCGGAACCCUUCCGGUGGUCCCGGCAUUUUGCCGGUGGUGCCCGAAACAUUUCCGGCGUCCAAAUCCAUCCAUCCUAUAUAUCAAUCUUUACCUCCGGACCAUUCCGGAGCUCCUCGUGAUGUCCGGGAUCUCAUCCGGUACUCCGAACAACUUUUGGUAACCUCGUAUAACAAUUCCCUAUAACCCUAGCGUCAUCGAACCUUAAGUGUGUAGACCCUACGGGUUCGGGAGACAGACAGACAUGACCGAGACACCUCUCCGGACAAUAACCAUCAGCGGGGUCUGGAUAUCCAUGGUGGCUCCCACUUGCUCCACUAUGAUCUCAUCGGAUGAACCAUGAUGUCAAGGAUUCAAUCAAUCCCAUAUACAAUUCCCUUUGUCUGUCGGUAUAGAACUUGCCCGAGAUUCGAUCGUCGGUAUACCUAUACCUUGUUCAAUCUCGUUACCGGUAAGUCUCUUUACUCGUUCCGUAGCACGUCAUCAUGUGACUAACUCCUUAGUCACAUUGAGCUCAUGAUGAUGUUCUACCGAGUGGGCCCACAGAUACCUCUUCGUCACACGGAGUGACAAAUCCCGAUCUCGAUUCGUACCAACCCAACAGACACUUUCGGAGGUACCCGUAGUGCGCCUUUAUAGUCAUCCAGUUACGUUGUGACGUUUGAUACACGCAAAGCACUCCUACGGUAUCCGGGAGUUGCACAAUCCCACGGUCAAAGAAAAAGACACUUGACACUAGAAAAGCUUUAGCAUACGAACAAUACGAUCUAGUGCUAUGCUUAGGAUUGGGCCUUGUCCAUUACAACAUUCUCCCAAUGAUGUGAUCCCGUUAUCAAUGACAUCUAAUGCCCAUGACCAUGAAACCAUGAUCAUCUAUUGACUAACGAGCUAGCCAACUAGAGGCUUGCUAGGGACACAUUGUGAUCUAUUUAUUCACACAUGUAUUACUAUUUCCUGUUAAUACAAUUAUAGCAUGAACAAUAGACGAUUAUCAUGAACAAGGAAAUAUGAUAAUAACCAUUUUAUUAUUGCCUCUAGGGCAUAUUUCCAACAUGGUCAUCACUGGGAGUGGUUCCGGUUAUUGUCACUCCGGGGUUGUCGGAUCAUAACACAUAGUAGGUAACUACAACUUGCAAGAUCGGAUCUAAAACACACAUAUAUUGGUGACAACAUAAUAAUUUCAGAUCUGAAAUCAUGGCACUCGGGCCCUAGUGACUAGCAUUAAGCGUGGCAAAGUAGUAGCAACAUCAAUCUCAGAACACAGUGGAUACUAGGGAUCAAUCCCCAUCAAAACUAACUCGAUUACAUGAUAGAUCUCAUCCUACUAAUCACCGCCCACCGAGCCUACGAAUAGAUUUCUCACAAACGACGAAGAGCUUCAUGGAAUUGGAGAGGAAAGAAGAUUGAUGAUGACGAUGGCGAUGAUUUCCCCUCUCCAGAGCCCAAGACGGACUCCAGAUCUGCCCUCCAAAUGAAGAACAGGUUGUGGCGGCGCCUCCGUAUCGCAAACGCGACGAAAUCUUCUCCUAUUAUUUUUUCUGGGACGAAAGUGAACUUAUAGACCUGAGAUUGGGGGCGGCAAAGCUGUGUGGGCCCCACAAGCUUGCCCACCGCCACCAGGGGGUGGCGGAGCCAGGGCUUGUGGCCCACUGGCCCACCCCCUCAGGUGGAUCUUGGAGCAGAUAUUUUUCAUAUUUUCCAAAAAUGCUCCCCGUAAAUUUUCGGGGCGUUUGGAGAACUUUGAUUUCUGCACAAAAAUAACACCAAGGCAAUUCUGUUGAAAACAAUGUCACUGCAGGUUAGUUCCAUUCAAAUCUUGCAAAUUAGAGUCCAAAACAAGGGCAAAAGAGUUUGGAAAAGUAGAUACGAUGGAGACGUAUCAACUCCCCCAAUUUUAAAACCUUGCUUGUCCUCAAGCAACUCAGUUGAAAAACUGAGAGAGAAAGAAAAACAUUGACAAACUCUGUUGGAUCUUGUUGUUGCAACUAUGUCUAACUCAUAACCAGAAUUUCAGGAAUAUCACAAGUUAACCACAUAAGCAAAUGACACAAAGGUCUCACGGUAAACUAAUAUCAAUGGCAUAAUCAGCUAACGAGCAAAUAAUAAUUAGUUUCAAAUACCAACACUUCAAUCAAAACAAGCAUGAAGCAAUAUGAAUAGGUGGUAUCUCGCUAGCUCUUUCGGAGACCGCAAAACAUAAAUGCAGAGCACUUUCAAAGAUCAAUGGCUGACUAAACAUUGUAAUUCAUAGCAACGAAGAUCCAGUCAUAGUCAUACUCAAUAUCAAUCAAAAGCAAAGCAUAAAAAUGACAAAGGUGCUCUCUAAUUGGUGCUUAUAAAAGAGGAGGAUGACUCGACAGGAAAAUAAAUAGACAGGCCCUUCGCAGAGGGAAGCAUUGAUUUGCAGAGGUGCCAGAGCUCAAGCUUUGAAAACAGAGAUAAUAAUUUUGGGUGGCAACCUUUCAUUGUCAACGCAAUGACCAAGAGUUCUCAAUAUCUUCCAUGCUACUCAUGCUAUAGGCGGUUCCCAAACAGAAAAGUAAAGUUUUAACUCCCCCACCACCAAUCAAUCACACUCCACGGCGAGCCGAAUCCUCGGGUACCGUCCAUACUAACAUCAAUCCGGGGGGAGUCUUGUUUUACAGUUAUGUUUUCGAUUUAAGCGUGGAACUGGGCAUUCCAAUUACCGGCCCCUUUCUCGUGAAUGACAGUGAAUAAACACAUGUCGAGGAUAACACUCCUAGCAUGGAAGAUACCAAUAGCCCCCUGUCACCACAUGAGCGGUUCGGGCAUGCAAAACAGAUUAUUUCUUGAAGGUUUAGAGAGUGGCACAUGCAAAUUUACUUGGAACGGCAGGUAGAUACCGCAAAUAGGUAGGUAUGGUGGACUCUCAUGGAAAAACUUUUGGGUUUAUGGAAGUGGAUGCACAAGCAGUAUUCCGCUUAGUACAAGUGAAGGCUAGCAAAAGACUCGGAAGCGACCAACUAGAGAGCGACAACAGUCAUCAAGAUGCAAUGAGUUUGACUAACAUUGAAUGCAAGCAUGAACAGGAUAUAAAUCACCAUGAACACGAACAUCAUAGAGGCUAUGUUGAUUUUGUUUCAACUACAUGCAUGAACAUGCGCCAAGUCAAGCCACUUGAAACAUUCAAAGGAGAAUACCAUCCUAUCAUACUACAUCAUAGUCAUCUCAAAAUCUAUGUUGGCAAUCAAGACAAACCAUUAUAAGCUCUCAGCUAAAUAAGCAUGGCAUCAGAAACUAUGUUCUCUAAGAUGUAAUUGCAAACAUGGUUCUCUCACAACAAAGCUAAAUCUGGGUCGACAAGCUAGUCAUAUUUACAAAAACAAAAUAGAUAGAGUUCAUACCAGCUUUUCAGUCUCAGUCACUUCAUCAUAUAUCAUCAUUAUUGCCUUUCACUUGCACGAUCGAACGAUGUGAACAAUAAUAAGAGCGCUCGUGCAUUGGACUAAGCUGAAUCUGCACGCAAACACAAAGGAGAAUACAAAGUAAUAUGGCUCUUUGAAAGCUAAACAGGUAUGCAUGCAAGAACCACUAAACAUUGAAAUCAAUAUCUUCUACCUUGACCCAAAGAAAAAGAAAACUAUUUACACGGGAAAGCUCCCGACAAGCAAAAGAAGAAAGAAAAAUCUUUUUGGGUUUUCUCAAAAGGACACAAAACAAGAAAACAAGAAAACAAAAAUAAAAUAGCAUGGAUAAUACAGUGGCAAAGUGUGAACACCGACUAUGUAGCGACCCGACUCAAGACGAGUCAAGCCUCUGGUGUUUCCGUACCAUCCCAAGAUCAUGUUGGUACACACACAGUACAUAAUGUAUAUAUUCAAGAGUGCAAUCACACAGCUUUAUUUAUCGAAAUCUCAUAAAGAGUANNNNNNNNNNNNNNNNNNNNNNNNNNNNNNNNNNNNNNNNNNNNNNNNNNNNNNNNNNNNNNNNNNNNNNNNNNNNNNNNNNNNNNNNNNNNNNNNNNNNACAAUGUUUAGUCAGCCCUUGAUCUUUGAAAGUGCUCUGCAUUUAUGUUUUGCGGUCUCAGAUAGAGCUAGCGAGAUACCACGUAUUCUUAUUGCUUCAUGCUUGUCUUGAUUGAAUUGUUGGUAUUUGAAACUCAUUAUUAUUUGCUCGUUAGCUGAUUAUGCCAUUGACAUCAGUUUACCGUGAGACCUUUGUGUCACUUGCUUAUGUGGUUAACUUACGAUCUUGCUGAAAUUCUGGUUAUGAGUUAGACAUAGUUGCAACAACAAGAUCAAAUAGAGUUUGUCAAAGUUUUUCUUUCUCUUUCAGUUUGUCAACUGAGUUGCUUGAGGACAUGCAAGGUUUUAAGCUUGGGGGAGUUGUUACGUCUCCAACGUAUCUACUUUUCCAAACUCUUUUGCCUUUGUUUUGGACUCUAAUUUGCAUGAUUUGAAUGGAACUAACCUGGACUGACGUUGUUUUCAGCAGAAUUGCCUUGGUGUUGUUUUUGUGCAGAAAUGAAAGUUCUCGGAACAUCCUGAAAAUUUACGGAUAAUAUUUCUGGAAAAUAUGAAAAAUACCUGCGCAAAGAUCCACCGGAGGGGAUGGGCCAGUGGGCCACAAGCCGUGUAGCCGCCACCCCCCUGGUGGCGGCUAGCAAGCUUGUGGGGCCCACGUGGCCCUGCUGCCCCCAAACAUAGCUCUAUAAAUUCACCUUCGUCCCAGAAAAAAUAAAAAGAGAAGAUUUCGUCGCGUUUGCGAUACGGUGGCGCCGCCACAUCCCGUUCUUCAUCUGGAGGGCAGAUCUGGAGUCCGUUUUGGGCUCCGGAGAGGGGAAAUUAUCGCCAUCGUCAUCAUCAACCUUCUUCCCUCUCCAAUUCCAUGAAGUUCUUCAUUGUUCGUGAGUAAUCUAUUCGUAGGCUCACUGGGAGGUGAUGAGUAGGAUGAGAUCUAUCAUGUAAUCGAGUUAGUUUUGACGGGAAUUGAUCCCUAGUAUCCACUAUGUUCUGAGAUUGAUGUUGCUACCACUUUGCCAUGCUUAAUGCUUGUCACUAGGGCCCGAGUGCCAUGAUUUCAGAUCUGAAAUUAUUAUGUUGUCACCAAUAUAUGUGUGUUCUAGAUCCGAUCUUGCAAGUUGUAGUUACCUACUAUGUGUCAUGACCCGGCAACCCCGGAGUGACAAUAACCGGAACCACUCCCGAUGAUGACCAUAGUUUGAGGAGUUCAUGUGUUCACCAAGUGCUAAUGCGUUGGUCCGGUUCUUUAUUAAAAGGAGAACCUUAAUAUCCCGUAGUUUCCUUUUGGACCCCGCUGCCACGGGAGGGAUGGACAAUAGAUGUCAUCAAGUUCUUUUCCCUAAGCACGUAUGACGACACACGGAAUGCAUGCCUACAUCACAUUGACGAAAGGGAGCUAGCCACAUAUCUCUCCGUGUUAUAAUUGUUGCAUGAUGAAUAUCGUCCAAACGAAUCACCGACCCAUUGCAUAUGAGUUUGUUGCACUGUUGCUGUUACUUGUUUUGCUCUGCUGCUGUUACUACUGUUGCUGCUGCUGUUACUUGCUCUGCUGUUACUUGCUACUGUUGCUACUUGGUACUGUUGCUACUUGCUACUGCUGUCACUACUACUGUUCCUUGCCACUGCUGCUACUCGCUACACUACUGCUACCUGCUACAAUACUUUUCUGGCGCCAUUGAUACAAUCGUUAGGAAUAGUCUACUGUCAACAGAUCGUUUCUGACAUCGUUGUUAUCAUAUUACUUUGUUGUUGAUACUUUGCUUGCAGAUAUUAAUCUUUCAGGUGUGGUUGAAUCUGACACAUUCAGCUGCUAAUACUUGAGAGUAUCCUCUCACUUCCUACUCGGGAAUCAACAAAUUUGGGUCGAAUACUCUACCCUCGAAAACUGCCUCGAUCCCACGCACUGGUGGGUCAUUGCAAGACGAUUUAUAACUGUUGAUCAAUCGAGAAUAUCAUUUGUCUAGCCAUUGCCAGGGAUCUGCUAAACAAAAUUUUUCUGGCGCCGUUGCCGGGGAAGCGAUUGCUAUAUUCUCUGAGUCACUUGGGAUUUAUAUCUGCUGAUCACUAUGAAGAAUCUGAAGGAUCCAAAAACCAAAGUCUUGCCCUUAACUACGAGGGGAGGUAAGGAAUUGCCAUCUAGCUCUGCACUUGAUUCACCUUCAGUUAUGAGUAAGUUUGCGACACCACCUCCUGCUAGAGAUCUUGAUAUGUCGCCUGUGCCUGAUACUGCUAGAGAUGCUAUGCCUGAUACUGCUUUGCCUCAUACUGCUAGAGAUGCUAUUUUUCCUGAUGAUGAUAUGCUUGAUACUGCUAGAGAUACUAAUUUGCCUGAUGUGCCACUAGGGGUGUUCCUUGAUGCUCAUAUUGCUAGAGUUACUUCCAAUGCUCGUGAUGCUUCUGAAACUGCCGAUACUAUUGAGAUAGAACCUGCUUUUGCUCCUGCUAGAUCUAGCUCUCCUAGAUAUGAAUUGCCUGAUAUACCUGAGGGUUAUGUUAUGGAGGGAGAGAUAGCUGAGGAUUUUCUUGCGUGUAAGGAUGCCUAUGACGCCGAGAAAUUACUUCUCAAGUGGAAGGAAAAAUCUCUGAAAGCUAGGAUGAAAUACGACCCGAAGUUUGCCACUUCAUCUAUCUUUAUCACCGAUAAGGAUUAUGAAUUCUUUGUCGACCCUGAGAUAAUCUCUCUAGUCGAAUCUGAUACUUUCCACGGUUAUGAGUGUGAGACGGUCGUAACCCAUCUUACCAAACUACACGAUAUAGCCACCCUUUUCACUAGUGAGGAGAAGAUCCGCUACUACUAUAUCCUUAAGCUGUUUCCUUUCUCUCUAAAGGAUGAUGGUAAAGCCUGGUUCACUUCUCUUGCUCCUGGAUGUGUGAGUGGUCCCCAGGAUAUGGUCUAUUAAUUCUGUGAGAAAUAUUUCCCUACCCACAAGAAGCAAGUUGCCUUGCAGGAAAUAUACAACUUUGCUCAACUCCAAGAAGAGAGUCUCCCACAAGCUUGGGGGAGGCUCAUGCAGCUACAGAAUGCUUUGCCUGAUCACCCUCUUAAGAAGAACGAGAUACUUGAUAUCUUCUAUAACGGACUUACCGAUGCUUCUAGAGACUACCUAGAUAGUUGUGCCGGUUGUGUUUUUAGGGAAUGAACUAUAGAACAAGCUGAGACUGUACUGAAUAACUUCUUGAUCAACGAUAAUGCUUGGACUAUUCCCGAACCACCUCCUAUGCCAACUCCUAAGAAAAGAGGUAUUCUAUUCCUCUGUCCCGAAGAUAUGCAAGAAGCCAAGAAAUCUAUGCAAGAGAAAGGCAUUAGAUAUGAAGAUGCCAAAAAUCUACCACCUAUCGAAGAGAUCCAUGGUCUCGGUAACCCGAUACAAGUAGUGAAGUGAAUUCUCUGCAUAGGUUUGAUGAGAGUGAUAUUCCUUUUGACAAACCUGCUAGCCUAUGCUUUGAUGACUUUGACAACUUUGUUGCCAAACAACAGAGUUUCAAUGAUUAUGUUAGCAGACAUUUGGAACAAAGUACUCAUAUGCUUAGCCAUUUAAGUGCUUGUGUAGACAGAAAUGUUAAUGAUCUGAAGCUUCUGAGUAAACAUGCCUCUAUGAUUACUACUCAUGUAGAACAAGUACUUAAAUCUCAGAAUGGCUUGCUCAAUGAAUUAAAUGACAACUCUGUCAGAGUCAUUACUUGAGGAGGCAAAAUGACUCAGGAACCUUUGUAUCCUGAAGGCCAUCCUAAGAGAAUUGAUCAAGAUUCUCAAGGAAUUAAUGCUGAAACACCCAGUCAUCCUAAGGAGAAGAAGAAGGAUGAUAGAAACCUACAUGCCAGUUCACCAAAUACGGUCACACCGGAAGAACCUAAUGAUAUUUCUGCGUCUGAUGCAGAAACAAAAUCUGGUGAUGAACAUGAACCUGGUGACAAUAUGGACAGUGAUGUUAAUAAUAAUGCUCAACCUAGCAAUGAUGAGGAUGUGGAGAUUGAACCUACGGUUAAUCCUGAUAACCCACAACCUAAGAGAUACGAUAAGAAUGACUUCGCUGCUAGGAAGCAUGGUAAAGAAAGGGAGCCAUGGGUUCAGAGACCUAUGCCCUUUCCUCCUAAACCAUCCAAGAACAAGGAUGAUGAGGAUUUUGAGCGCUUCGUUGAGAUGAUAAGACCCAUCUUUCUGCAGAUGCGGUUAACUGAUAUGCUCAAAAUGUCUCCGUAUGCCAAGUACAUGAAAGAUAUCGUGACCUAUAAACGGAAGAUACCAGAUCUUGAGAUCUCCACCAUGCUUGCCAAUUACACUUUCAAAGGUGGAACCCCUAAGAAACUUGGUGAUCCCGGAGUGCCCACUAUACCUUGCUCCAUUAAAGGAAACUACGUAAGAACUGCCUUAUGUGACCUUGGAGCCGGUGUUAGUGUUAUGCCGCUCUCUCUUUAUCGUAGACUUGAAUUGGAUAAGUUGACACCCACUGAAAUUUCUCUGCAAAUGGCUGACAAAUCAACUGCUUUCCCUAUCGGCAUUUGCGAGGAUGUGCCUGUUGUGGUUGCUAACACGACUAUCUUAACAGACUUUGUUAUCUUGGAUAUUCCCGAGGACGAUGCCAUGGUUGUCAUCCUCGGAAGACCCUUUUUAAACACUUCAGGGGCUGUUAUAGAUUGCAACAAAGGCAAUGUCACUUUCCAUGUCAACGGUAAUGAGCAUACAAUGCACUUUCCGAAGAAACGAUAUCAAGUACAUUGCACCAAUGCUAUCGAAAAGACUUCAUCGAUUCUUAUUGGGAGCUUUGAAUGCCCUAUUCCUCGUGUCAAGAUGAAGUAUGAUUUGCUUGUUGGGGAGAUACAUAUCCCCAUUGAGGUGACUUAGUGGCUAUUCGACAAUUCUCCGUUUCUUCUUGCGAUUCGAAAAGGUUUUGUCAUGAUGGUUUGAUCAACCCCAUUGACGGAUUUCUUUCGAUAACCAUGAAAUGGAUGAAUCAAAGAGUCACAAACCUCUGUUUUAAGCUUUCACUUUAUGUUGCUUAGAAGAAAAAUGAUAGAUUUAGUUUAGUUUUUCCUGUUUUCCGUUUUAGCUCCCGGGGAAGAAUACCCCGAAAAUAAAAGUUCUCCGACGGUCCUGAAAAUCUAGUAUGAUUUUUUCUGGAAUAUUUGAAAAAUACUGGGCCUGAGAGCUGGCCCGGGGGCCAAACCAGUGGGCCACAAGCCCUGCAGCCGCCGCCCCCUGGUGGCGGCUAGCAACCUUUUGGGGCCCACAGUGACCCCCUCCACUCAUUCCAGCUCCCAUCCUCUACUUCUACCUCCAGAAAAAAUUGUUUCGCAGCUCAAACACGUGUUCUUGCUCAUUUGGCUGUGAUUUUCGAUCUCCUUGCUCAAAGCACCAUUCUCCAAACCAUUUUGGGGAAAUUACUCCUUGGUAAGUGACUCCUCCAUUGGUCCAAUUAGUUUUUGCUCUAGUGCUUUAUCCUUCGCGUAUUCUUGCUACCUUGGUGACCAUGUUCUUGAGCUAGAAAUGUUGAUUUAGCUAGUCCGAAGUAGUUUUAGCGCAUGAUACGGUCUCUAGGCACUAGUAGGAGUAGUUUCUACGAGUUGGGUUAAUCUUUAUUCACUUUUCUUUCGAAGUCUCUAAAAAUUUCAGAAUUUUUCAGAGCUAGAAAAAGGAAAAGAUGAGGAGGUUCUUGAGAGGAUCUUCAAGCCGUAACCCCAAGGAGGAUGAGAAGAACCACCCCAAGUAUGUGGUUCCUUGAGUCACAGAAGUUCGAGCGUGCGAGUGGCCAAGUGAUGAAUUUUUACGCGCCGCUGGGCUUUAUGAAGACUUUUAUUACUUGGUGGAGAACACAGGUCUUAUUGCGUUCGUUGAAGAUAAGUGUUUGCAAUACCUCCUCCUCACCAAUAUUUUCGUUCAAAGCUUCAACUUUUAACCGAGGAAGAAUCCUCCCAUGGUUGAGUUCAUGAUAUACGGCAUCCCCUAGUGCAUGACACUACAGGAUUUUUGCAAUGUAUGCAAAUUACCUUAUGUUGGGGAUAUCCGUGACCCUCGUCCACGGGACUUGGAGGAUUUCAUUGGUACUAUUGCUGUUGGAGAGGAGAGAGGAGUGUCUCGCGCCAGGAUCGCUAGCAUACAUUUUCCUGUGCUUCAGUACUUCUCAUUAUUUGUUGGAAAAUGUUUGAUUGGCCGUGGGGAGGCUGGAUCACUUAGCUCUCCAGACCUUGCUGUUCUGCGCAAAGGCCUUUAUAAUGAUAAGACUUAUAGCCUAGGUUUUAUAGUAGCCCAGCGGUUGAACACCAACCAUUCCAACGGUGUCGUCUAUGGAGGUAUCUAUGCUACCCGUCUUGCCAGACACUUUGAGAUACCCGUUAGACUGGGAGAGGAAGGAGAGAUCCUUCUCCCUGAGAAAUAUCUGGAUUGUGACAGCAUGGUUCGCCAUGAUUUUCUGGAUAGAGAUGCUAGUAGACGGAUGAUUUAUAACUUGGUAUUUAGUCAGGGUACUCGAGAGACUAUUACUUUGCCUGCUUCUUCUUUGUUUGAUCUUCAUGCAGCUAGGUACACUAUUAUGCCCUCGGACAUCUACGCAUAUUGGGGCUUGGCCCAACCACAGGUGCCCGUGCCCGAGCCGCCAGUCGAGUACCAUAUGCCAGUUUAUCAGUGGGAGCCAGAGGAGCUCACAUAGCAGUGGCAUCCACAGUCUGCUCCGGAGUAUCCUGGAGCUCGUUAUUUCCUGCCUUGGGAGUAGACCAAGCUAGGCCAAAAUCCUAAGCUUGGGGGAGUACGUGUUCUCAUCGACCUUACAUUCAUGCUUAUGCUUUCACUUUGUUAGUCGGUGUUUACACUUUGCCACUGUAUUAUCCAUGCUAGUUUAUUUUCGUUUUCUUGUUUUCUUGUUUUGUGUCCUUUUGAGAAAACCCAAAAAGAUUUUUCUUUCUUCUUUUGCUUGUUGGGAGCUUUCCCGUGUAAAUAGUUUUGUUUUUCUUUGGGUCAAGGUAGAAGAUAUUGGUUACAAUGUUUAGUGGCUCUUGCAUGCAUACAUCUUUAGCUUUCAAUGAGCCAUAUUACUUUGUCUUCUCCUUUUGGUUUGCCUACAGAUUCAGCUUAGUCCAUUGCACGAGCACUCUUAUUAUUGUUCACAUAGUUCGAUCAUGCAAAAUGAAAGGCAAUAAUGAUGAUAUAUGAUGAAGUGACUGAGACUGGAAAAGCUGGUAUGAACUCUAUCUAUUUUGUUUUUGUAAAUAUGACUAGAUUGUCAUGCCUGAUUCAGCUUUGUUGUGAGAGAACCAUGUUUGCAAUGACAACUUAGAGAUCAUAGUUUCUGAUGCCAUGCUUAACUAGCUGAGAGCUUAUAAUGGUUUCUCUUGAAUGCCAACAUUGAUUUUGAGGUGACUAUGAUGUAGUAUGAUAGGAUGGUAUUCUCCUUUGAAUGAUUCAAGUGGCUUGACUUGACGCAUGUUCAUGCAUGUAGUUGAAACAAAAUCAACAUAGCCUCUAUGAUGUUCGUGUUCAUGGUGAUUUAUGUCCUGUUCAUGCUUGCAUUGAAUGUUAGUCAAACUCAUUGCAUCUUGAUGACUGUUGUCGCUCUCUAGUUGGUCGCUUUCCAGUCUUUUGCUAGCUUUCACUUGUACUAAGCGGAGUACUGCUUGUGCAUCCACUUCCAUAAAACCAAAUUAUUUUCCAUGAGAGUCCACGAUACCUACCUAUUUGCGGUAUCUACGUGCCAUUCCAAGUAAAUUUGCAUGCCACUCUCUAAACCUUCAAGAAAUAAUCUGUUCUGCAUGCCCGAACCGCUCAUGUGGUGACAGGGGGCUAUUGGUAUCUUCCAUGUUAGGCAUGUUAUCCUCGACAUGUGUUUAUUCACUAUCAUUCACGAGAAAGGGGCCGGUAAUUGGAAUGCCCAGUUCCACGCUUAAAUAGAAAACAUAACUGUAAANNNNNNNNNNNNNNNNNNNNNNNNNNNNNNNNNNNNNNNNNNNNNNNNNNNNNUUACAAUGUUUAGUCAGUCCUUGAUCUUUGAAAGUGCUCUGCAUUUAUGUUUUGCGGUCUCAGAUAGAGCUAGCGAGAUACCACGUAUUCAUAUUGCUUCAUGCUUGUUUUGAUUGAAUUGUUGGUAUUUGAAACUCAGUAUUAUUUGCUCGUUAGCUGAUUAUGCCAUUGACAUUAGUUUACCGUGAGACCUUUGUGUCACUUGCUUAUGUGGUUAACUUGUGAUCUUGCUGAAAUUCUGGUUAUGAGUUAGACAUAGUUGCAACAACAGGAUCAAACAGAGUUUGUCAAAGUUUUUCUUUCUCUUUCAGUUUGUCAACUGAGUUGCUUGAGGACAAGCAAGGUUUUAAGCUUGGGGGAGUUGAUACGUCUCCAUCGUAUCUACUUUUCCAAACUCUUUUGCCCUUGGUUUGGACUCUAAUUUGCAUGAUUUGAAUGGAACUAAACUGGACUGACGCUGUUUUGAGCAGAAUUGCCUUGGUGUUGUUUUUGUGCAAAAUUGAAAGUUCUCGGAACGUCCUGAAAAUUUACGGAGAAUAUUUCUGGAAAAUAUGAAAAAUACCUGCGCAAAGAUCCACCGGAGGGGAUGGGCUAGUGGGCCACAAACCCUAUAGCCGCCACCCCCUCGUGGCGGCUAGCAAGCUUGUGGGGCCCACGUCGCCCUUCCGCCCUCAAACUUAGCUCUAUAAAUUCACUUUCGUCCCAGAAAAAAUAAAAAGAGAAGAUUUCGUCGCGUUUGCGAUACGGAGGCGCCGCCACAUCCCGAUCUUCAUGUGGAGGGCAGAUCUGGAGUCUGUUUUGGGCUCCGGAGAGGGGAAAUCUUCGCCAUCGUCAUCAUCAACCUUCUUCCCUCUCCAAUUCCAUGAAGCUCUUCAUCGUUCGUGAGUAAUCUAUUCGUAGGCUCGCUGGGCGGUGAUGAGUAGGAUGAGAUCUAUCAUGUAAUCGAGUUAGUUUUGACGGAGAUUGAUCUCUAGUAUCCACUAUGUUGUGAGAUUGAUGUUGCUACCACUUUGCCAUGCUUAAUGCUUGUCACUAGGGCCUGAGUGCCAUGAUUUCAGAUCUGAAAUUAUUAUGUUGUCACCAAUAUAUGUGUGUUUUAGAUCCGACCUUGCAAGUUGUAGUUACCUACUAUGUGUCAUGACCCGGCAACCCCGGAGUGACAAUAACCGGAACCACUCCCGAUGAUGACCAUAGUUUGAGGAGUUCAUGUGUUCACCAAGUGCUAAUGCGUUGGUCCGGUUCUUUAUUAAAAGGAGAACCUUAAUAUCCCGUAGUUUCCUUUUGGACCCCGCUGCCACGGGAGGGAUGGACAAUAGAUGUCAUGCAAGUUCUUUUCCCUAAGCACGUAUGACGACACACGGAAUGCAUGCCUACAUCACAUUGACGAACGGGAGCUAGCCACAUAUCUCUCCGUGUUAUAACUGUUGCAUGAUGAAUAUCAUCCAAACAAAUCACCGACCCAUUGCCUACGAGUUUGUCCUACUCUUGAUGUUACUUGUUUUGCUCUGCUGCUGUUACUACUGUUGCUGCUGCUGUUACUUGCUCUGUCGUUACUUGCUACUGUUUCUACUUGCUACUGUUGCUACUUGCUACUGCUGUCACUACUGCUGUUCCUUGCCACUGUUGCUACUUGCUACACUGCUGCUACCUGCUACAAUACUUUUCUGGCGCCAUUGAUACAAUCGUUAAGAAUAGUCUGCAGUCAACAGAUCGUUUCUGACACCGUUGUUAUUAUAUUACUUUGUUGUUGAUACUUUGCUUGCAGAUAUUAAUCUUUCAGGUGUGGUUGAAUCUGACACAUUCAGCUGCUAAUACUUUAGAAUAUUUUUUUGCUUCCCUUGUGUGAACCAACAAAUUUGGGUUGAAUACUCUACCCUCGAAAACUGUUGCGAUCCCAUACGCUUGUGGGUUGUCAAUAGACUGUUCGGAAAGUUGAACAUGACAUCACUAUAGACUGUUCGGAAAGUUCAAAGAUUCGAUCAGUAUAGACGAACAUGACAUCUGGAUUAUGAAAGUAUAGCUGGACUCACCCACUCGAUGUGAUUAUGACUUGAGUAGUCGUCCCUGGUGCUCAGGUGGGCAAACUCUUCCUAUUCUCCUUUAAAGAGAUCAGCCAGAAUGACAACCAUUUCUGCCUGGUCGGCGGGAUCCUUCCGUUUGUAGCGGGUCGCGUCACUUAUGACAUUAUAAUGUCAUAAGGGAUGCAUCCUUUGUUAGAGAGGUUGGACGCAUCGAGCAAUAGUAGUGGCCAUCACAUCAAUGAUGGUUAACUUACUGUGAUCUAGCAACCUCACCUUGCUGGUGAGAUUCUUCACUUCGGCGCUCUCCUCUUGGGAAGGAUUUUUUGGACGCCAGAUAAACCGUUUCUUUAAAGGAGCAGUUGAGUAUUCGGGUAGACCCCUCCGAGCUGGAUCGAAUAGGGGGGCGUCCUCGAUAUAAAACAACUCUGGGUCCACUCUUUGGAAUCCUUCUUUAGAGUCCCAAUAGGAUACCCCGUUAUAGCUAUGCACCAUUCUUUGGCUCCGCCAACUUUAAUGACAGUCUCUCAUUGGGUGCGGGGGACAAGGCGGAAUUUUUUUCUACACAAUUCAAAAUGGGCCUCACAGCCCAAGAACAUCUCACAAAGGGGUCCCGAGAUAUGGCGAAUAGAUCCAAGCGUAAUAUGAUGAAGCUGGAUUUCGUAAAACCCCUUAGGAAGGGGUGAAUGGGGAAGCCUAAACCUCGUAAGAGGAAGUGGACGAAGCGUACCCUCUCUUCCUUGCGUGGGAUUGGGAAGUUCUCUGCAAAGGCCUCGCCGUUCUCGGAAGUUAAUUCGGGGAGGGUGGACGCUAGAUCUGAAGUAGGAAGGUAUCCUUGCGCUUCAAGACCGCUUAAUUGCAGACGGGAUACAGAGCAGCUCGCACGGUCCCCUCGGAGGGGGCCAUGAGGGCAUGACGAAGAGCUUGGAACGCUUGACAUGUGUCCAAGUUCCUUGGUUUGUUUCUCUCGAUGGUUGGGGAAUAAGAUCUGUUGUUUGUGGCACGCCCAACCUUUUUAGUAGGUGUUUUUCCCCUAACCCACGAAGGGUAUUUCUAUAAGAGACUGUUGGACCGUUCGCCUCUUAUCGACGCACAGGAAUCGAGGGGUGUCAUUAAUUUUGUGCAGCGAAGUCAAUAUUAUGGAUCCCGCAACGCUUUGACAUUCAGGAACACAACGAUGGCCGAAUUGACCUCAUCCGAACAUAAAAGUGGAGAAGAACUCGCCCAGCAAGCCGAAGACUUUGGGUACGAGAAGCUGCUAGGGAAUCAGGGCUACGACAUUGAAGGCCAAUUCGGGGGCUACUAAAGGAGUCCGAGACUAAGGGGUCCUCGGGCCGCCGGCCUAUCUCUACGGGUCAGACUCAUGGGUCGCUCUAUGACUAUCAUUGAAGGGCUGGACUAUAAGACGAUGUUGUGUUCAAGAUGGGAACUUCCGAAGCCUUGGUGUGUGCUCCAAGUUAAGAUUAUAAUAUCGGCAUGUUUAUUCCCUGAGUUAACCGAUCAUAUAACCCUAGGUACCCAUGGUGUCUAUAUUAACCAGAGGGUUUUAGUUCGUAGAUAACAUCGACGUAACCAUCAUCUAGGGUUUAGUUCAUCUCAUCUCGUGGUAGAUCGACUCUGUAAUUGUCAUAACUCAUCAAUAUAAUCAAGCGGGGCGUAGGGUUUUACCUAUUCGAGAGGGCCUGAACAUGGGUAAAUUAUGUCCAUGUGUCCCCCGUUACCCAUCAAUCCAAGAUCUACAGCUCGGGACCCCCUACCCGAGAUCCGCCAGUUUUGACACCGACACUAACCCUAUCGAUUCCCUCUUAACAGUGCGGGAUCACUUUACUCAAGAACAAAAGAAAGCGAGAGCUGAAAACCUCUUUGUUCCUUCUUCUUUAAGUCAUAUAAAUUCCAUGCGUCCGUGAUCCGCACCUAUUGUCACUUGAGGCCUAAUACAUGAGAUUUACUUGAUAAACAUAGUUAGUCCUCUACAUGUACAUUGUCAUCAAUAUUGAAAUAUCGAAAUAUGAUAUAAGGGCAUGAUUGCACUACGAGUUGGACAGACUAGCAAAUACUCCUCUUUUAGGAUAUACCACUACAUUCGUCACAAGAAAGAUAUAUAACAAUCCUAUGUUCUAACAUGUGUGGAAGGCUUCCAAUAAAUUGAGGCAUAAGAUAUUUUUCUGGCUGAUGCUCGAUGACAGGGUGAAUACCAAGAAUCUACUCAAGAGGAAGAAUAUGUAUCUAGAGUGUUAUGAUUGUGUUUUUUCCAAUGCAAAUGCAGAAGAAACACCCAUACACUCUUUUGGGGACUUUGAUUUCUCUCAAGGCUGUUAAUAUGACAAGUCAUAAUGUGUUUAUGACAAGUCAGAAUGCCGAUCCUUGUUCUCAGUAGUAUCCUUUCUCUCUUCUUGUGUUUUGUCUUGUGUACGUAGCUAUAACUGGUUGGCGAGUGAAUCGGAUGACAACACAGUCCGCAGGUACCACCGUACCAGUAGCAUCACCGCAUCAAAGAUCAGAACUGACGUGGACAUGGGAGCUACCGGACCUGUUCUAGCUAGCUAGCCCUCUUUGUAGGUCGAGUGUAGGCUGCCACUAGAAAUGGCACAUGAUCCUAGUGGGUGUCGGGGUGUGCAUAACUGCAUACUAUUGUCAAGAAACGGAUGAUGGACUGAUGAGUGAUGACCGUGUCAGAGUAGUUCGAUCCGGCUAGUGAUGUGUGACGGUGAAGCCGAUGAUCAACCGCUCACCUAAUAACCGAGGGACGCAACCAUGGUCUCGUCGCCGUUAGCUGACUCGUGCCCCGAAGAACAACCUUGAGAGUUCGUUGUCACCAGAAGCCCUCGUGCUCAGGCUUGAAGGAGGCUCAAGCUCAAGCCGCAAUUUCUUCUUGGAGAGCGACUCGCGUUAGUACGGACCCAUCUCACAUUUCAGAGGCUCAAGGGCAACGCUUGGCAUCCGAAGAUCGAGGAUGAUGUGACUACGUUCGAGAAAAUAAUACCAUUUCCAAUCCAUGUUAAAUCUAUGUUAAUUGUCGUUGAUUUUUAGAAAUUUUAAUACAGACCAUAUAAAAAUGUAUAUAGAUAUAUUUGAAAGUCUAAAUUCAUCCAUUAUGUUUCGUACAAAGUUUAUAUUAAGAAAAUAAAAUGUUUGUCGCAUGAACAUUUUUUAGAACCGGGCUUCUCCCCUUUCCAUUAAAUACAUAACGGAAAUACACAGUUUCGUUCCGAGAUCAGAAAGAGAAAAGGGAAAGAGAGAGAGAGAAGCGAGCUCAGAGCAAUACUAGGAAACCCACCACCUUGCGCCUGUCAUCAGGAACACAAGGCUAUGGGGCGAAAACCUAGCAUCACCCAAAACCUCACCACACCCCUAAGGAGGAUAGAUCAACAUCCAGUACCACGUUUGAGCACGACCAGAAUACGAACCAGAAAUGCAACAUGCCUCACAGGGCCAAAACAGAGUAAAACACCACAUCACCAGGACCAUCAUACUCCGAGCGCAUCACCAUUCGUCCCAGUUAUCACCCUCCUCAUCCUGCUUGCUGUUAUCUGGCAUUGGAGGUCCACAGAGUAGCAGCAUCUGCGAAGCGUCUGCUUUCAACACCUCCGCACCUUUUUUCAUCACCUCAGCCAUCUCUGGCUUCUGCAACCCUGUCCAGUAUAAUAUAAAAGCACAAGUUGUGAACACAAUUUCAAACGGAUUAUUAAUCCAUUUCUUUUUAAAAGUAGCACGGUUACGUGCAAGCCAUAUUGCCCAGCAUAUAGCAGCUAGACCAAUGGUAUAAACCUCUGGGCAGGAAGGUAAGAAAGAGUUGAUCCAAACAUAAUAUUGCCACAUGGAAUUAGGGAUAUAUUCAGUACCCAGCAUCGAGCCCACUGUUCUGCAGACAACUCUAGCAACAGGACAAAGAAACAUAAUAUGUUGGGCAGAUUCCUUCUGAUCACAGAAAGAACAUGUAGGAUCCCCUUGCCAUUUUCUUUUUUUGAGAUUGUCUCUCGUUAGGAUAGCAUCCUGGCACAUCUGCCACAUAAAAAUUUGAAUUUUCAAAGGCAUCUUAGAUUUCCAAAUCCAUUUAUGAUUAGACCCAGCCAAGUUUCUUUCUAACCAACGAUACAUAGACUUGGUAGUAUAUUCAUGAGUACUAUCUAGUUUCCAAAAUAUUUCAUCACUUUUUUCCUUGUCCAUUUUACUUAUCACAUAACUCUUGAGCUCGUCCCACCUCAUUUGCAUAUCACUAUUAAAUCUUCUACGAAUGGAGUUGCAAGGAUUCAUGGAUUCAAUUUUAUUCACAGUGGUAUUUUGCUCAGUGCAAAUCUCAAAAAGAUCAGGGAACUUAUCUUUCAUAUUAGAAUUGUCACCCAGAUCAUCAUACCAAAGACUGGCAAUAUCACCCUUAUUCACCUUGAUCCCUCUCCCAGCAAUAUAAUUAUCUCUAACCUUCAAAAGAGCUUUCCAACAGGGGGAAUCAUUUGCUUUCUGCUUAACCAUCAUAACAGGUGAUUUUUUGAGGUAUUUGGCUCUCACUAUGUCUUGCCAUAGCCCCUCUUUUUUCUCUAAUUUCCACCACCACUUAGUCAACAAACUAAUAUUUUGUUUUCUCAGAUCUUUAACCCCAAGGCCCCCUUUAUUUUUUGAUCUACAAAUUCUCCCCCAUUUUACCAUAUGAUAACCUUUUUUGUUACCAUUAUGAUGCCAGAAAAAUUUCCUUCUGGGCUUAUCCCAUAUCUCCAGGGUAGAUUUAUUAACCAAGAACAUAGACAUAUAAUAAGAAGGGAUAUGGGAGAGAACAACAUUAACUUUGAUAAGCCUACCCGCACUGGAUCCAUGAUUCAUCAUGUCUGACAAAUUUAUCAUCCACAAACAUCCAGUCACAACUUUUGAGACCAGCAUAGCUAACAGGAACUCCCAAGUAUUUAAUAGGAAAACUUCCAAUCUCACAGUUGAACAUCUCAGAAUACUUCCUGACAGUAUCAUCAUCAGCCCCUAGUGAGAAGAUUUCACUUUUUAAGAAAUUAAUUUUCAAGCCUCACAUAAUAGUAGUUUAAUAUUCAGCACUUCCCUAGGGUUAUCUUCAAAGCAAAGAAUAGUAUCAUCUGCGUAUUGCAGAAUAGCAACCCCAUGUUCAACCAGGUCAGAUGCCAGCCCUUUAAAAAGGCUAUUUUCCUGUGCAUUAAGAACCAUCUUGGUCAGGCAAUCAGCUGCAAGAUUAAACAAAAAAGGGGAGAGAGGAUCUCCCUGCCUCACACCUUUAGCACUUUGAAAAUAAUCCCCACUUCAUCAUUCAGUUUCACACUAACAGUUCCUCCUACCAAAAUGUUCUUAAUCCAGCUCAUCCAUUUGGGAUUAAAGUUUCUCUUAACAUGACAUUCAAGCAGGAAGUCCCAGUUGACUUUGUCAUAGGCUUUUUCAAAAUCAAGCUUAAGCACUAUCCCAGGUUUCUUACGACUAUAAGAAUAGUGUAGAAUUUCAUGGAGAGACAUAAUACCAUCCAUAAUAUCUCUACCCUUAAUAAAAGCAUUUUGGUUUCUGCUAAACAACGUAUCAACAAAAGGUUCAAGUCUGAUGGUGAGCACUUUGGUGAUAAGUUUAUAAAUGCAUCUGAGCAAACAAGUUGGUCUAAAUUGCUGAAUCUUAUCAGCCCCAACCACUUUGGGCAGUAAAGUAAUGAUCCCAUAGUUGAGUCUUUUCACAUCUAUAUCAUCUUUAUAGAACCAAUCAAAAAGCAUUUUCACAUCAUCCUUAACUAUACCCCAACAGCUUUGAAAGAAUUCAAUUGGAAUAUUAUCAGGGCCUGGAGCUUUAUUAUGCUUCAUAGAAAAUAAAUCAUUCCUGAUUUCCAACUCUGAAAAAGGUCUAAUUAAUAUGAAGUUGUCUAUAUCCCUUAGUGUUUCCUGUUCUUUCCACAUGUUGUUAUUAAUCCCACACAUGUUCCCAGGGGCAGGGCCAAAAAGCUCCCUAUAAAAGUUUGUGGCAUGGUCCAAAAGAUUCUUGUUUCCCUCAAUAACAACCCCAUCACAACAAAGGGAUACAAUAGUAUUUCUCCUCCUCCUCCCAUUCACCAUUCUAUGAAAGUAACUAGUAUUACUAUCCCGUUUCAAUAACCAGUUAUCAUGAGAUUUUUGUAACCAGGAGAUUUCUUCUUCCAUCAAGAGGUUAUUCAGUUCUACCUCAAGAUCUACUUUUUUCAUAUACAAUUCAGGUGAUAAAGUAUCAGUUUCUUGCAACAUUUCCAAGUAUCCAAGUUCCUCUCUCAUCCAUUUCCUUCUCAAUCUAGCUUUACCAAAAAUAUUUGAGCUCCACCCUUUAAAUUUUUUCUUAAACCUCUUCAGUUUAAUAUUGAUGAUAUCAAUAGGAUUCUUAGAUUGAACAGGUUGCAUCCAAAUUUGUGCCACCAAGGGUAAGAAUUCAGGGUUCUGUAACCAGUUCAAAUCAAAUUUAAAGCCCCUAGACUUAACAGGGAUAGGAAUGUUAUCCUCAGUGUUUAAAAUCAAGGGGCAAUGGUCUGAAAUCUCCCUUACAAUUUUCCUAAUAAAAGUAAAAGGAAAAAGAUGCUCCCAGGAACUAGACAUGAGCACUCUAUCUAAUUUCUCAAGAGUUGGCACAUUCUGCUGGUUGGACCAGGUGUAUUGUCCACCACUCAUAUCAACCUCUCUCAAAGAGAAAGUAUUAAUGACAGUAUUGAAAAGAUCAGAGGAAUGGCCCAGUCUAACUUUAUUAUUUUUAUCACUAGUAAAUCUCAGGAUAUUAAAAUCCCCCCAAUAAUGAAAGGGCAAGCAACUCCCCUGCACAUAUCUGCUAGUUCAGUAAGAAAUUCCAUCUUAUGCUCUUCAUGAGCAGAACCAUACACUACCAUAAUGCAAUAAGUAUCCCUUCUACAUUUGUCCCAAAUUUCAAGCUUCAAAAUAUACUUGCCAAAUGAACAGGUUUGAAUGUCAUAAUAUGCAUUCCUAACACCACAAAGAAUACCACCAGACUUUCCUACAGAAGGGAUCCACUUCCAACAAAAAUUAUCCCCUGGAUCAAAUUUCCUCAAGAACUUAGAGGAAAAAUCCUUCUUCAUUGUCUCUUGAAUCCCCACAAAAUCAGGAUUGAAGUCCCUAAUUAAAUCACUUAAGUAGGUUGCCAUACCUUUUUUCCCAUCCCCCUACAGUUCCAGAAGAGGCACAUCAUUUCUUUUUAUUUUUAGGUGAGUGAGUUUUAUUGCUAGGUUUACCAGGGUCCAUGGUCUUACCUGCAAUUCCACUCACUCUUUGAUUUUGACUCCUGGUUACAGGCUUAGAAAUAACCACAUUAACUUUUCUUUUUUCUCUUUGCCUAGAUCUUACACUUUUAAAUCCUUCCUCAUCUACAUCUUCCUCAUCCCCCCAAGCUGUAUUAAGGUGGGAGGAUUCCCCUGUUGCAUUAGUAAUCAACAACACCUCUUCUGUUUGUUUAAUAUCAGUAUUAAUUUUCUUAGCUAUAUUAGCUCUAGAUUUCUCCAGUUCUCUAAUAACAUCAAUAACAGUAAAGUCAUCAUCAGGGAUAUUCACUCCCAUAUGAGCAGCCAUAUUAACAAUUUCCAUAUUGGAUAGCACAUCAAAAGAAUUUUCAGAUACAAGAUCAUUACCUUGUAAAUUCCACUUUUUUGCCAACUUCUCAGCUCUGGCACCAACAUGAUCCAUAUUGAUCUCAACAUUCCUUUUGCUGAAUCUGGCUUGCACUUCUUCCAGCACAGGAGGAGUAGGCACAACCUCCACAUCUUCAUAGGAUUCCCCAGGAGAUUGCACAAGGUAGGCCUGUUCUUUCUCCUGAUAAUUCUUGUCACCAUUUUUUAUCUCAGUAACUGUUGGUUCUCCCAUACAAGCAUCCAAGUAAGAGGAGAAUUUUUUGUGAAUCACAGGACUGGAAACAGUCUGCAUAGAGUUCACCACAAUUUUCUGAAAGAAGUACCCAUAGUAGAUUGUUUUUCAAUCUCUUUCAUAUGAAUUUUUUCUGCUUCAGCAACCAUAGAAUCUAUGAGCAGCACAUUAUCCACAUCCUCACUUUCCUCAUCAGAUUGUGUUUCCUUACUUUUUUCCUGAUUUUGCAUCAUAUCAGCUUUUUCCUGAAUAGUGUCCAAUCUCACACUCAUCAUAUUUUUUCCUCGAGACAUGCCAGAGGGAGCCGAAUACUCCCCCAUAGUAGAUGAGGAGAUGUUCUGCCCAUCAGGUCUAAUAUUCUCAUUAAGCUUAGUUCUUUUAGGAGAAUUUCCCCCAUCAGCCUCCAUUUGCACAUUAAUUUUUUCUUUAGGAGGAUUUUUCACAAGAAUAUUAUCCACAGAAAAGAAAAAAUCAUAGAAAUGGCCCCCCAAAACUCCUUCAGCAGAUGUAGGAAUAUUUUCAGCAUCUGUACAGCCCAAUUUAAUCCUGACUAAUUCAGGUCUGUUUAUAGUAGCUUUAUCUAUUUCCAGAGUCACCCCAACCAAGGAACCCACAUAUGCAAUGUUUUUUUCAUGCCUUUUAUCCAGGGGAAUAUUACUGACAUUGACCCAUGCUAUGUUAAGUAUGCCUUUAGCUCCCAUAGAUUCUGACCACUUCCUCAAAUUAAUCACAGCCCCACAACUUUUCAAAUGCAUGCUCUCAGCAAAACAAGCUUUAUCAACAUCCCUAGGUGAUGGAAAUCUUAUCACAAAAGUUUUUGGCCCAAUCGACCUAGCGGAACAUCUCCAUUUUGUGUUAAUAUAAGCAUUAAAAAACUCCUCCAACUGUCUACCAGACGCUUGCCCCUCCACCACAGAUAUGACAAUGAACCGAUUCCUAUCAGUGUUCUGGUUCGGAGUACUGUGAUCAUGAAUAUAGAAAAAACCUUUCCCUCUAGCCUGGAAUCCACACAUCGGAGCCACACAUUCCCAAGGAAGCACCGUGUUGCAAACAGAGGCUAGAUGACCAUGAUUCCCACAUCUACCACACACAGAACGCGGACAGAACGCAGGUACAUGACCUGGAUCCUUGCAAGUAAUGCAAACCUCAGCACCACCCACUAGUGGGGCGGUGUUCCUCUUGCCAGGAGUAGGAUGACGACGGUCUUGGGCUUGGGGCUGCUUUCCGCCUGCUGCUCCAGCGACCGCGGUAUUAUCGCCCCACUUCUCAGAUCCGCGCGGACCUCCUUGCUCCAUCACCUCAGCAUCCCACCGUGCCUUGUCGGACGAUCCAUGGCGUGGAUCAAUGUUGGAGGAGCCGCCUUCGUCGUUGUCGCGCAUCCACACCAAGCUGCGGCCCCCGCCGCCACCACCAUGCUCGCGGGAACCGCCGUGCCCAUAUCGGCCGCCACCACGCCCGAAUCUCCCUUCCGCCGCCCCAUCUCCACGAUUGAACCGAUUACCUCCGUCGUGUCCCGCCAUGGACUGCGUCCGCGGAGGCGAAGCAGCCACGUGAGCGAAGGACCGCUGAUCCCCUCCCACUUUUCCUUCCCACCAGGCGAAGGUAGGUGAAACCCUAGGAGACCUCCAGAAAUGGCUGAAGAGGGAAUCGAGAUAGUGGAAGUGGCAACGGGUGGUGCGGGGUUGGUGGUGGGAGACGGGGUGAGUAGAUAAGGCUCUCUCUCUCCCCUGUAGCACCGGGGCCCCCACACGGGUCGACCGCGGCGUGCGACACGGGUUUGGGCCCGAGAACCCCCGGGUCAAGCGACCGGGGCGGUACAUGGCUGCCACGCACGGAGAUGAGCACGUGCUCUGUCAUCUCUACCCGCUCAGACGGUGGCGCCGGCGGUGAGAAUCGCCGCGCAGGCCGUAUCGCCGCGCCGGGAGAGGAGGACGACGACAUUCCGUCGAAAAGAUAUUGGUUUUCUUCAUGUCGCAUGAACAUGGACACCUGGUUUGAUUUGCAAGCUGUACGUACGGUGACUUUUUGGGAGAUACCUGGUCCGAAGACGAUCGAUCCUCCGAGGAACAUGUGAGAUGCAUUGAAGUACUUAAAAGGUUAAUUAAGAUGGGAAGUGAACAUGGCAUGCUUGUUGCCAGCCAGGAUCGGAAGGAAGCCAAGUGCUAUGGUGGUUGAACUGGUUUCCACAUCGGAGGUAUUGGACUUUCUCACGCACCAAGACGUGCACCAGAGAACCACCGUUUCACAGCAUCUAUAACCCGACCCUUCAUGCCCGUUUCAAACGUUCACGUAGACAACCUGUCAAAAAAAUGACUCAAUUGGGCCUCUCAAACGGGCCUUAAACUUCGGGAUUAACCGACACCCCACAUAUCUAGCCUAAAUAUAGGACGGAUAUGGGGGCGUCCGGUUGCGUCCGUGCAUGCCCGCCACGUCGGCCUGACGAUGGGGUCUCAUGCGGACUCGUCCAAAAAUCCAAUGGUCCAAUAGGCGCCUCGAUAGUCAUCGCGGUGUGAACAUCAUGUGGCACUGCUCCAGCUCGCUGCGGGAGGCCCUAGCCGGCUAUUUAAGCUGGCCGGCAUCCUCCAGCCCUAGCACAUCCACCUUCUUCCUCCCUUCACCAUCACCUAAGACCGCCCGCCUCUUCUCCCGCGCUCUCCCGCGCUCUCCGACGUCAGUAUGGUCCGCCAUAGGAUCACCACGUAUGCUAUGCUCACGUGUGAGCGACAGAUGCAGAUCGAGGCAGAGAUCCAGGCUCGGUGCGCCACCCGCAUCGCUGCGGGUCUGCCUCCGGGCUUGCCGGAGCCGGUGGAGGAGGGGGAGGAGCAGCCGGAGGCGAUGGAGGAUGAUGAUGCAAAGGAGGACGAGGCAGUCCAUCCUGCUCCAGGCUUGAACAUGAUGGAGACAGAAGCGGAGUUCGCCCACGCCCAAGCCGAGGAGAUGGCCAGCAGGAGGCCAUCCUGGAUUCCAUCCAGGAUGAGGACGAGGUGUUGGUAAUAUGCCCUAGAGGCAAUAAUAAAAUAGUGAUUAUUCUAUUUCCUGUUUCAAGAUAAUCAUUUAUUAUCCAUGCUAUAACUAUAUUGAAUGGAAACAUAAAUGCAUGUGUGGAUAUAUAGACAAAAAUGUGUCCCUAGUGAGUCUCUAGUUGACUAGCCUGUUGAUCGAGGAUGGUUAAGGUUUCCUAGCCAUAGACAAGUGUUAUUCAUAGAGAAACUUUUAUUCAAGUAAUCCUUUAUGCUCUCCAAAAACUCUACGUUGUUUCCAAUCAGCAAUAUGUCAUCCACAUAUAAUAUUAGAAACGCCACAGAGCUCCCACUCACUUUCUUGUAAAUACAAGAUUCUCCAACCACUUGUAUAAACCCAAAUGCUUUGAUCACCUCAUCAAAGCGUUUGUUCCAACUCCGAGAUGCUUGCACCAGUCCAUCAAUGGAUCGCUGGAGCUUGCACACCUUGUUAGCAUUCUUAGGAUCGAUAAAACCUUCGGGUUGCAUCAUAUACAAUUCUUCCUUAAGGAAACCGUUAAGGAACGCCGUUUUGACAUCCAUCUGCGAGAUUUCAUAAUCGAAAAAUGUAGCUAUUGCUAACAUGAUUCUGACGGACUUAAGCAUCGCUACGGGUGAGAAUGUCUCAUCGUAGUCAACUCCUUGAACUUGUGAAAAACCCUUUGCCACAAGUCGAGCUUUAUAAACGGUCACAUUGCUGUCAGCGUCCGUCUUCCUCUUAAAGAUCCAUUUGUUCUGAAUAGCUUUGCGGCCUUCACCCAGUACCUCCAAAGUCCACACAUUGUUCUCAUACAUGGAUCCUAUCUCAGACUUCAUGGCUUCUAGCCAUUUGUUGGAAUUUGGGCCCACCAUUGCUUCUUCAUAAUUUGCAGGUUCAUUGUUGUCCAACAACAUGAUUGAUAAGACGGGAUUACCGUACCACUCUCGAGCAGCACGUGGUCUCCUCGACCUGCGUGGUUCGACAGAAACUUGAACCAGAGUUUCAUGAUCAUCAUCAUUAACUUCCUCCUCAACCGGCGUCGCAACGACAGAGGUUUCCCCUUGCCCUGCGCCACCAUCCAGAGGGAUGAGAGGUUCGACAACCUCGUCAAGUUCUAUCUUCCUCCCACUCAAUUCUCUCGAGAGAAACUCCUUCUCGAGAAAAGCUCCAUUUUUAGCAACAAACACUUUGCCCUCGGAUUUGAGAUAGAAGGUGUACCCAACUGUCUCUUUUGGGUAACCUAUGAAGAUGCACUUUUCCGCUUUGGGUUCCAGCUUUUCAGGCUGAAGCUUUUUGACAUAAGCAUCACAUCCCCAAACUUUAAGAAAUGACAACUUUGGCCUUUUGCCAUACCACAGUUCGUAUGGUGUCGUCUCAACGGAUUUUGAUGGUGCCCUAUUUAAAGUGAAUGCAGCUGUUUCUAAUGCAUAACUCCAAAACGAUAACGGCAAAUCGGUAAGAGACAUCAUAGAUCGCACCAUCUCUAAUAAAGUACGAUUACGACGUUCGGACACACCAUUACGCUGUGGUGUUCCAGGCGGUGUCAACUGUGAAACAAUUCCACAUUGUCUUAAGUGAGCACCAAACUCGAAACUCAGAUAUUCACCCCCACGAUCAGACCGUAGGAACUUGAUCUUCUUGUUACGAUGAUUUUCAACUUCACUCUGAAAUUGCUUGAACUUUUCAAAUGUUUCAGACUUGUGCUUCAUUAAGUAAACAUAACCAUAUCUACUCAAAUUGUCAGUGAAGAUGAGAAAAUAACGAUAUCCGCCGCGUGCCUCUACGCUCAUCGGACCACACACAUCGGUAUGUAUGAUUUCCAACAAGUCACUUGCACGCUCCAUUGUUCCGGAGAACGGAGUUUUAGUCAUCUUGCCCACGAGGCAUGGUUCGCACGUGUCAUGUGAAUCAAUGUCAAGUGACUCCAAAAGUCCAUCGGCAUGGAGUUUCUUCCUGCGCUUUACACCAAUAUGACCUAAACGGCAGUGCCACAAAAAUAUGGCGCUAUCAUUGUUAAUUCUAACUCUUUUGGUCUCAAUGUUAUGUAUCAAGUUAACUCUAACUCUAACUCUAUCAAGAUUCAAUAUGAACAAUCCUCUCAAAUUGGGUGCAUGACCAUAAAAGAUGUUACUCAUAGAAAUAGAACAACCAUUAUUCUCUGACUUAAAAGAGUAACCGUCUCGCAAUAAACAAGAUCCAGAUAUAAUGUUCAUGCUCAAUGCACGCACUAAAUAACAAUGAUUCAAGUUCAUAACUAAUCCUGAUGGUAACUGAAGUGAAACUGUGCCGACGGUGAUUGCAUCAACCUUGGAACCAUUUCCUACGCGCAUCUUCACUUCAUCUUUCGCUAGCCUUCAUCUAUUUCGCAGUUCCUGUUUCGAGUUGCAAAUAUGAGCAACGGAACUGGUAUCGAAUACCCAGGCACUACUACGAGAGCCGGUUAAGUACACAUCAAUAACAUGUAUAUCAAAUAUACCUGAUUUUUCUUUGGCCGCCUUCUUUUCUGCCAGAUACUUGGGGCAAUUGCGCUUCCAGUGACCCAUACCCUUGCAAUAGUAACACUCUGUUUCAGGCUUAGGUCCAGCUUUGGGUUUCUUCGUCGGAUUGGCAACAGGUUUGCCGCUCUUCUUUGAAUUUCCCUUCUUGCCUUUGCUGUUUCUCUUGAAACUAGUGGUCUUAUUCACCAUCAACACUUGAUGCUCUUUACGGAGUUCAGACUCUACAACUUUCAGCAUCGCAAACAACUCGCCGGGUGACUUGUUCAUCCCUUGCAUGUUGUAGUUCAACACAAAGCCUUUAUAGCUUGGCGGCAUUGAUUGAAGGAUUCUGUCAGUGAUAGCCUCUUGCGGGAGUUCAAUCCCCAGCUCAGCUAGACGGUUUGAGUACCCAGACAUUUUGAGCACAUGUUCACUGACAGACGAGUUGUCCUCCAUCUUGCAAGCAUAGAAUUUAUCGGAGGUCUCAUACCUCUCGAUCCGGGCGUUCUUCUGAAAGAUAAACUUCAACUCCUGGAACAUCUCAAAUGCUCCAUGACGGUCAAAGCGACGUUGAAGUCCCGGUUCUAAGCCAUACAAGACUGCACAUUGAACUACUGAGUAGUCCUCCUUACGUGCUAACCAAGCGUUCUUAACAUCCUGAUCAGCCGUAGCGGGUGGUUCAUCUCCUAGCGCAGCACUAAGGACAUAAUCCUUCUUCCCAGCUUGUAAGAUUAGCUUAAGAUUACGAGCCCAGUCUACAAAGUUGCUUCCAUCAUCUUUCAACUUAGCUUUCUCUAGGAACGUAUUAAAAUUCAGGGUGACUCUCGCGUGAGCCAUGAUCUACAACACAAAUAUAUUCAAAGUGGACUUAGACUAUGUUCAAGAUAAUUAGAGUUUAACUUAAUCAAAUUAUUCGCUAAACUCCCACUCAAAAAGUACAUCUCUCUAGUCAUUUGAGUGGUUCAUGAUCCACUUACACUAGCUCAAGUCUGAUCAUCACGUGAGUUGAGUAUAGUUUCAGUGGUAAGCAUCCCUAUGCUAAUCAUAUCAUCUAUAUGAUUCAUGAUCGACCUUUCGGUCUCAUGUGUUCCGAGGCCAUAUCUGCACAUGCUAGGCUCGUCAAGCUUAACCCGAGUGUUCCGCGUGCGCAACUGUUUUGCACCCGUUGUAUGUGAACGUUGAGUCUAUCACACCCGAUCAUCACGUGGUGUCUCGAAAAGACGAACUGUAGCAACGGUGCACAGUCGGGGAGAACACAAUUUCGUCUUGAAAUUUUAGUGAGAGAUCACCUCAUAAUGUUACCGUCGUUCUAAGCAAAAUAAGGUGCAUAAAAGGAUUAACAUCACAUGCAAUUCAUAAGUGACAUGAUAUGGCCAUCAUCACGUGCUUCUUGAUCUCCAUCACCAAAGCACCGGCACGAUCUUCUUGUCACCGGCGCCACACCAUGAUCUCCAUCAACGUGUCUCCGUCGGGGUUGUCGUGCUACUCAUGCUAUUACUACUAAAGCUACAUCCUAGCAAAAUAGUAAACGCAUCUGCAAGCACAAACAUUAGUAUAAAGACAACCCUAUGGCUCCUGCCGGUUGCCGUACCAUCGACGUGCAAGUCGAUAUUAUCUAUUACAACAUGAUCAUCUCAUACAUCCAAUAUAUCACAUCACAUCGUUGGCCAUAUCACAUCACAAGCAUACCCUGCAAAAACAAGUUAGACGUCCUCUAAUUUUGUUGUUGCAUGUUUUACGUGGUGACCAUGGGUAUCUAGUAGGAUCACAUCUUACUUACGCAAACACCACAACGGAGAUAUAUGAGUUGCUAUUUAACCUCAUCCAAGGACCUCCUCUGUCAAAUCCGAUUCAACUAAAGUUGGAGAAACCGACACUUGCCAGUCAUCUUUGAGCAACGGGGUUACUCGUAGCGAUGAAACUAGUCUCUCGUAAGCGUACGAGUAAUGUCGGUCCAAGCCUCUUCAAUCCAACACUACCACGGAAUCAAGAAAAGACUAAGGAGGGCAGCAAAACGCACAUCACCGCCCACAAAAAACUUUUGUGUUCUACUCGAGAAGACAUCUACGCAUGAACCUAUCUUAUGAUGCCACUGUUGGGUAACGUCGCAUGGGAAACAAAAUUUUUCCGACGCGCACGAAGACCUAUCAUGGUGAUGUCCAUCUACGAGAGGGGAUGAGUGAUCUAUGUACCCUUGUAGACCGUACAGCAGAAGCAUUAGUGAACGCGGUUGAUGUAGUGGAACGUCGUCACGCCUCUCGAUCCACCCCGCGAACUAUCCCGCGAUCAUUCCCACGAUCUAGUGCCGAACGGACGGCACCUCCGCGUUCAGCACACGUACAGCUCGACGAUGAUCUCGGCCUUCUUNNNNNNNNNNNNNNNNNNNNNNNNNNNNNNNNNNNNNNNNNNNNNNNNNNNNNNNNNNNNNNNNNNNNNNNNNNNNNNNNNNNNNNNNNNNNNNNNNNNNNNNNNNNNNNNNNNNNNNNNNNNNNNNNCCUUCUUGAUCCAGCAAUAGAGACGGAGAGGUAGAAGAGUUCUCCGGCAGCGUGACGGCCCUCCGGAGGUUGGUGAUGAUCUCGUCUCAGCAGGGCUCCGCCCGAGCUCCGCAGAAACGCGAUCUAGAGGAAAAACCAUGGAGGUAUGUGGUCGGGCUGCCGUGGAAAAGUCGUCUCAAAUCAGCCUUAAAACCUCCGUAUAUAUAGGUGGGAGAGGGGGGGGCCUUGCCUUGGGGCUCAAGGAGCCCCAAGGGGAUGGGCCAAGCCAAGGGGGGAAGGUCUCCCCCCCAAACCGAGUUGGACUUGGUUUGGUGGGUGGGAGUCCUUCCUUCC
rnacentral:lncRNA from 1 species